UUCAAUUGAAUUUCAUUUGUCUAUUGCAGAUGAGAGCUGUUUCAAAAAUGGCUAUCUGGACACCGUAAUAGAUUGGAUCCCAGGAAUGAGAGAUAUCCGUUUAAGGGAUCUCCCGACCUUCGCGCGAAACACAAAUCUGGAUGACACCGGAUUUAACUUCAUCAUGGAAGAAACCGAAAGAGCUCAUGAAGCUUCAGCAGUUGUUCUUCAUACUUUUCAUGCCUUGGAGACAGAUGUUUUGGAAGCUCUCUCAUCUAUGCUUCCCCAUGUGUACACCGUUGGCCCUCUUCAAUUGCAUCUCAAUCAGAUACCAGAGCACCCUUUGAAAAUGGGAUACAGUCCAUGGAAAGAAGAAACUGAAUGCCUCGAGUGGCUAAACACCAAGGCACCAAACUCAGUUGUCUAUGUGAAUUUCGGCAGUGUAGCAGUCGUGACACCAGAACAGCUUGUGGAGUUUGGGUGGGGACUUGCAAAUAGCAAGCUUCCAUUCUUUUGGGUAAUUAGACCUGAUCUAGUUGUUGGAGAAUCAGCUAUUUUGCCGCCUGAGUUUGUGGCUGAAACUAAGGAAAGAAGUCUAAUAGCUGGGUGGUGCCCACAAGAGCAAGUCCUCAACCACCCCUCAGUUGGAGGAUUUUUAAUGCACAGCGGUUGGAAUUCAACAGUUGAGAGCCUUACUGCAGGAGUUCCUAUGCUCUGUUGGCCAUUCUUCGGGGACCAGCAAAUGGACUGUCGCUAUACUUGCAAUGAAUGGGGAAUUGGCAUGGAGAUUAGUGAUGAUGCGAAGAGGGAAGAGGUAGAGAAGCUUAUCAAAGAGUUAAUGGAGGGAGAGAAGGGUAAGAAGAUGAAAAAUAAGGUCAUGGAGUGGAAGAAACUUGCAGAAGAAGCUACUGGUCCACAUGGUUCUUCAUCCACAAACUUAGACAAUUUAGUGAAUCAACUGCUAUUGAGAAAAAGUUAAGAUGUUUCCAUAAGAAUAUUGAUGUUAUUAAUUAUCAUUUCCAUUGCCAUUGUCUCAAAUAAUCAACUAUCUGGCAAUAUAUAUGUACUACUGGUCUGUAACCAUGAUGCGUACUAUAUCUAGAAUUUUAUUCUAAUUAAGGUUUUACUACGCUUCAGGCCUUCAACUCUAAAGUCUUUAUCAUUUUUCAGGCAAUUGUGCACUAACCAUGAUGCAUUAUAUUAAUAAUAUUUUAAAUCAAUAGAUUAAAAAUAUAAAGCUAUACCUUUUUCCACAAAUACCCCCGAGCUUAACGGGUUAACGGGUAUUCGUGAAUUGACACGACACGACACGAUAGCUUAACGGGUGACUAACGGAUCAAUACGAUAUCAACAUGACACCAUAACCCAUGCCUGAAUACUGAAUUUUUCGUGCGAAUUCAUGUCGUAUUAAUGGAUCGUGCACAAUAUUGUCUCCUCUAAACUUAGAUACUUUAGUCGAUUUAAGAAAAAACUAGAUGUUAUCCAUAACCAUAUCUCUAUUAUCACUGUUGAUAUCUCUAUUAUUACUCCAUAUAGCGUCCUUAUUCGUGUAUGAUGUCAUACGGAGCCUAAUAACAUGUUUUCUUGUUUUGUUCUAAAAAAGUUUUUUGAAAGAAGUAGAGACCAGUAAAUGAAAUUAAAAAAAAUUAAACCUCCAAUAAAUAUGGCCAUGGAAACAUGGUCUAACGCUAAAUAUAAAAUAAAAUAAGGGCAACUAAACUUGCCAUGGCCACAGACAUAGUGGCUUAAUAGUAAGUAAAUAAAAUUAACUUUGGAUAAACUGUGGUGAGGGAGUUGGAAUAGUACACAUUGAAAAGUAUCUCAGUUUUGCUUUAUAAAUAAUCUGCAUUUGCAAGCACUGCAAUGCACACACAAAAUCUCAGAUGGAUUCCACAGAAGUAGCUACUAAGCCACAUGCUGUUUGCAUUCCAUUCCCUGCUCAAAGCCAUAUAAAGGCAAUGCUUAAAUUUGCAAAGCUCCUCCACCAUAGAGGUUUUCAUAUAACCUUUGUUAACACACAGUUCAAUCACAAGCGCUUUCUUAAAACUCUAGGAUCCAAUUCCCUCGAUGGCUUGCCUGAUUUUCAAUUUGAAGCCAUCCCGGAUAGCCUUCCAGAUUCAAAUGAAGACACCACACAAGAUGUCGUUAAAAAAAUAAAGUUAGACCAUUUUCAACAAAGAAAUUAUGUGGAAGUUUCUUUAAAACCUUGUAUAAUUAUGUUGGAGAUAUUGACCUGAUGAUAAAGCAUAAUCUCUCAUUAAUACUUGAAUGCUUAAUCUGAAAGAAAGAAAAGAAAAGAAACAAGAAAACACAGACAAGGUUAAAGAAAAGACAAAAUCCAAAAGCUUACUUUGUUUCCUCGUCUUUCCAAAUCCAAAUCCAAAUCCAAACGCCACUCAAAUCAGUUAGGAAGUUUCUGAUUGUUUAUUUCAUUUCAUACUAGAUACAAAGAUAACAACAGCUUGAGUAAAAAAGAACAAAAUUGAUAUUUUAAAUUAGAUGCUCCAUUUCAAACCAUAGACACUCCUCUAACGUGAGCUUGAUGAUUAGGGACAAAACCACAUGAAUGUUAUUUCACCAUAAUGUUCGUUUUAGUCAUUGUACACAACUCACAACACUUUCACACAAAAAAUUAUUAUUGUACCAACAUCACUUUUAAUAAAAAGUUGUCAAAAGACAAACUGCUUUCUUUCACAACUGAUUUCUCUCACAGCAAAUCUGACUGUAAUUAUUUUCACAUCACAACAAUGCCAAACUAGCUUCGUUUUAGAUCCUUAUUUCUAUUCCUACUUGGUUUAGGAUUCCUAUUUUAAUCUUAUUUCCUACCCACUAUAAAUAAGGCUUUUAGGAAGUCACAUUAUUAUUUGUGGCUAGAGAGUGUCUAUGAGUGUGGUUACGAACCAAAUUACAAGUGAGUGUGAGGAAUUGGUAACAAUUCACUAUAGAAAUACAAGAGAAAAAAUAAUUUCAAACACUCCGAAGUUUUCUUUCUACUAACUAGCCAGGUGAUGUUGAGGGAUUAAGCCUUCUUCAAUUAUACACCAAGCGAGAAGAACCAUUCACUACUACAAAAAAGCAAAAAGACGACGGUAAAUUACCGUCGUGUAUUCGGUUUUUCAAUGGUCGUGGAAUCCACCGUCAUCUUUUUCCUCAUAAACCACGACGCUAAAUCACCGUCGUUGUUAAAAUAUACAACGUCAUCAUCAAAUACAAAACGACGUCUUUGUACUGCAAAAAGAUCUAAAAAAGCAGUCGAGGAUGAGAAUAGACGACCAACUUUCUAAAAAAACCGUCGUUAAAAAGGAAAAAUAUGACACAUAUUAACAGAACAAGGCCGCAAGAUAGACAUACAACGACGAAAAUUAAAAUAAGACGCCGUUAAAUAUCAUUUUCACGACAAUAAAAAAUAUGACGUCUUUAAAUACAUUAGAAGACGACGUUAUUGAUACCUACUACGUCGCCUAUAUAAAAACAGCCGUCCUAAAAUAAAUUUUCCACUUCGAUUUUUCUAUAAAAGAUGACGUGGAAAUAUUUGUCAGUGUCAUUAUUUACGACGUAUGUAUUUAUAGAGUAGACGUUGAACAACGAAACAACGUCGGUUACAAAUAUAUGAGAGUCGUAUUACAAAAUUUAUACGUCCUAUUUUCAGAAACAAACAACGACGAUAAAUAUUAGACGUUGUUAAAUAAAACAACGUAGAAAACAAAUAAAAACAGACGUGUUUAGUCUGCUAAAGUUCUAAAAAAUAGUCGAGGAUGAGAAUAGACGACCAACUCAAACAAAUCACCGUCGUUAAAAAGGAAAAAUAUGACACAUAUUAAAAGAACAAGGCCGCAAGAUAGACAUACAACGACGACAACUAAAACACUACGCCGUUAAAUAUAAUUUUCACGACAAGAAAAAAUAUGACGUCUUUAAAUACAUGAGAAGACGACGUUAUUGAUAUCUACUACGUCUCUUAUUUACAAACAACCGUCGUGAAAUAAAUUUUCCACUUCGAUUUUUCUAAAAAAGAUGACGUGGAAAUAGUUGUCAGUGUCAUUAUUUACGACGUAUGUAUUUAUAUAGUUGACGUUGAAAUGCGAAACAACGUCGGUGGCAUUUAUUUACGACGUAUGUAUUUAUAUAGUUGACGUUGAAAUGCGAAACAACGUCAACUAUAUAGUCGACGUUGUAUUUAUAUGUAUUCAUUACUCACAACGCACUUAUUAAUAUAGACGACGUUGAACUUCUAAACAACGUCGGUUCUAAAUAAAUGAGAGCCGUAUUACAGAACAUAUAGACGGCGUUGAUUAUGAUGAGAGCCGUAUUACAAAUAACGUCGUUUAAUUGAUAUUAGACGGCGGUUAUAAUGAAUUACCGUCGGAAUUCAUUUCGUUCCUCUUCGUUUAUAAAAGAACUUGCGACGUGGAAAAUGUAUGAUGACGUCGUAUUUUUUAACGUUCAGAUUAUAUAUCUCGUUUUUUAGACGUCGGUAUUAUGGGAUUGGAGUCGUGUUAUUUUGAAUUACAUGGCGGUUCUUAAUCCUUCCCCGACGUGAUAUCCUGAAUAAUUGCUUCACAAUAGCGUCGUGGUUCUUCAUUGUUACGUUGCUUUAAGACGUCGGUAAAUAUGCUGAAUAACUGGUUCACAAUAACGUCGUGUUUUAUUUGAACAGACGUCGUUUUUUAUGCAGAAUAUAAUGAUGUAAUCUGGAACCAGUAUUUUUUGCACUGAUUGUUUUGUGGCCAAAACCUGUAUAAUGAAAGUGAAGAAAUCACAUUACAAUAUAUUACAAAAUUAAUGUCAUACACUGCCAAUUACAUAAGCAUCAUUCAAUCCAUAUAUCUUCACACCCAUCUCGAAUAUUUUGACCACCUAACUCACCCACCAGUUCAUCAAAUGUGUCAACAUUUGGCAUCCCUCUAGUAAAUGGCUCACACUCAAUUAUGACAUCACCUAAGACUUCAACACCAAUAACAUCAUUAUAUUCUCUAUUAGGCAUUGAUAACACUACCGACCAACCACGAUGCAUCGGGUCGUCAACAAAAAAUAUUUGUUUGACUUGAGAAGCCAAAACAAAUUGGUCAUUCCUAUGUCCAAUUUUACUCAAAUCUACAAGGGUAAAUCCAAGUUCGUCGACUACAAGACCAGAACUAUCUAUCCAAUCACACCUAAAGACUGGGAUUGUAAACUUUUGGUAGUCAAGGUCCCAAAUUUCUUGAAUGACACCAUAGAAACCCAUAUUUGAGAGAAUUGGGUUUUUAUCCUUGACACUAGCAACUUGCAUGGUAUGUGCAAGUAAAUAAACUCCACUAUUUUGAGUUGUCCGCACAUCAUCUUGUGCCUUGAUAUUGAAUUUAAUACCUUUAAUAAGAUAGCUCCUAUAUAAUGGCACUGCCAUGUUUGGACUAGCUGCUAGCCACCUUAAAUUUUCUGAUACGCCAUGAUUGUCUUCCUCAAGUUCACUUUGAACCUGCAAAUUAAUCAUAUCUUAAUUCAAUCUAACAUAGAAAUAAGAAGAAAAUUAAAAGAGAAAUAUGUUAUUCAACAACAUAUACCUUGAAGCGUAGCCAUUGAAUGAAAGUGCUAUUGUGCUUAUCCUGCAGCCACUUUGUUCUCUUUCUAAAUUUUGGAUAAGCAGUUUUGAUGUGGAUCAUAUGUUGCCUACAUGACACGAAAAAUUCAAGCAUUACGGUCCCAAAUAUAUAAGAUAAACAUAAGAAAUAAUUUAAAAUGGAAACUUAAAGAAUAAAACUCAUACGUACUCGAUAUAAGGUAGGACUUCCUCUGUAUUCUCCAAGACAUAUAGAUGUGCUUGAUUCAACAGGUCCUGAUCAACUACGCUCAUUGUGCAACCUGAUAAUGGCUUUGAAACUCCCAUCUUUUGGCUUGAAAGCAUUCCAACUGUACUAACAUCAGAUAAAUGCUGAGUACAAAACUCUACCGCUUCUUCAGCUAUAUACCGCUCAGCAAUGCAACCUUCGGGACGAGUACGAUUCUGAACAUAUCCCUUCAGCACUUUCAUAUAUCUUUCAAACGGAUACAUCCACCUAAAAUAUACUGGCCCACAUAGACGAACUUCUCUGACAAGAUGUACUACUAGAUGAACCAUGAUAUCAAAGAAUGAAGGGGGAAAGUACUUCUCAAGCAAACACAGAGUAACUACUACAUCUUCUUCCAACUUAUCUAGCUUGGAAACAUCAACAGUCUUUGCACAUAUAGCAUUGAAGAAGAAGCACAAACGAGUUAUUGCAUACCUUGCAGGCUUCUCCAAAACAGAAUGAAUUGCCACAGGGAGCAAUUGUUGCAUUAAGGUAUGACAAUCAUGUGAUUUAAGGCCAAGAAGUCUUGAAUCUUGUAAAGAUACAAGAUUUUUAAUAUUUGAAGAAUAACCUUCAGGGACCUUCAUACCAUAGAAAGAAUUGCAAACCUCUCUCUUCUCUGCUCUUGACAAAUUCCAAGGCCCAGGAGGCAAACGAGUACGUCUUUCUCCAUACUCGGGUUGCAAAUCAGUUUUGACCCCCAUGUUCAAUAAAUCUAAUCGAGCAGCAAUCCCAUCUUUAUUUUUUCCAGGGAUCUCCAGCAAUGUACCAAUGAUACUAUCGCAAACAUUCUUCUCAAUGUGCAUAACAUCUAGGGCAUGCCUCACAGGAAGGUAUUUCCAAUACUCGAGAUCAAAGAAUAUUGAUUUCUUCUUCCAACAAACUCUGUCACCAUUUUCAACCAUAUGCAGCACUUCUUCUCCGGUUAAUGGCUCGGGAGGUAUGCCAUAUUCAGGUUUCCCAUUAAAAGCUGCACGUUGCCUCCUAUAUGGAUGAUUGAUUGGUAACCAUUUUCUAUGCCCAAUGUAACAAAUUUUGUGGCCAUUUUUCAACCUGUGACUAGGUGUAUCAUCGCUGCAUAUUGGACAAGCUUUAUAUCCUUUAACAACACAACCAGAUAAGUUUUCAUAUGCGGGGAAAUCAUUAAUUGUCCACAUUAAUGCAGCUCUGAGUGUAAAGUAUUCUCCAUUAUGUGCAUCAUACACUCCUCUAAUCCCAUCCCACAAAGAUUUUAAAUCAUCAAUCAAAGGCUCCAAGUAGACGUCUAUAUCAUUUCCGGGUUGUUUAGGACCGGAAAUCAAUAAGGUUAACAUCAUGAACUUUCGUUUCAUGCACAGCCAUGGAGGGAGAUUAUAUGUAACUAAGAUAACCGGCCAACAACUAUAUCUGCUACUUAGAGAACUGUGUGGAUUGAAUCCAUCAGAUGAAAGAGCCAAUCUCAAGUUUCUCGGCUCAUUACCAAACUCAGGCCAUUUAUCAUCAAGAAGUUUCCAAGACGGGGAAUCCGCCGGAUGAGACAUCUGACCGUCAAUUGAUUUUCUAGCAGCAUGCCAAGUCAAACUCUUAGCUGUCUCAUGUGAUUGAAACAUCCUUUUAAACCUUGGAAUUGGAGGAAAAUACCACACCACCUUCGCUGGCACACCCUCUUUCAAGAUUGAAUCUUUGCCUUCCUUCCACCUUGAGAUACCACAAGUAGGACAAUUAGUUGAAUCCUCAUACUCCUUCCUAUACAAGAUGCAAUCAUUGGGGCAUGCGUGCAUUUUCUCAUAACUCAGCCCCAAUGCACACAAAGUCUUUUUAGCCUCAUACAUAGAGGUUGGUAUUGUAUUUCCUUCUGGAAGCAAAUCGCCUUGAAGUAUCAAUAAUUUUGUAAAACAGACAUCACUCAUCCCAUGUUUUUCCUUCAAAUUAUACAACUUCACUAAUGCCGAUAACUUCGUGUACUUUCUACAACCAGGGUACACUGGUUGAUCUCCAUCCCCAAUCACAUUGGCAAACUCAUACGGAUCGGAACCAAAAUCACCAAAAUCAUUGUCAUCCAUAUCAAUUUCUUCAGACACAAAACUGUACCUACUAUGGCCAUCAUCUUCUUCAACAUUUCUACUAGCAUUAGUAGUUGCUUCCCAAGGUUCUCCGUGAAAUGUCCAAUUCUUAUAGCUUUGGUCAAUUCCAUUAAAGUAUACGUGAUCCCUUAUAAUUCCAACCCCAAACAACUUCAAAUUAACACAUUUAACACAUGGACAACGGAUAUGUGUUGUAGUUAGAAGAUUUUCUACAGCAAAGUUCAAAAAUGCUUCCACCCCCAAACUCAUAUGCCUUCGAUCUUCUAUCCGAGUGCAUCCAUGACUUAUCUAUCUCCGACACUAUAACCUAUUAUCUAUAAUAAAGUGAAAAUACAGGCAAUGACCAUCACUAUAGCAGAUUAUACAAAGAUCUAAUAGCAAGUAAUACACAAAAGAGACGACGGGUUUUAAACAAAAACAGACGUAUUUGGCAUAUAUAGACGACGGAUUUUCAACAGACGUCGUCUAAUAUAAGUAAUACAAACGACGGUUUAUGAAAAAACCGUCGUGUAUAAGUAAUACAACGACGGUUUUUUCAUAAACCGUCGUGUAAUGAUCGUCGUAUGCCUAAAAAGGCGUCGUGUCUCAGUUUAUUUUCAAGAACCCAAAACCCAUUAAGAACACAACAUAUAUAUGAAACCAAGCAAGAAACCAACAUAUACAUGAAACCAAGCAUGAAAACAAUAAAUCCAUUCCCAAUUCAACAUAACAUAGGGUGAUUAAAAGAUCCGACAAAAUUAAAUCCAUUCCCAAUUCAACAUAACAGAUAAUGUAAUCCAUGAACCCAUUAAAGAGAAAAUCCAUGAACCCAUACCUAUAAGCACAUUAUUAACAGAUCACAAAGCAUAUACCUAAAACCCUUUAACAAAACAACCUAAUAUCAUUCAAUGAAUUUACAAGGGGAAGAUAGGGUUUGUACUUACAGGUUGGACGAGCUCACAGAUUCGACGGAGCCUGGAGAGUGCAACUUUUAAUUAGAGCAGAAGUGAGAGAGCGAAAUGUUAUGUUGCGCGAAAUCUGAAAAUUUUAGGGUUCAGGGUUAGAAGUAUAAGAAUAAGAGCCAAAUCUAAAAAAUUUAGGUGGCGCGAAAUUUUUUAGAGAGCGCGCUCUUUAAAACGUCGAAAGAAAAACCAUGGCGAAAGUUCUACAAGAACCGACGUAAAUGUAAUAUUCCACGACGGAAACACUGAACGUAACGCCAUUUAUUUUGACGCUUCAUUUUUCGGAUUAAUUUUAAAUUUAUUUUGAAUAUUUUGAUAUAAAGACAACUGAAAAACCACGUCGGGGUUAAGAAAUUUAAGACGUUGUAAAUUAUAAUAGACGACUUACAUAUUAAAAUGACGUCGUUUAAAGUAUAAACCAUGUCGGAUAUUUUACUGCACGACGUAACAUAUGUAUUCCACGACUCAACUACCGUCGUUAAAAAUUAAUACCCUAAACCCUUAAAACUAAAUUACAUAAUUUAAAAAUUUAAGUUUAUAAAAGGGUUUAUGGUUUUACAGCCUAAUAUAUACCCUAUACUACCCAAAAAUUAUACUUUAAAAAUAAACCCCAAUAAAUAACAACCCUAAUCUCUAAACCCUAGACUCUAAACCCUAAACCAUAAAACUAGAAGUGAUUUUAUGACUCAUCAAAACAAUUUUGUUUUGGAUGGUCAUUUUAAAUUUUUGUUAUUCAAAAUGAAUUUUUUCAAGGUUUAGGGGGAAGAAAAUAUAUCAAAGACUUCAUAGGAGUUGACUUUGCAUUUUUCUGAUUUAUUUUAAAUUUAUUUUGAAUAUUUUGAUAUAAAAAUAAUAAAAUAUUCUUAUCACAACAACAAACCACGUCGGUGUUAAUAAAUUGUAGACGUUGUAAAUUGUAAUAGACGACUAAGUUGUUAAAAUGACGUCGUUUAAAUGAGAAACCAUGGCGGAUAUUUAACUAUCCGACGUAAAAUAUAUAUUCCACGACUUAACCGCUGUCGUUGCAAAGUACUACCCUGAACCCUUAAGAAAUUGAAGACGUUGUAAACCAUAAACGACUCAAUUGUUCAAAGAACGUCGUCUAAAUAUCCUUUUACGUCGGAUUUGUUUAAAACGAAACAACAAAAAACGACGGUUUUUGACUUUAUUAGGUCGUUGGAAAAGUAUUACACGUCGGUUACGCAAUUUGUAUGUUUGUUUUUUUUUUUAAUUUAAGAAAACCUCAACAAAUUUUUACAUUAUAUAUUAUAGACAAAAUUUGUACAUUAUACAUAAAUAUCAAGUGUUCAAUAAUUCCCCUAUUCCAGGUGAAGGCAAACAAACUCUGCCCAUUCAUUCCGGACUUCAUCAAUUGCUUCUUGGGGGUAUGGCGCUUCCUGUUUUCCCUUGGCAUACUGCAUAAACAAUGACUAUUAGGGUUUAUAAAUAAAAAGAAAUUCAAUCACAGACGACGAUAUUUUUCAUAACCGACGUAGUAUAUCUAUUCAACGACGGUAAUUUUACAUGACCGUCGUUGAUAAUACAAAAAAUGACGUAAAAUGUAUGAAGGUAAUUUCUUCUUACCUUCUUCUCAAACACCAAGGAAGGAUCCAUGAUGAUGUCCCUCAUGAAGCGCAUCACAUAAUACCCGCAUUCGACACUGCUGGGUUGCUUUGGUGUGCCUGACAGAGUUUUUCAAAUUACUGCUUUACGGCCUGAUCUGGCUAUGUGAGAAUUAUAUAUUUUUAUAGCACUGUUCACGAUGUUUUUGGCCUCUUCAUCGACCACACGAUUUCCGGGCAGAGGAUCCAGAAAAUAGACGAUUUCCCUCUUUGCUCUCACAAUCAGCAAGAUCCAAUGACGGCUGCACAAAAUUAAUAUAAAAACGACGGUUAUUUACAAAAACGACGUAUUAUAAUAUUUCACACGACGAAAUAAAGUAGCAAUCGACGGCAUUAUAUAUUUAUCAUGACGAUAAAUAACUACCGACGUGGUUAGUAGUUUCAAACGACUCAAUAAAAUAAAACACCGACGUGGUUAGUUUAUACGCUGUCAUUUAUUGAAAAUCAUAAAAACAAAAUCCUGUUAAGGAGACUAACCCUGGAUUGUAAGGCAUCAUGAAAAUCUGUUCACCAUCAGUCCUCUGAAGUCGAGCUGCUACCGGUCGUGAUCUGUCAGCUAUUGUCCCAGAGUUGGCACUAACUGUAGCAGGGUUGAUAAAGCCAACCAUGCUGCACAUAUUUGCUUGUUUCAAAAGAUCGUGUAAGUACCUAAAUAUAUAAAAUAAUAUAAACAAGUCAGCACAAAAAAAACACACGACGGUUAUGUAUAACAAAACGACGUAUUAUAAAAUUUCACACGACGUACUGAAAUAGACAACAACGUUAUAAUAUAUUUAUCACGACGGUACAUACUAACGACGUGGUUAGUUAGUUAAGACGACGCAAUAAAUAAACCAACGACGUAUUAUUUUAGAAUGACAAACCUCAUAUAUACAGCAAUGACAGUGGCUCCUAUUUCUUCCAUGCCUGCAAAUUGUGUAAUAUCUUCAGGCAGGAGGAAGGUAUCGCGUUCUAGACCAAACACCUUCUUAUCAAUUGUAAAGUUCAGGGUCUUAUCCUGAGGCACGAGUGUCGUUUUCACAUAACGACAAAGGGAUUUGAAAGAAGAUGGCGCCUCCAUAUUUGAAUAAUCAACAACUUUAAUAACCUGUUCAAAGAAAUAAAAAAAAUGACGUGGUAAUUCAAUAAAAACGACGGUUUAAGGAAUAAAACGUCGUCUGAAAAGAAUUUAAACGACGGUGAAAAAACCGUCGUGGUGAAUAAUUUAUUACGUCUUAGAAAAAAAUUCGCCGUCUAAGUUGUAAACAAACGACGGUUUAAAGAAAAAUAUCGAUGUCUGAAAUUUUGAAAAACAAAUAAAAAAGGCAAAGUUAUGUGAACAUACCUGGUCGUCAUGCUUUUCUUCAUCUUCUUUCUCCUUUUCAUCUUGUUUUUCUUCUUUCUUCUCUUCAUCUUUUUUUUCUUCUUCCUUCUCUUCAUCUUUUUUUUCUUCAUUCUUCUCUUCAUCUUGAUUUCCUUCAUUUUUCGGUUUUUAGUAAUAAAGAAUGUAGAGAAAUUAAAAAAAUUAAAUUCAAACGUCGUGGUAAGACAAAACACAAGAUAGUAUGGACGUCUUAAAUUAUUAAACGAUGGUAAAUAGUAAACGUCGUGGGAUUUAUAUAUUACGUCGGGAAUGACUAACACCGUCGUCUAAAAACCACAAAGUUUUAAAAAUAACGACGUUUAAUGGCGUGUAAAACAAGUAAACUAAAUACGACGUGGUAUUGAAAUACAAACGACGGUUUAUUUUUAAAAUCGUCGUGGUAUGUAUUUCAAACGACGGUUUUAUUAAUAAUAACGACGUCUAAUAGUUUUUUAAAAAACAGAGAAUUCAAAGUUCAAAUAUGUUACCUUUUCUUCCUGAUGUUUCCCAUUUUUGGCAGUAUCAUCCUCAAAAUGUAGGGAUCUCACAUCACCUCCAGAGCAGCUUGCUUUGUCAGACAUUGGAUUUCUGAGACUUUGGCUAAUUCUUGGUUUAAGCAUGCUUGGAUCAAAAUUGGGAAUUAAUUGGGAAAGCUGACUCAGGAAAUGCUCCCUCUCAGCCUCUACCAAUUGUUUGGUUCUAGCCUCCAUCCUUAAAGCCUCUUCCCUUGCCUUAGCUUCCAUCUUUUUAUUCUCUUCUUGAAGGAGAACUCUUAAACUGUCCUUUAAACGGUCGUCAAAGCUCAUCCUCUGUGGUUUGGGUAAAUUGAAAUAUUGCCUUGGGGAAAUCCCAGCACCUACACCUCUCACUCUGCCUGGAUGCUCGGGGUCCAAAGCCAUGGUCAGCACAUCAUUGCUGCCAGAUACACUGACUUUGCCUUCCGAGACUUGUUUUUGCAAUUCAUCCUAAAACAAAGAUAUAUAAAAAAGUAAGAACAAAAAACACACGACGGUUAUUUAUAUACAAACGACGUAUUAUAUAAUUUCACACGACGCAAUAACAUAUAAAUCGACGUUAUUAUAAUUUAUCACAACGGUAGUUAUACCGACGUGGUUAGUUUUUUAAAACGACGAAAUGAAUAAACCACCGACGUCUUAUGCUUUAUUUACAGAUAACAGAGGGAUGAUUCAAUAUUCACACCUUUAACGACCUUGUUUAACACAUUUCGACGUAGUAAUUUAAUACAAACGACGCGAAAAUGAACCACCGACAUCUUAUGCUAUAAUUACAGAAAACAGAGUAGUGAUUCCUGAUUUAGACCUUUAACGACGUUUUUAAAAAAAUGUCGACGUGGUAAUAUCAUUCACACGACGCAAAAUAUAACAUAAGACGUGAUAAGAAUUAUUCACAGUUUAAUAAAAAUUUAAAACAGAGUGAGUAGGCUUACAAUUAAUUUUGCUUUCUCUGCCACCUUUGGAUCUGGGAUGUUACCAUGUUUGUCCUGUCUAGCUCUUUUCCAUAAGGUAGAUCGAUCAAUUUCUACCCCAGGCAUGGUUUCCUCCAAUUGAUCCUCCAAACCAGCAUAUCCUUUUCGAGACAAUCGAUGAUUGUACUCAAGUUUCUCCCUAAUCUGUGCAUGUUGAGAAUGCACAGACUCAAAAUCUUUGGAUAACUUUGAAGCUACAAAGGCAUCCCAUUGUGCUUUCUCUAUGAAUUUAUAUGUCUCAGGGGGUUGGCUUAAUCUCUCCCUGUCAUUGAUGUAUGGAAGGAUAUAAUGCCUCGUUAGUGUAGACUUGAAAUCCUUCCAUUUCUUGGCAGCAGAAGCUAACACAGAGUUCUUGCCCCCUUGACCUACCACAAAAGCAAUGUCAACUGCUUCCCAAAUCUGCUCCUUUAUAUCCUUGGGAAUUUGAGCCCAUUUCAUGUCCACAAGUGGAACUCUGGAGCGUGCCAACACACCAAUGUAGGACUGCAUCUCACUAUGUGCUUGGCCAAUUCCUUUCCCCCUUUUAUUGUACUCAACAAUUGGCCUGAGUUUAUGAAGUUUUCUCUUCACAACACGAGGCAUUGUGUUCAUACCUCGACCAGACUUUGAAUCAUCAGAGAUUGUUGUCGUGCUGGUUGGUUCUGUCUCAGCAGAUGAUGAAGAAAACUUCAUCUUCUUCAAAGACUUCUCUUCAGAAGUUACCAUUCCAAGCUCCUUACCUCCAUUUUUCUUGGAGCCAGAGUCCUUACUUUGGUCUUGAGAAACCAUUUUUACAGACAAAACUGCAAGUGAAAAUAUUUCAGGAAAAGAUUAAGAACACAAACGACGGUUAUUAAUAAAAUAUGACGUAUGAUAUGAUUUUAAACGACGCAAUGAAAUAAUCUCAGACGUAAUAAAUGUUUAAAACCAAGGUAAUUAAACAACGACGAAAUAAUAUAAAAUAAGACGUAAUAAUAACUUAUUACGUCGAUAUUUACCGGACGACGUGAUAAUUAACUAUAAACGACGAAAUAUUUAUAUAACGUCGUGGUAUUGAUGUUCACACGACGUCAAUAGUAAUAUACCGUCGUCUAUAUAAGGAUCCAAAAUCCUUCUUUCUUUCUCUGUGAAUGUUUGAUUGUAGAUUUGAUUUUUCUGAACCAUGGUUUUUGUUUUCUAAUUUGAUAAAAUACAAGGCCAAGAAAGAAAGUUUUGGAAUCUUAUAUAGACGACGGUAUUUUAAUAUGACGUCGUUAUAUUAACAUUCACACGACGUAAAAUAAUAAGAUACUGUCGUCUAUAUUAGAUACCAACCCUACUUUCUUUUUCUUUAUAUUUUAUCAAAUUAGGGAAAAACAAAAACCAUUGUUCAGAGAAAUCAAACCUGCAAUUAAACAAGCAAAUAAAAAAAAGACUAUAAUUUUAAAAACAACUUUGUCAAUUUUCAGACGACGCUAGAACGACUGACGAACCGUCGUGGUCUACAUAUUUAACCACGUAAAUAAGAAGCUACCGUCGUCUUAUUUAGUUGAGGUAGUUGUCUUCAAAGUUGGAAACUUUCCCUCUUUGUCUGUAUAUUUUAUCAAACUUGGAAAGAAGUAAAAUGAUUUUGGCCAGAAAAAAGGUAAAAAGAUUUUUCAAACAAAAAACGUAUGAGCAUGCAAAAUAGCAACCAAAAUAGUGAAAAUGAAAUCUUACCUUUUGCGUGCAAUGAAAGCAAGAGGAAGACGAUGUUUAAGUUCAGAGACGACGAAGAAGACGAGAGGAAGACGAUAAGAUACUCUGACAGUGCUCUGACAAGGAAAAAAGUCAAAAAGUUUUCUCUGGGAGAUUGAAAUUUUUAAUCGGGUUUGGAAACAGUGCAUGUGUAAGUCAGGUAGACGAAAAGUUGCUUACAUAUAAAACCAUUUCAAAAAAAUAAUACGGCGGUUACAUAUAACUACGACGUAUAAAUUACAAAAUACGACGGUACAUUUAACUUCGGACGUGGUAAAUAAAUACGACAGUAGUGUUGUAGGUACCGUCGUAAUAAACUCAAAAAUUAAAGUACAUAAGUAAUAACUCGCGUCAUGGUAGAUUAUUUAACACGUCGUUUUUAUUAAUUUACCGACGUUGAUUUUACAAUUUAAACGGCGGUUUUUUUGUAAGGACCGCCGUUGGUUUUAAAAAUUUAUUCUAUAAAUUUGUCGCUUUCAUUCAUUUUCGGUUUACAUUUAGGGUUCCAAGUUCUUCCUCUCUCAGAGACACUGUCUCUCACAUCUCAAAGACAAUAAUUUGGAUGUCUUUCUCAAAGAGAAAUUGAGCUUACUCGCAUCAAAUCUAUGUCCACAAGAAGAAGCUUGUCAACUAGCCUUCUCACUUCCUUGAUCAAGCCUGAUAGGACACUUAGUGCUUCUGAAUACUCCUUGCUUUCCAUCAAAAGAGAUGCAAGCCUGGGCUCCACUCGCUGUCGAAGGAAAGUUCGCUUCUCAGGGAAAUCUGAAGAUCAGAUGUGCCUGAUCCUCUGCUUGAUUUUCUUGGCUAAGAAGAUCCGUCAUAUUUGUGAUAGCCUCUUCCUUUAUCCGUAGAGCUUCAGACGAAGAAGAUGGGUUUCAAGAAUGCGAUAAAGAAUAGAAAUGGCUUCAGAUGGCCUCUAAAGACAUUGUCAAUGCUUUGAACUAUACAAGUCCUGUAGAAAGAUAAAGGACCAAACUGUUAAAGAAACUGAAACAACGGCGGUUUUCUGUUCUACCGUCGUCUUUUUUCGUCGUCUAUAUUAAGGUAAGAUGGCGGUAGAUUUAUAAUUACCGACGUAGAUUAUUUUGUUAAACGUCGUUAAGUGUAAUACAACCGACGUGGAUUUUAUUUUUAAAUUAUAAAUAGAGUUUUUUUUCCCGAAUUCUUUCAGUUUUAGUUUUCAAUUACAAAGCGUGAUAAAUAGAUUUUUCUUUCCCGAGGAAAUUUAAAAUGAGGGAAAUUAAUGUUCUAGAAUUUGUAAACUAACACGACGCAAUAUUACUAACCAGAGGAAAUUAUAAACAGAUUUUGCUUUCCCGAAGAAAUUUUAAAUUAAUUCAGUUUGAAACAAGGACGGUUUUUUGUUAUGCCGUCGUUUUUAACUAACACGACGCAAUAUUUGUUUUGCGACAUGGAAUCUUUUCAUUUAACGUCGUUAGGUUUAAUAUAAUCGACGUGGAUUUGAAUUUUUAAAUUAUGAAUAGAAUUUUUUUUCCCGUGACCUUUCAGUUUAUUUUUCAAUUACAGUGCGUUAUAAAUAGAGUUUUUUUUCCGGAGGAAAUUUAAAAUGAAGGAAAUUAAUGUUCUAGAAUAUGUAAAGUUUCUUUUUUGGAUGACAGAUUUAAAUAAAAUAAGAAUAUAAAAACAACGACUGUUUUUGUAUUACUGUCGUCGUUUUUCGUCGUCUUAAGUAAGACUAAGACGACGUAAUAUAUUUGUUGAGCGACGUUGAUUUGUUUUUUAAACGUCGUUAGGUAUAAUAUAACCGUCGUUGAAAAUUGUCUCUCUGAUUGCAAAUUUGCAACGACGUUAGGUAUAAUAUUUGUAGAUACACAAACGCACACACAUCAUCAACUUCCAAAAAAUUGUCUCUCUGAUUGCAAAUCUGUGUUAUCUGUUAAGAUUAUGAUGUGGAACAGAGUUCCAUCUGGUAAGAUUUCUUAACCCUUGGGAUCUUAGAAAAAUCUGAUUAUGUCGGCGGUUUUCUAUAUAAACCGUCGUGGUUAUUUCAAUUCUUGUCAUUAAGUAGAUCUACCGACGUAGGAUAAGAAAAUCAAAGAAAAAAAUUGUUAACAAAAAUUCUUAUUAAGACGACGGUUUAAAUUAAAGGUACGACGUAUAAAAUGAAUAAAUACGACGUUAAAUUUUAUAGUACGAUUUAAAGAUAACGUCGUAGAACUAUACGAGAAUGACGUCGAUAUAUUUAUAUUUUCCGUCGUUGUACAUUAAUUUAAUACGGCGAUAUUUUGUAUUUUAAAGCCGUGGAUUUGUUUGUAAUUAUACGGCGUCUUAUACGAAAACCUCGUCGUGUUAUUUUAUGAGUAAAAACGGCGGCUUUUAUUGAAAUCGUCGUCUUUACUUUCUACGUCGGUCGAUUCAUAACUUCUGCCGUUCUUUGUUGGCUUUGAUUUUACACUGCGGAAAUCUGUUUCAAAUAGACGUCGGUUGUUUAAUUCGGUACAUCGUUGUUUUUGAACAGCCAUUUGAAUCUCCAUUUUUUAGUUGUCUAAGGUGGUAUUACACGACGGUGUUUUUAGAACCGUCGUCUUUUUAAAAACCACGACGGUUUUCACUUAGACCGUCGUUGUUUUCUGGUCGUCUUUUUCACUUUUUGUAGUAGUGAUUGCUAAAUGGAACAAGGAAAUUACAUAAUAUUACAAAUGAAACUAAGCUCUAGUGAUCUCCAUGUGCCCAAAAAUCAAACCCGAUCCAAUGCAUCUUCGUGGUUUAAUGAAUAUGGCACUUUGCUUGAAAAAGGACUUGCACACUCAAAUAUCUUUUAUAUGCAAAGAGCUUCCAUUGAGGAAUUACUUAAAUAAGUUAUUUGGAGGACACCCUUGUAGGGCCCACUUCACAUUAUAUUUCACUAAUGAAUAAUAAGGCCAUGGAGUGGAAAACAAUUUGAAUCUUUAUUCUGAUUGCUUGAUAUAACGUUUAAUUGGGUUUAAUUGUGAAAAAUACUGUAUACCCACUAAAAUAUCAUUUACCUGUUUGUUUGUUCUGGGCAUUAAAUUCUGUUGGGUAUCUUUGUUUUUAACGUAGACUUUCCCUUCAAUUUAUUUGAUUCCUACAAGGAAAACUUUUGCAGAAGAAGCUACUGGUCCACAUGGUUCUUCAUCCACAAACUUAGACAAUUUAGUGAAGCAAGUGCUAUUGAGAAAAAGUGAAGAUGUUUCCAUAAGAAUAUUGAUGUUAUUAAUUAUCAUUUCCAUUGCCAUUGUCUCAAAUAAUCAACUAUCUGGCAAUAUAUAUGUACUACUGGUCUGUAACCAUGAUGCAUACUAUAUCUAGAAUUUUUUUCUGAUUAAGGUUUCACUACGCUUCAGGCCUUUAACUCUAAAAUCUUAUUGGAGAAUCGGCUAAUAUUUAAUUAUUUUUUUAUACGUAUUUCCUUUUUAUUAUGUUCUAUACAUAUUUAAUUGGAUUACUACUCUCAAGGAAGAUUAUCCUUAAGUAUUAUAUUCAACAAAUUACUAUUCAUGUGUCAGUUGGUUUACAUUUAUUGUAUUAAAUCAAUACUCACCAAUUCUUUAAAGUGUGAGAUAAUUAGUCACAAAUAAUGGUGACUAGUAACCAAAGUCAUUGACCACCCAUUCAAAUGUCACCAAAACUAUUUUGUUGCUAUACAAAUAUGACUAAUGCUUUCUAUUUUGUCGCCGGAUCAAGGCCGUGAAGUUCCGGGUUAAACCGUGAGUUUCCGACGCCGAUUCCAACCACUUGCCGUCCGAAUUGGACUUGGGUGUAGUUGAAUAAAAUGUUCCACUCGUCGAGUAGAACCUGUAGCCGGGAGGGUGGCUUGUAGUUUGGAGAUUUUCCGGUGAAGCUUUAUCGCUUUGGACACCUGCGCUUGUGGCGGCACGUGGGCACUGUAGCAGAGGGGAAUUAUUGUCCCAAUGCAAUCUCCUGGUUGUCACGAGUACGUAGGAAUUCGCGGAUCUCAAUUCGGAUGUCGUUUGACUAUCGAACGGAUUUUCGCAUAGUGUGCGUUAUCCGGGUUCGAUAGGUUAUGACCGUUGGAUCAUUUCCCAAUUAAAUUAUGUUGUUCUAGGUAUUCCUAGGAUCGUGUAGGACUUCGCAGAUCGUGAAUCGGAGCCCGGAUGUUCCAAUUCAAUAACUUAAAGUUUGAGUUUUAUAUUAACCGUCCGAUCGUGCGAUCGUAAGCGAUCUAACCGUCUGUUUUGGACCAAACUUGCGACACGGGUAUCUUAGACCUUGUGGAACCUUUAGGAACUUACGGAUUGUAAAACGGAGGUCGUGGGUCCCGUGGACCCGGUUGACCUGAAUUGGGAAGUUUGACCGCCGGUUGACCGAGUGUCUCCCGAAGUUGUUCUAUCGUCCAAAUUGAGUAGUUGGACCUUAGAAUGUCUCAUUCCUAGUACACUUACUAGAAACUUGGGAAAUUAGGAUAUUUAAUUCAAAGUACUCGUUCGAAACGCUUCGUAUUAAUCUUGUGUACGUAUUCUGAAUUAGGUACUUCGAUCACGCAUACGCAGCAGGCGGGACCCUCUCAGGGUCAAGCAGCGUGGGACUACUUGUGAGUGAACUUUGUUUUCAAAUCUUAUACAUGUUUUUAUUGAUGAAAGAUUUAUGCAUAAUGUUUUUAAUGAUUUAUUGAAUAUAUUAUAUUCAUGGGUUGAAUUUGAUGUUUGUAUAGCGCUUUGUCAAUAUAUUGUGGGUUUGGCAUUGUUGGGUAUUGAAAGCAUAUUUUAUAUGGAUUUUGGGAAAUAUUAUGCAUGAUGUUUUAAACGGUAUUUUGGAUAUAUUAUUUAUGAAAUUGUUGAAAGUGAUAUUUUUAUGAGGCAUUGAAAAUAUAUUUUGGGUUUUGACAUAUUUGAGUAUCUUGAGUAUGAAUAUAUGGAUUUUGAGGAUUUCUAUAUAUAUUUGGCUAUGUGUGAGGUACUUGGGUUGUUGAGAUGAGAUUGUGGAAAGUGGUGAGUAUAGAAUGUCAGUUUGGUGUGAAGCACUACCCUAUGUACCUCCCCUGAUUUGGAACUUGGAUAUAGAGACUUGAGAUACUUGGAAUUGUCGGAACCCGGGGCAUCCUUGACGGGAUGUUGCUGUACACCCUUAAUUGGGUAGUCUGCGCGUGUAGGACUGAUCACAGACGUAUGAGUUUUGAGGUUAUCGACGGUACGUGCUGGCUGAGAGUUGGUCCCCCAGUUGGACGGCUCGUUCCCUAGUCACAUAGUGGAUUGAGGACUUUUCAUGAGGACUCUGCCAAGGUGACUAGUCAAAAAAUCCCCCGGUUCGAUUGUUUCCCCGGUACAACUAGGUGAUGGUCAUAUUUAUAAUAUAUAUAUCUCUUAUAUGAUAUAUUUAUAUAUAUAUAUAUAUAUCUAUUGAUUCAUUCUUGUUUAUCGGUGUGGAUACUUCCUUGCCGGUCUUACCAAUGGGUACGCUUUCGAGAGUUUAGUUGUGAGAUUUAUAAGUUUUGGAUGGUGGGUUUUGUAAAGCGUUCUUUAUGGAUUUUGAACUUCGUAUCUGGUAUUGAUUUGUUUUGAUAUAUAUAUAUUAUAUAUAUAUAUACUUGAGUAUGAUGGUUUUGAGAUGCAUGGGAUUUCUUGCAUGGUUUUCUAAACGGUGGGGUUAUAUUACGUUGGUUUACAUUGAACUGAAGUUAUUUUUGUCCACUCACAAUUUUCUGUUUUGCGCCCCCCAGCCAGUAGUUGACUGAGCUCCGCAGCAGAGCCGGAUCAUGAGCUUCCGAACCUUGAGUCUUCGUAGGACUCUUUCUUCAUGUUUUUCCCUUUGAACUCUGUUUUGUUGAAAUUGAAGUUCUUAGCCAUGCUCUGUUAUCGCCCCUGUUAGGGUUUGAUUUGUGAGGCCGGAGGCCAUUUUGUUGUAAACUGUUUAUUCGCUUUAAAGCAUGCUGCUGGUUGGGAUUAUUCUAUGUUUAUGCAGGUUGAAUUUUUGUUGGGUUUGUUCAAUUCACAGGGGAGACUUUGCCAAAAUUUUGGUAGAGAGUAUGGGUUUUUAGUAAGUGGGCCCGGCAUCGGGAUGAUGUCGGAACAAAGACGGGAUUCGCCCUGGUUUCCGGGAAUUACGUAUAUAAUACAACUUCAAUAUUUAUAUGUAUAUUAUUUCAUUAAAUAUUUAUAUAUACAUAUAUAUGUUCUUUUGAAUAAAAGGGGUUAAAUUAUAUAUUUGUUCAUUAUUUCUUGAGAUGCCAUUAGAUGGUUAUUGGAUGCUUUCUAUACAUAUAUAUUAAUAACAUGGAUUAAGAGUUUAGACGUGGCAUCCUUACAUUGUUUUCUUGGAGAGAAAGACUAUUUCUCUCUUAUCUUAAUUAGGAUGCCGGAUGUGGCUUUUUCCAUUAAAUUAGUUGAUGCAUUACCAUGCAUUUGCACAGCUCAUGCUUACAAUUUGGUGAGUAAGCUUUAUCUUAGCUUCAAUAGGUGUCACAGCCUUUGGAAAUAAAUCUCCUAGCGUUGACACAUAGCAACUUAUAAAAUAGAGUGGCAACCAAGUUAUCUUUUCGUAUAAAUAAGAUAAUGUCCUUUGUUAUUAUCCUCUCCAUUGUUACGCCAUCUCACCACCAAUAAAUAGAAGUUUUAAUGGAAGGAAGAGAUAUCAGGCAAAGGGUAAAGAGAGAGGGAGAGAGAGAUGAUGAUGAUGAAAUUCUUAGAAGAGAUAUAGGAUUUAGCUUGUAUUUUCUUAACUUGGAGAGAGAGAGAUGAUGAUGAAAUUCUUAGAAGAGAUAUAGGACUUAGCUUGUAUUUUCUUAACUUGGAGAAAUGCUUUAGAAUCGAGGUAGGAGUUUCUUGGUGACCUUUUAUAAAGAUUGAUCAAAUUAAAUUUCGUGAGCAUUAUAUCAUGCAUGAUAUUAUUAUUCGAUUAUUAUUGAUAUUGGGUGUUUAAGUGUUGUUAAUUAUCAUAUUAUUUUAUUAAUAUUGACAUGAUCAUAUGUUAUCGGUGAUGGCUGGAAUUCUUGGGUUGAUAAAGAAAGUAUGGAAAAGGGGAUAAUGGGAAGGAUCUUUUGUGUAGUUGAGUCUAACUCUUGGUAAGUACCAGGUCUCAGGGAUCCCGCAGCGCACAUGGUUUUUAUUGGGCGAUUCAGGACUGGCGACAGGGAGUUAGACAAGAUGACUAACGAAAGGGAAAUUAUGGGAUGAUUGAAAUGGGUGUUAGUUCAUACAAAUGGGCAUUCGGGACCAAGUGGUAUAAGCAUGGUAUGGGACGUGCAAAUCUGCUUGUCCAGUUAUAUGAAUUAACAGGAGUAGAUGAAGAGCAUUCAUUCAUGCAUUAUUAUUAAUAAUGUGAUAUUUGGCUGUGUGAUUGCAUGUCACUUAAUUUAGAUAUAUCAAUCUACUGCGGUAAGGUCUCAUGUCCCUACUGAGCGGUGAUUGUUCAUUCCUCACCCUGUUUAAUUUUUCAGAUGAAUUAGUAGGCAAGACAAAGACUAAACCAAUUGAGGCUAAAUUAGAUGAGAGUGAUAGAGCUUUAUUUUUUUAAUUUUAAAGUUGUAAGAUUUUGGGAGCUAUUUUUAUAAGAAAAGUUUAUUUUAUGUUUCAACUUCCUGUUAUUCUAUUUUACUUUUUAUUUUCUCAUGCACUAGGCACGAGGUUUCCACUAACCCCCAGGUCCGAGGCGUGACAGAAUGGUAUAAGAGCUUUAGGGAUUAAAUACCCUUGGGAACUGUGGUAUAGUAUUACCACAAAGUAAAUUUGAAUUGGUGAAGUAAGUUAGUGACCUAACUUUUCAGGAGCAUAUUUCUUUUUAUGAUUAAGUGUAGUUUACGUAAUAAUUGUUUAGUAUUGUUUUAUAUAUGUUGGUUUAAUUUGGUAGAAAUAUUUGGUAAAGGUUCAAUUGUUAAGAUAGCUAGAGUAGAUGGGAAACGUGACAAUGAUAAGAAUGGUAGCAUGAGGGUAAUACUAACCAUUCAGGAUAUGGCCUUUGCAAUACGUGAAACGAAUCAACAAAACCAAGAACCCCAUCAAGAGAUUCAAGGUGGUCAAACAAUGAGUGUUAAAGGAGAAAGAUAAAUGAACAAAGAGUUCUAGGAAAUCUGAAAGUGGCUAUUGCUUCUACCUAUUUGGGAGGAGCAAGGAGACCAGAAUAACUCACUCAAGGACAUGUGUAUGCUAUUGGACAAGUGACAAAGCAAAAUGAACCUACUAUGGUAGAAGGUACAUUUCUAGUUUACAACUCAUGGGCUAAGAUAUUGUUUGACCGGUGCUACAAAUUCAUUCAUCUCUAUUUCGUUUGCGUUUAUUCUUGGAUUAGAAUAUGAAUUUAUGAAAUCUUCAUUAAUGGUUGGAUCUCCAUUGGGUAAAUGUGUCGAAGUUAAUAAGGUGUGUAGAUCUUACAUAAUAGAGAUAUCAUAUCAUAAAAUUGUUGUUGACCUUAUGAUAUUGGAAUUAAUGGAGUAUGAUGUAAUAUUAGGGAUGGACUUGACCCAAUUUAAAGCUAUUUUUGAUUGUGGUAGAAAGAUGGUGACUAUGACUCUUAGCGAGGGAAAACAUGUAGUUUCUAUGGAAGUAGGAAUACUCACAUCAAUCUUGGAUAAUGGAAAUUGUAAUUAUUUGAGAUUGAUUGCUCACAUGGUCACUGAGGAUCUAAGUAAUACCAAGCUUGAGCUUAUCCCAAUAGUGAAAGAUUUCGGUGAUGUUUUCCCAGAAGAAUUAUAUGGAAUCCCCCUAGAAAUGGAGUUUUUCUAUAGAUAUUUAUCCUGGCAUGUCACCUAUAUCUAUACCUCCACAUUGAAUGGCACCAAUAGAGUUGAAGGAACUCAAAACACAACUUCAAGAACUUGAAAGUAAAGGUUUUAUUCGUCCUAGUACCUUACCAUGGGGGUUUUUUCUCCAUUCUUUGUGAAGAAAAGUGAUGGAAGUUGUAACACCCCGACCUCAAAUUUAACCUUUAUUUAAUUAUUUAAUUAUUUAAGGGCAUUUUGGUCAUAUUUUUAACCGGAGAGAGUUUGGGGCAGUGACUAUGUCACAUCCCGGGAUCAACUCCGUCGUAGCACGAUAUUGUCUGCUUUGGGCCCCCCCUCUCUGGCCCUCACGGUUUUGUUUCUGGGAGCUCACGAGCAACUUCCCAGUGGGUCACCCAUCCUGGGAUUGCUCUGGCCCCCAACUCGCUUAACUUCGAAGUUCCUACGACUUCGAAGCCAGUGAGCUCCCAAAAGGCCUCGUGAUAGAUGGAUGCGGGUGUGCACAUAUAAGGCACAUCGCCCCCUCUCCGUUGGUUGAUGUGGGAUCUUACAAUCCACCCCCCUCAAGGGCCCGACGUCCUCGUCGGCACACUCACACCACACGGCAGAGUGGCUCUGAUACCAAAUUGUCACAUCCCGGGAUCAACUCCGUCGUAGCACGAUAUUGUCCGCUUUGGGCCCCCCCUCUCUGGCCCUCACGGUUUUGUUUCUAGGAGCUCACGAGCAACUUCCCAUUGGAUCACCCAUCCUGGGAUUGCUCUGGCCCCCAACUUGCUUAACUUCGAAGUUCCUACGACUCCGAAGCCAGUGAGCUCCCAAAAGCCCUCGUGCUAGAUGGAUGCGGGUGUGCACAUAUAAGGCACAUCGCCCCCUCUCCGUUGGUUGAUGUGGGAUCUUACAGACUAGUAUUUUUAGAUAGGUCGUACUGAGACGAGUUCAUAGACAUGUAGUGGGCUCGAAUCGGAGUUCUAACGAGAGAGAUAUGGUCAAAAGAAGCCCAGUGGCACAAUCGUAAAUAUUUCAAAAUGGGAUUUUUUUUAUAAAAACUCAGAUUUUUUUUUCUCUCUCUCUCUCUCUCUCUCUCUCUCUCCCGCGGGUGUCUCUCUCCUCUCUCUCGCGCGCGACGGCAGCUGGCCACGUUUUGGCCGGCCGUGCUCUCCUCCGGCCACCAAUGACGACGGGACCGGUACCAAAAUGACCGGGCCGUCGUCCUCUCGAGCUGCUCUAGCUGAUGGUUGGGUAGGAUUAGAUCGAUUCUUAGCGUAGACAAUUCGAUUUUCGAAUUGAAAUUCGGCCGGUUUUGGGAUCGCGAUUCCGGCCACUUCCGGUCAGUUUUUGGGGUAGGUCCAAGAACAAAAGUGGCUCCAAAUAGGGUGUUAUACCUAGGGUAGGAGUUUUGAGCUGUGGUUUUGAGAUUUUCCGGCGAAGCCGUUAUCGCUUUGGGCACCCACGCGCUGCCGGCGCGUGCGGCGGCGUGUGGGCACUGUAGAAAAAGUAGCAAUGUGUUCCGAUGAGAUCCUUAGGUUGUCACGAGUGCGUAGGAUUUCACGGAUCUCAAUUCGGACGUCGUUUGACUAUCGAACGGAUAUUCGCAUAUUGCGCGUUAUCCAGGUGCGAUAGGUUGGGGCCGUUGGAUGGACCCAAAUUUAAUAUAUGUUGAUCUAGGUAUUUCUAGGAUCGUGUAGGAAUUCACGGAUUGUGAAUCGGAGCCCCGGAUGUUCCGAAAAAUAAUUUUAAAGUUUAUAUUUUAUAUUAACCGUCAGAUCGUGCGAUCGUGAGCGAUCCGACCGUCCGAUCUGAACCAAACUUGCAGGACAAGAUUCCUAUACCUGGUAGAACCCAUAGGGACUCUCGGAUCGAAAAUUGGAGGUCGUGGGUUCCGCAGGUCCUUUUGACCAGGGUUAGAGUAGUUUGACCCUUGGUUGACCGUGAGUCUCCCGGAGUAAUCUCACCUUUCUAGGGGAGAUUAUCGGGUACUAGAUUAUUGUGGAGGGUUACACAAUAUUAGAAUUAAUUUAUAUAUUUAUAAUUAUAAUAUGUUUGUACAAGAGUACAAAAGAGUCUAGACUGUCAGUUUGGAGUGCUAUACCCACUACUUUAGGUACCUUCCCAAAUUUUGGAUUCACUACAAGCACCACCAAGUGAAAGUUAGGUCUCACAUGGCGUAGGUUAUCCGGCGUUAAGACAGGCCCCAUACGUGGCGUUGGUUGUACCGGCGUAUGGGGAGAUAUUGUGAUAUUGUGUUGAGAUCGCACGUGGCGUAGGUUAUCCGGCGUGUCGACAGACCCCAUACGUGGCGUUGGUUGUACCGGCGUAUGGGGAGAUUUUUGAUAUGAUAUUGAGGUCCCGCGUGGCGUAGGUUAACCGGCGUUGGGACAUGCCCCAUACGUGGCGUUGGUUGUACCGGCGUAUGGGGAGAGAUGUGAUAUGAUGUGCAGGUUUCGCGUGGCGUAGGUUAUCCGGCGUUGUGACAGAUCCCAUACGUGGCGUUGGUUGUACCGGCGUAUGGGGAGAUAUUAUGAUAGUAUGGCAUGGUCGCACGUGGCGUAGGUUAUCCGGCGUGUUGACAGGCCCCAUACGUGGCGUUGGUUGUACCGGCGUAUGGGGAGAUAUUAUAUGAAAUACAAAGAAAUGAAAUAAGGUAUCGCCCAAGUGUGGAAUUAGGUUUUAUGGAAGAACUACGUGUGGCUUGAUCCCUCAAGGAGGGUACGUAGGCAGCCUAAGGUUAUUAGCUGCAGCCGCAGACUAAAUAUUAGUCAUAAUUGGUAUUUGAAUUGUUUGGUAGUUGGUUAAGAAUUAUUGGAAGGCCGAAGGCCAUUUGUGCGAAUUGCAUGAAAUUAUAUUGUGCAUGCUGCCAGUUGGGAAUAUUAAAUGUGUUUUCAUGCAGGUAUAAAUUUUGGGAAAUGUCCAAUUUAUAGGGGAGACUCUGCCGAAUUUUCGGCAGGAAGUCUCGGUUUUGAGUAUUUGGGCCUGAUAUCGGGAGGAUGUCGGGAAUUUCAAAGGGUUCGCCUCGAGUUCUGAAAAAUUCGGAGCGGGUCCUUUCAGAAGUCUUAGGAUGUGUUUUGUUGCAAGCUAACAAAGUAGUUGCAUACGACUUUUGUCAAUUGAAAUGACAUGAAAAGAAUUAUCUAACACAUGAUCUAGAAUUGGCAACCAUUGUUCACACACUGAAGAUAUGGAGAUAUUAUUUGUAUGGGGAACGUUUUGAACUCUUUUUGGAUCAUAAGAGUUUGAAGUAUUUAUUGACUUAGAAGGAGUUGAAUUUAAGACAAAAGCGAUGGAUGGAAUACCUGGAAGAUUAUGAUUUUGACUUACAUUAUCUUCCAGGAAAGGCUAAUGUGGUAACAGAUGCUUUAAGUCAAAAUCCUCAAGGAAUUGUAGCAAGUUUGUAUGAUCAAAGGUGGAAGAUGGUGGAGUCUCUUUACGAUUUUGACCUAUAUAUAGGUGCGCAUGAGGAUUGUGCAUAUCUAUGUAAUUUGGUAACUCACCCCACUUUGAUUGGAAGAAUAAUUGAGGCACGGGAUUUGGAUUCUAUGUCUGAAGACAUUCGAACUAAGAUUACAACUAGAAAGACACAGGAAGGAUGGAGUAUCCUCACAAGCAGUGGAUUAAGAUAUUUGAAUAAGUUUUAUGUACCAAAUAUUUCUGAUAUAAGAAAUGAAGUUCUCAGAGAAAGUCAUCAUUCACCUAUACAAUUCAUUCUAGAGGGACAAAGAUGUAUCGUGAUUUUAGACGUAAUUUUUGGUGGAGUAGUAUGAAGGGAGGUGUAGAAAUAUUUGCAGCAAAAUGUCUAACAUGUUAGCUGGUGAAAACUGAAUAUCAGAAACCGUCAAGUCCAUUACAGCCAUUACCAGUAGUAGAAUGGAAAUGAGAUCAUAUAACAAUGAAUUUUGUUACAGGUUUACCUAAAUAUCCAAAAGGACGUGAUGCAAUAUGGAUUAUGGUGGAUCGUUUGACCAAAUCUGCACAUUUCAUACCAGUCAAAUCAAUGGAUUCCACUAAAAAUCUUGGAAAGCUUUACGUUAGAGAUAUAGUAAGAUUACAUGGAAUUCCUAUUUUGAUUGUAUCGGAUAGAGAUUCCAAGUUUACUUCUAAAAUUUGGGGAAGCUUACAGAAAGUGUUAGGUACGCAACUAAAUUUGGUACCGCCUUUUAUCCCCAAACUUAUGGACAAUUGGAGAGAACUAUUCAAAUUUUAGAGGACUUGUUGAGAGCAUGUAUUCUAGAUUUGGAGGGAAGUAGUUGGGAAGAUCAUUUAGUGGUAGUAGAGUUUGCCUACAACAACUAUCAGUCUAGCAUUCAGAUACCACCUUAUGAAGCUUUAUAUUGAAGACCUUGUCAAUCACCUGUGUGUUGGACUGAAGUAGGAGAAACUGUAUUGCUAGGACCUGGUUUGGUACAAGAGACAACUGAAGGGAUUAAAGUUAUCAAGCAACGUCUUUUAACUACUCAAAGUUGACAAAAGAACUAUGUAGACCGAAGAAGGAAAACAUUAAGUAUUGACGUGGGUGAUUAUGUAUUUCUUAAACUCUCACUACUAAGUGGAGUAAAAAAAGGUUUGGGAAGACUGGAAAAUUAUCACCAAAGUUUGUUGGACCAUUUGAAAUCUUAGAAAGGAUGGGUGAAGUAGCUUAUAAGUCAGCAUUACCACCUCAACUGUUGAAUGUACCUGAUGUUUUCCUUGUUUCUAUGCUUCGAAAGUAUGAGCCUGAUCCAACCCAUUUUCUAGAUUGAGGAGAGCUCAAUUUAGAUGAGGAACUGUCAUUUGAAGAAAGACCGACUCAGAUUUUGGAUUCUAAGGAACAAGUGUGACGUACGAAAAUAAUACCAUUGGUCAAAAUUCUUUGGGUACAUGGGAAUACAUUGGAAGCUACAUGGGAAUUAGAAACUAAAAUGUGUAAGAAGUACCCAUAAAUUUUUCCCUUAUUCCAGUUUUUCUUUUUAACUCGAAAUUUCUUUAAGGAGAGUAGAUUGUGAGAGUCUGUUUCUUAAAUGUUCAUUAAAGAAAAAUAAAUGUUAUUAUAUAUUCUUAAGUAAUUAUCUUGCUAAGAAGGAAAUGUAUAUUUAUAAUUGUUUUACGUUUAUAAUACCAUUUCAAUAGUUAUGUGUAUAUUAUUUCAUUAAAUAUUUAUAUAUACAUAUGUUCUUUUGAAUAAAAAGGGUUAAAUUAUAUAUUUGUUCAUUAUUUCUUGGGAUGCCAUUAGAUGGUUAUUGGGUGCUUUAUAUACAUAUAUAUUAAUAACAUGGAUUAACAGUUUAGACCUGGCAUCCUUACAUUGUUUUCUUGGAGAGAAUGACUGUUUCUCUCUUAUCUUAAUUUGGAUGCUGGAUGUGGUUUUUUCCAUUAAAUUAGUUGAUGCAUUACCAUGCAUUUGGACAGCUCAUGCUUACAAUUUGGUGAAUAAGUCUAUCUUAGCUUGAGGUGGAGUUUAUAAUUUCAAUAGGUGUCACAGCCUUUGGAAAUAAAUCUCCUGGCGUUGACACAUAUAUAGCAACUUAUAAAAAAGAGUGGCGACCAAGUUAUCUUUUUGUAUAGAUAAGAUAAUGGGCUUUGUUAUUAUCCUCUCCACUGUUACCGCCAUCUCACCACCUAUAAAUAGGAGUGUUAAUGAAAGGAACAUAUAUCAUGCAACAUGAGAGAGAGAGAGAGAUAUGAUGAUGAUGAUGAAAUCCUUGGAAGAGAUUAGGACUUAACUUGUAUUUUCUUAACUUAGAGAUAUGUUUUGGAAUCGAGAUAGGAGUUUUUUGGUGACCUUUUACAAAGAUUGAUCUAAUUAAAUUUUGUGAGCACUAUUGUUCACCCGUGUUCGUGUUUAACUCCUGAUGUGGAAGGGCGAAGUUCCCCACUGGCUUGAAGACCACUUGCUGGUCGACAAGUCAGCUUUCUUUGGUGUGUGAGCGUGCCACUGCUAGCAAUGUAGAUUCUAGCAGACUUAUUUUGAAAGUGGAUAACUUGCGCCUCAAGUUACUGGCUUCUAAAACAAAACGAUUGUGAAUUUGGGUGAGGAAUAUCUCCCAAGUAAGUUCUUUUCUUGCCUCAGACUGGUGAGGACUUUCAUAAUUUAUCUCAGUAUCAAAUGGUUGUUCUGGCCAGAAUGGAUAAUAAUAAAGUACUAUUUUCAGGCAGAACUCCCUUUUACAAAAUUAAGCAGGGAGAAACCGACUCUAGAAAGGCAAAAAGAUGGCUGAAACUCCAUUUCUGCCUGGGUGGAAACUUCUAAUCCGGGCUGGACUGGGCAUGUCUACGCUGGACUGUACUGUCGACAACUUUAGCUUCUUGGCUUCAGCUGUAAAUCGAUACCAAAGUUCAAUUUUGGCAGAGCUUCAAUCUACUUCAAGCCUUGGGAGACUUUUGAGCGGGCAGAACUGCGACUUCUUCAGUUUGAAGGGACAGAAGUGGCUAUUCGUAUUCAGCAAGCUGGAACUAUGCUAUAAAAUUUGUUGAGGUUUUCAUAUUUGUGAAAACUCAAACUGUGUUUGUCUUGGCUGUUGCUAAACCAAACUUGUAACGAGAGGGAUCUCGCUUUCAGAGGACUUAUUUUCUAAGUCUGAACUUCGGAAUUCUGAUCUAAAGCUGGUUUUCUUUGGAUCCAAGUGAGCUUUUUCUUGUUUGUUUUUUGUGAUUGAUUGAUGCAUUGAGUGUCCUUUGUUCCUUUGCCUACUUUCGUUUUUAUAAGAGACCCUCCUGGGGAGGUGAUUUUUAAUCCUAAAUAAUGGGCGGCAAAAAGAUCUCUUAUAAUAUAAAGUAAGAAGGAUUUCUUAUCAAUCAAGACAGAUAGGUUCUGAGCAGUCACCUCCUAAAGCAGUCUCUUGCCUGGUUUCCUGGGUGGCAGUUUCUAAUUCAAACCACCGCCACCAUCUGUGUAGGCUUUUUAUGGCGGUUUGGCUUUUUCUUUUAUAUUUUCUGAAUGGUUCCCUAUUUCCCGUUCUAAUUUAGAAAGCGUGAUCCGUGAAUCCCUGGGGGGGUGGUGCAUCGAUUUGGAGCAAAAUCUUGAACAUAGAUGGGUUUUUUGAUCUUCAAUUGGCAGUGUUUCAGAGACGUCCCUUUCAUAUUUUUAAAUUUCAGUCGGUAUUGCUGACUUUUCUAAAGCUGAGGCAAUCACGUGGGUGUGUUUUUGAUCCCUUGGGUCUGAACCUAAUCAAUAAUUCAUGGGCUGAUCUUUUGAAGCCCAUCUUGUCAGUUUCCUCUUUGGGCCUUUCUUUGGGCUGAAGCUUUGUUUUCAACAUUCUUGGUGUGAAGCCCAAUCUGUCUGGAUCCUAUUUUGUUUUUCUCAAGUUUUCGGGCUGGGCAGGCAAUUUCAUCAUGGGCUUGUCUCUUGGUUUUUGGUGUGCCGAAUUUUGGGCCCAAACAAUGCCCCCAUUAAGUCUGAAUCGUUUUUUGGACGGUUUUAGACUUAAUGUUUUGCCAUUUAAUUCGCGCACCAGUUUCUUCCGUCUUUUCGCCCACGUCUGCCAUGUUUGCUUGCUACGAACUAGAGUUCGUGGGAAAACGGCUAGUUAUUAGCUAGUUACUAGCUAAUAAUCAUCAGGUGCCGUCCCAUCUUCUUCUUCCCACGUUUUCGAGCCCCUCUUUAAAAGAAAUUCAAAUUCAUAGCCUCUGAAAACCCUAAACCUUCCAACUCUUAUUCCUGCGAGCUUCUUUCGAGAUCUCCAUAUCUUUCUUCAAACCUCUCCUUCUUCUGUUUCUGCCUUUGAAUCAGAAAUGUCUUCCCCAAGGUCCCGUGCUCAAUCCUCUUCCGCUCCAAUUCCUCCCGAUUAUAUCACUGGGAGCGGGAUUAAUGCUCACGCGAUAGAAAUCAGGAGCAAGCUUCAUCCCUUUGCCCAGAAGAAUCUGGACGAGAAUGUCCUCCAUUUGUUCGAGAAUACCCUGGUGUUAGGGCCUCACUGGUUUGGUCCUGUUCCAGCUGAGAUGGCAGAACUGCUAAAAAAGGAUGCCGAGGCUCCUUUGUGUUUUGAGAGCUCUUCUGCCCUGGCCUAUCAUUCUUGGGUUAGCAAGAAUUUGAGUCGAUCUUUCCCGUCCAGCGAGGUGAGGAACAGUUCCGUCAAAUGGGCAGACUGGAUUGACAGACUUCUCCCGAGAUAUGGGGGUCACUGGAGGAGAGCUGGGAUUUAUGACGCCAUUCUUCUGUCCAAACAGUCGAUUAACAGAGAUGAGAACCUGCUUGCUGCUGCCCUGUGUUUUUGGAAUUCUGCCAGCAACACAUUUGAUUUCCGUGUGGGUCCCAUGGCUCCAACUCUGCUGGAUAUGGCUCAGAUUUUUGGGUUUAGGCCCCAUGGCAGACCUGUUGAUGCUGUUGGGGACUAUCACAGGCGAAAGAACCAAGAGAAAGUGGCUACCCCCUUCACUGUCUCCCCAGCCACGAUCAACCAGAACUGUUCUUUCUCCAAUUAUCUGAAGAGAUUCAGUGCUGAGAAGGACAAAGAUCAGCAACAUAUGUUGUUCCUUCUAUAUUGGCUGAACCGAUUUGUCUUCCCCAAUCGGUCUUCGGCAGUUCUGCUUGAGUAUAGACAUCUGGCAAAAGCUCUUCACAAUCACACUGAUGUGGGGCUUGGACCAACAGUUCUGGCCCACCUUUUCAAGAAUCUGCAUACUGCCACUCUGGAAAAUCCGCUGAACCUGUCUGCCCCUGGCGCAUUCUGGAUGAUCCAGAUCUGGCUGCAGGUAUAUUUCCCUGAGUUAAGGUUCCCAGACAUAGUUCUGCCUGAAAACCAAGUUCUGGCUCUUCCCCUGAUGUCUGCAGAAGUGCCUAAGCGCUCUCUUGAGGAGUAUUUGAUGUUCUUCAGGCAUUGUACCAAGAGGUCGGCUGCUCAGUGGCAAGUGGUGAUCAGAAGGACCUAUCCCUGGUUCCAGACUGUAUUUUGGCUUUUUGAGAAGGAGCCAGAAGAUGAGGCUGCCAGAACAGACUUUAGGAAGAAGUUCUUGAGCAUUACUCUGCCUAGAGAUCUGCCUCAUGGUGGGGGCAAACCUCCAAACUAUCAUCUGGGGGCAGAAGUCUAUCAUCCUAACUUCUGUGCAAGGCAGCUUGGCUGUCCUCAGCUUAUUCCGCUGAAAUCAUAUCGUAGUUGCAAUCGGGCCUCUUCUUGGAGGGAUGCAGAUGAUCUGGAGGUGCACAAGGAUGCCCGGUGUGCAGUGAAUAAGAUCAACAAUAGCACGGAUGCCCUCUAUCCCUCGUGGGAACCAAAUUCCUGCAGUUCCGCCGAUUUUGAUGCCUGGUGGCACGCCAGAUUCCAGAGUCUGCCGGCUUCUGUCACUGCUCUCAAAGUGCUUUUUGAUGGUUGGGAGAAUUGGCACACUUUUGCGGAUGGGGAUGCUAGAGCGCACCUGAUCCAGACCAUCAAAGAUAUCAAUGCGCAGAUCAUAGAAGGUAGACAUCUAAUUCUGUCUGUGAUUUUGUUCUGUCUUGGUUGUCGAUCUCUAACAUAUGUUCUGCCUGUUUUAGAUCCUUCUUUGACCAGCGUAGGUGGGCAAUCUGUUCAUGCUGGAGAAGUGAUUGGUAAGUCUUUUUCUUUUAGUUCUAUUCUAUCCCUUCCAGCUGGAUUGGUUUCUAAUGUCUAAUGCCUUGGUGCAGUCUCUUCUGUUAUUGCUGCCGGGGACUUGGAGCUCCCCUCUGCAGAUGAAGGAGAUGAGGUCCAGACAGAACAAACACCUGCCGAGGCCGCUCUUUCUGCCAGAAGAAAAAGGAAAGGGCCUGCCCUUCCUUCGGACAAUAUCAUUCGGCCUGGUAUUUCAGGUAAGCUCAUGAUGUUCCAACCAUUUUUUUAUUCUGUCUUGCCUUCUUUUCCCUAAUACUGCUUUUCUGUGCAGCUGGAAGUCCUUCCCCUCCUCCUACCAAGUUGAAAAAACUUAGAAAGAAGAGUGAGGAGGAGUAUGUCGCUGCAGAAGAAACGGCAGCAGUCCCCACCACUACCUCUAGGACGGAUGAAGAGCUGCGAGAGGCUUUUGAGGAGGUGGAGCAAGAAAAAGAAUUGGAAGAGCUGGAAGAAACGCCUCAGAACAAAACGGCAGUGGUGGAAGAAGAGGUAAGUUUUAUUUCGAUGAUUCGCAUCAGUUCCCUUCUUGCCCUGUUUCUUUCGUUCUGACCCCCAUUUUGUAGGAGGAGAUUCUUGCUGAGGUGAUUGCAGAGAGCAUUGCCUUGGCGCAGAAGCAACAAGGGGGUCCAAGGGCUGAGCUGACUAGCUCAGAACUAGCCCUAUUUGAGGAUGCCGAUGAGGAUGCCGAGGCAGAGCAUUCUACUGCCGUUCCAGCGGCUGAGGAUCAGGCGGAACGGUCUGCAUCAGACCCUGUGGACCAGGCAGAAUUAACUGUUGUGGUUCCGGAGGCUGAGGUGGGAACGACUGCAGCUGCUCCUGUGGUUGUGGUAAUUUUCCUCCUUGAUUGUUCAUGUUUUUCUGCUGUUCUGUCUGUUCUAACAGUUGUAGUCUUUCUAGGUGGAAGUGCCUAAGGCUACUGGUGCUCUGGCUGCGGUAUCCAGCCCCCUGAAACCUCCCAUUGUCGCUGUAAGUUUUCAUAACUUUUGAGCCUCCUUUAUCUUCCACUUUCUGCCUGGUCUUAACUUAUGUUCUCUUCUGCAGAUGCCUAUUCAUUCCUUUCCAGGAUCAUCUGCCACGGCUUCUUUUGCUGAUCCAGAGCUGGAAGAGUUUGAAGCCAUGGAUCUGGAUGCUCAACUGGAGAGGCUGGAGAAACUCAGCUCUCCUCCGAGCAAGGCAAAAUCUAGAGCAGUGCAAGAGGCCAUGGAGAGGUUAAGAAUCUGGCAGUCGACUGAGCUGGAAUUUGAUGAAGAUACAGGGGCUCUAGAUCAGCUGAUGAAGGACCUGGACCUGCUGCAUAGACAGAACAUGGCUCCGAGGCCUAUUCUUGAGAUGGGCCUAAGCCUGGCCAGAGAUGUGCUUAAUCUGCAUGAUCGCUAUGAAGAUCUUAGGCCUACGUUCAAAACUUCUGAGUUCUGUAAGGCCACACAUGAAGCCAAUCUGGCUGACUUUGCUAGGCAGAAAACAGAACUGGAUCAGAUGGUGGCCGGAUAUAAGGAGGCCAAGGCUACCGCGGAUAAGUUGGAGAAGCAGAUUGAAGAACUUCAAAAACAACUGGCAGAGUGUAGGGAGGUGCAGAACAAACUUGGGGCUGGACUGAGUUCGAAAACCAAAGCCACCUUCCUUGUGCAGAGAAUGGUUGCAGCUUCCAGGCCAGCUUUGGAAAUCGCAGAAGCCUCGAUUCAUCAAGGAGUGCUGCUCCAGAAAGAACUCUCUGUCAAGAAGGCGAAUCUGCAGGAAACCCUUAGAAAAUUAGGGUUUUAGUUUUUCAUUUCUGUUUAUUUAUUUUUUUGGACAAAUUUGCCGCUAUGGUGGCUAUUUUUAAAUAAAGUUUGUUCUGCUUUCCUUUUAAAUAGCAUUUUACUAUUUUCAUUUACCCUUGACGUAAUAAACAAAACAAUACUGUGAAAGUAGAAACGAAACAAUCUUUAAAGCAAAAAUGGAUUCAAAAAAAAAAAAAAGAAAAGUCAGCCUUGUUCUUUUUCUAUCCCGGGGUCUGUCUGUACAGCUUGUGAAUCCCACAUGGUUGGGUAGAAUUUUUUUAACCAUUUGCCAUUGAUUGGGACGUUGUGAAUAACUCCAUCUCUGUCCUGCAACCUGUUCACCCGUUUUCGUGUUUAACUCCUGAUGUGGAAGGGCGAAGUUCCCCACUGGCUUGGAGACCACUUGUUGGUCGACAAGUCAGCUUUCUUUGGUGUGCGAGCGUGCCACUGCUAGCAAUGUAAAUUCUAGCAGACUUAUUUUUAGAGUGGAUAACUUGCGCCUCAAGUUACUGACUUCUAAAACAAACGAUUGUGAAUUUGGGUAAGGAAUAUCUCCCAAGUAAGUUCUUUUCUUGCCUCAGACUGGUGAGGACUUUCACAAUUUAUCUCAGUACCAAAAAAUGGUUGUUCUGCCCAGAAUAGAUAAUAAUAAAGUACUGUUUCAGGCAGAACUGCCUUUUACAAAAUUAAGAAGGGAGAAAUCAACUCUAGGAAGGCAAAAGGAUGGCUGGAAUCCCAUUUCUGCCUGGGUAGAAACUUCUGAUCCGGGCUGGACUGGGUAUGUCUAUGCUGGACUGUACUGUCAACAACUUUAGCUGCUUGGCUUCAGCUGUAAAUCGAUACCAAAGUUCGAUUUUGGCAGAGCUUCAAUCUACUUCAAGCCUUGGGAGGCUCUUGAGCGGGCAGAACUGUGACUUCUUCAGUCUGAAGGGACAAAAGUGGCUAUUCUCGAGGAUUUAGCAAGCUGGAACCAUGCUGUAAAAUUUGUUGAGGUUUUCAUAGUUGUGAAAACUCAAACUAUGUUUGUCUUGGCUUUUGCUGAACCAAAUUUGUAACGAGGGAUCUCGUUCUAGGAAAUUUGUUUUCUAAGUCUGAACCUUGGAAUUCUGAUUUAAGGUUGGUUUCUCUUGGAAUUUAAGUGAGCUCUUGGCUGUUUUUCUUGCUGUUGUUUUUUUGGUUGAUGAGUUGAGUGUCCUUUCUUUCUUGCCUGCUUCUGUUUUUAUAAGAGACCCUCCUUUUGAAGGUGGUUUUAAAUUUUAAUAAUGGGCGGCAAAAGAUUUCUCAAAACGUAAAGUAGGAAAGAUUUUUAUCAAUUAUGGCAGAUAGACUCCCAGUGGUCACUUCCUAUAGCGAUCCCUUCCCUGGUUUCCUGGCUGACGGUUUUUCUAUUUUAAUGCCACCGUCUGUGUGAGCUGAUCCUAUGGCGGUUUUGAUUUUUCUUUUGUAUUUUCUGAACAACUCCCUGUUUCUUGCUCUUGAAAACGUGAUUUGCGAAAUCUUUUUAGAAGAUGGUGUGUUGCUUUGGAGCAAAAAGUCUCUGAUCAUAGACGCCCCUUUGAUUUUUCUUUCUCGGCUGUUUUCAGAAACGUCCCUUCUCACAUAAAAACUCUAGUUGGAAUUGCUGACUUUCCAGAGAGGUGAGGUAGCCACGUGAAUGUGUCUUUAGUCUCUUGGGCUUGAGUUUAAACAAUAUUUUGUGGGCUGAUCUUCAAAGGCCCAAUAUGACAGCUUUCUACGUUUUGGGUUUUUUGGGACUGGAUAAGUAUUUCACCACGGGCCUGUUUCUGGAUCUCUUUGGUGUGUCAAAUUUAGGCCCAAACAAUGCCCCCAUUAAGUCUGAACUUGUUUUUGGAACGGUUUUUCAGACUUAAUGGGUUUUGCCAUGAAUUUGCGCGCCAGUCCUUUCCGCUUCGUGCGUCUGUCACGUCCGCCCAUAAUGAUCUAGAGUUCGUGGGAGAAGAAAAACGGCUAUUUAUUUGGCUAGUUACUAGCCAAUAAUCACCAGCUGCCGUAUCUUCUUCUUCCUCUCACGUUUCGAGCCUUCCCUUUUAAAAAGAAAUUUCAGACCCACUGCCUCUUAGCCUUUCAAACUUGGAACUUCUCUUCGGGUUUUCAUCGUUUCCUUCGAACUUCCCCCUUUUCUCUCUGCUUCCUUCCUUGAAUCCGAAAUGUCUUCCCUAAGGUCCCAUGCUCAGUCUUCUUCAGCUUCAAUCCCUCCUGAUUACAUCACUGGGAGCGGGAUUGAUGCCCACGCAAUAGAGGUUAGGAGCAAGCUCCAUCCUUUUGCUCAGAAGAAUCUGGAUGAAAAUGUUCUUCAUUUGUUCUAGAAUACCCUGGUGCUGGGGUCUCACUGGUUUGGCCCUGUUCCGGCUGAGGCGGCAGAACUGCUGAAAAAGGACGCCGAGGCUCCUUUGUGCUUCGAGAGUACUUCCGCCCUGGCUUCUCAUUCUUGGGUUAGCAAGAAUUUGAGUCGAUCUUUCCCGUCCAGCGAGGUGAGGAACAGUCCAGUCAAAUGGGCAGACUGGAUUGACAGACUUCUCCCGAGAUAUGGGGGUCACUGGAGGAGAGCUGGGCUCUAUGACGCCAUUCUUCUGUCCAAGCAGUCGAUUAACAGAGAUGAGAACCUGCUUGCUGCUGCCUUGUGUUUUUGGAAUUCUGCCAGCAACACAUUUGAUUUCCGUGUGGGUCCCAUGGCUCCAACUCUGCUGGACAUGGCUCAGAUUUUUGGGUUUAGGCCCCAUGGCAGACCUGUUGAUGCUGUUGGGGAUUAUCACAGGCGAAAGAACCAAGAGAAAGUGGCCACUCCCUUCACUAUCCCUCCAGCCACGAUCAACCAGAACUGCUCCUUCUCCAACUAUCUGAAGAGAUUCAGCGCUGAGAAGGACAAGGAUCAGCAACAUAUGUUGUUCCUUCUGUAUUGGCUGAACCGAUUUGUCUUCCCCAAUCGGUCUUCGGCAGUUCUGCUUGAAUACAGACAUCUGGCAGAAGCACUUCACAAUCACACUGAUGUGGGGCUUGGACCAACAGUUCUGGCCCACCUUUUCAAGAAUCUGUAUACUGCCACUCUUGAGAAUCCAUUGAACCUGUCUGCUCCUGGCGCAUUCUGGAUGAUCCAGAUCUGGCUGCAGGUAUAUUUCCCCGAGUUAAGGUUUCCAGACAUAGUUCUGCCUGAAGACCAAGUUCUGGCCCUUCCCCUGAUAUCGGCAGAAGUGCCCAAGCGCUCUCUUGAGGAGUAUUUGAUGCUCUUCAGGCAUUGUACCAAGAGGUCGGCUGCUCAGUGGCAAGUGGUGAUCAGAAGGACCUAUCCUUGGUUCCAGACUGGAUCUCGGCUUUUCGAGAAAGAACCAGAAGACGAGGCUGCCAGAACAGAUUUCAGGAAGAAAUUUCUGAGCAUUACUUCGCCCAGAGAUCUGCCCCAUGGCGGGGGCAAACCUCCAAACUAUCAUCUGGGGGCAGAAGUCUAUCAUCCCAACUUUUGUGCAAGGCAGCUUGGCUGCCCUCAGCUCAUACCGUUGAAAUCAUAUCGGAGUUGCAAUCGGGCCUCUUCUUGGAGGGAUGUAGAUGAUCUGGAGGUGCACAAGGAUGCCCGGUGUGCAGUGAACAAGAUAAAUAAUAGCACGGAUGCCCUCUAUCCCUCAUGGGAGCCAAAUUCCUGCAGUUCUGCUGAUUUUGACGCCUGGUGGCAAACCAGAUUCCAAAAUCUACCAGCUUCUGUUACUGCCCUCAAGACGCUUUUUGACGGUUGGGAGAACUGGCAUCUUUUUGCGGAGGGGGAGGCCAAAGUGCAUAUGAUCCAGACCAUCAAGGACAUUAAUGCACAAAUCAUAGAAGGUAGAUACUUGAUUCUGUCUGGGACUUGUUCUGUCUUGAUAAUCUAUUUUUAACCUAUGUUCUGCCUGUUAUUAGAUCCUUCCCUGACAAAGAACGUGGGUGGACAGUCUGUCCAGGCUGGAGAAGUGAUUGGUAAGCCUUUCCUUUUUAAUUUUCUUCUGUCUUUUCCUGUUGGAUUGGCUUUUAACCUCUAACUGCUUGGUGCAGUCUCUUCUGUCAUUGCCGCCGGGGAUUUGGAGCUCCAUUCUGCUGAUGAAGAGGAUGAUGUUGAGGCAGAACAAACCCCUGCCGAGGCUGUUCCUUCUGGUAGAAGAAAAAGAAAAGGGCCUGCUCCCCCUCUGGAUAAUACCGCGCGGCCUGGCAUUCCUGGUAAGUUUGGAGCAUUCCAACUGUUCUCUUUGGAUUUAUUCUGUUUUCUCUUUUCUAAUCUUUUCCUUUUGUUCUGUCCAGCUGGGAGUCCUUCUCCUCCUCCUACUAAGUUAAAAAAGCUUAAGAAGAGGGGUGAAGUGGAAUACUUUGCCGCAGAAGAAGCCGCAGCAAUCCCAGCCACUACUUCUGGGACGGACGAUGAGCUGCGAGAAGCCUUUGAGGAGGUGGAGCAGGAAAAAGAGCUGCAAGAGCUGGAGGAGGUGCCCCAAGAGAAGGUGGCAGCGGUGGAAGACGAGGUGAGUUUUAGUCUGUGACUCGCAUUAGUUCCUCUUUUGCUUCAUUCCUUCUGUUCUGACCCCCUUCUUGUAGGAUGAAAUUCCUGCUGAGGUGAUAGCGGAGAGCAUUGCCUUGGCGCAGAAGCAACAAAAGGGUCCGAGUGCUGAGCUGACCAGCUCAGAACUGGCUCUUUUUGAGGAUGCUGAGGCAGAACACUCUACUGCCGCUCCAGAGGCCGAGGAUCAGGUGGAGCCAUCUGCAUCAGACCCCGUGGAUCAGGCAGAAUUAACCGUUGUGGUCCCGGAGGCUGAUGUGGGAACGACUGCAGCUGCUCCUGUGGUUGUGGUAAUUUUCCCCUUCAACUGUUCAUGUUUUCCUGCUGUUCUGUCUGUUCUGUCUUUUUAACAUUUGCAGUCUUUCCAGGUGGAAGUGCCUAAAGCUGCUGGUGCCCUGGCUGCGGUGUCCAGCCCUCUGAAGCCUCCCAUUGUCGCUGUAAGUUUUCAUAACUUUUGAGCCUCCUUUAUCUUCCACUUUCUGCCUGGUCUUAGCUUAUGUUCUCUUCUGCAGAUGCCUAUUCAUUCCUUUCCAGGAUCAUCUGCCACGGCUUCUUUUGCUGAUCCAGAACUUGAAGAGUUUGAAGCCAUGGAUCUGGAUGCCCAAUUGGACAGACUGGAGAAACUCAGCUCUCCUCCAGGCAAGGCAAAAUCUAGGGCGGUGGAGGAAGCCAUGGAGAGGUUGAAAAUCUGGCAGUCCACUGAGCUGGAAUUUGAUGAAGAUACAGGGGCUCUUGAUCAGCUGAUGAAGGACCUGGACCUGCUGCAUAGACAGAACAUGGCUCCGAGGCCUAUUCUUGAGAUGGGCCUAAGCCUGGCCAGAGAUGUGCUUAAUCUGCAUGAUCGCUAUGAAGAUCUUAGGCCUACGUUCAAAACUUCUGAGUUCUGCAAGGCCACACAUGAAGCUAAUCUGGCUGACUUUGCCAGGCAGAAAACAGAACUGGAUCAGAUGGUGGCUGGAUAUAAGGAGGCUAAGGCUACCGCGGAUAAGUUGGAGAAGCAGAUUGAAGAACUCCAAAAACAGCUGGCAGAGUGUAGGGAGGUGCAGAACAAACUUGGGGCUGGACUGAGUUCCAAAACUAAGGCCACCUUCCUUGUGCAAAGUAUGGUUGCAGCUUCUAGGCCAGCUUUGGAAAUUGCAGAGGCUUCAAUUCACCAGGGGGUGUUGCUCCAGAAAGAACUGUUUGUCAAGAAAGCGAACCUACAGGAGACUCUUAGAAAGCUAGGAUUUUAGCUUCUUCUUUCUUUUGUUCGAAUAAUUUGCCGCAAAGGUGGCUAUUUUUAUAUAAGCUUUCAAAGCAUUUUUACUGCUUUUUAUUCUUGAUGCAAUAACCGGACACGGUUUUGAAAGUACAGUAAAAACAGAACAACAUUAAAGUAAAAACAAAUCUAAACAAGAUUCCCUUUCAAGAAACAAAAAGGUCAAUCUUCUUCCUCUUCUAUCCCAGGAUCCGUUUGUACAGCCUGUGAAUCCCACAUGGUUGGAUAGAACUUCUUUAACCAUUUACCAUUGAUUGGGGCAAAGUGAACAACUCCAUCUCGGUCCUGCAACCUAUAUGCCCCCAUUCCGAGGAUUUGGUUAAUUAUAAAAGGGCCUUCCCAGGUAGGUGACCACUUCCCAUACCCAGCUAUGUGUGCUCCAAGGGGCAGAAUUGCCUUCCAGACUAUCUCUCCCUCUUCAAAACUCUUGUUUUUGACUCUUUUGUUGUAGGCUCUCGAUACAGCCUGUUUUCCUGCUAAGAGUUUGUUGAGGGUGUCAAUUCUGCUUGCAUCCAAUCCUUCCAAUUCCAGUAACAUGGCUUGAGAGUAAUCCUCCCCAGUGAGACCAUGCUGGUGAGCAAUUCUAAGAGACUGGACUGCUAUCUCCAUGGGAAGAAUUGCAUCGUGGCCGUAGGUUAGAGCAUAGGGGGUCAUGCCAGUCGCUUCUCUCUUCGAAGUUCUGUAUGCCCACAAAGUUUCUGACAACUUCUCGUGCCAUUGCUUUGGAUUUUUCUCUAGCAUCUUUCUAAUGAUAUUGAUAAUCACCUUGUUACUUGAUUCUGCCUGUCCAUUAGCUUGAGCAUAGUAAGGAGUAGAUUGAAGCAGUUUGAACUUGAAUGUUUCUGCCAUAUCUAGCAUGUCCCUAGAUAUGAAAGAAGAACCCCUAUCGGUUGUGAUUGAUUCUGGAAUGCCAAACCUUUGUAUGAUCUGUUCUUCUAUGAAGGUGAUGAUCUCUUGAGAUGUUGUGGUUUUUACUGGCUUGGCUUCUACCCACUUGGUGAAAUAAUCUGUGGCAACGAUGAUGAAACAGUGCUGCUGGUUGCUGGCUGGAUAGAUUUUGCCAAUGAGAUCCAUUGCCCAUCCCCUGAAAGGCCAUGGUUUUACUACUGGAUUCAUGGGAACCGAAGGAGCCUGCUGGAUUGGGCCGUGCCUUUGACAGGCUUCACAUCCUUUGGAAUAGUCGAUGCAAUCCUUCAUCAUGGUUGGCCAGAAGUAGCCAUAUCUUCUGAUUAACCAGCACAUCUUUCUUCCCCCUUGGUGAGCUCCACAGACCCCAUCAUGGGUUUCUCCCAUGACUUUCAUGUAUUCUGUCUUCCCGAGGCACCUUAAUAGUACCUCAUCCUUACUUUUUCGGACCAAAUCUUCAUUCCACAUGAGGUAGUUUGUAGCCAUGAUUCUGACUCUUUUCUCAGAGGGCAGAGUGGGAUAUCGUAAGUAAGUCAUGAUAGGCUCCCUCCAAUCAUCUCCAGUGAUCGAGGCAGAAUUGACUUCUAUCUCCAUUCCUCUCGUCAAAACAGAUGGUAGACUUUUCCUUCCUAUCUUGAUGAUCCUUUGGACGCAGUCUUCGGGCAUUUGUAUGCCUGAUGCCACCUGAGCCAGUUCAUUGGCUGCAAAGUUUUUCUCCCUUGGGAUGUGCUCCCAAGUAGCUUCUCUAAAUUCAGACACUUAUAUUCUCCAGCAAUCUGUUUUAGGACAAGCAUGGAAUCUCCCAAGAUUUCCACGGACUGGACUCCUAAUUCUACCAACAUUUCGAGCCCUAUAAUCAAAGCCUCAUAUUCGGCCCUGUUGUUGGUGCAUUGGAAAUCUAGCUGGAAAGAAUAGCAAUGCCUGACCCCUAAUGGUUCUUCCAGAACAAUCCCUGCUCCGGAAGCCUUGUCUGUCUUCGAUCCAUCAAAAUAUAAUUUCCAAGGUGUGAGAUGAAUCGAGUAAAUUGGAUUGUUAAGGCAAACAUGAGCUCUAGUUAACAGAUCUGCAUUUGCAAUGUCCAAAGAAUCCAUGUUUUCAAUUUCCUCUCCCGGGUGAUCUGCCAAAAAGUCUGCCACAGCUUGCCCUUUGACAGCUUUCUGGGGGACAUACCUCAGGGUGAAUUCUGUCAAAGCCAAAGUCCAUUUCCCAAUUCUGCCCCUCAGCAUUGGUCUUGUUAGCAUGUAUUUGAUUAAGUCGGUUUUGGCAAUGAUGUAGAUAGUAUGUGGCAGCAUGUAGUGCCUGAGCUUCACAGCAGUGAAAUAUAAGGCUAGGCAAAGCCUUUCUAUUGCGGAAUACCUUCUUUCCACUUCUGUCAACGUUCUGCUUAGAUAGUAGACCGCCUGUUCUUUUCCUUCUUUGUUAUCUUGAACUAGCAGACUUCCAAUGGAUACUUCUGAUGCAGAUACAUAAAGUUUGAAGGGUCUGCCCCUUUUUGGUGGGGACAGAACUGGUGGAUUUGAGAGGUAAUGCUUUAUUUCCUGGAAAGCCUGUUGGUGCUGUUCUUCCCAUUUGAAUGUCUGUUCCUGCUUCAGUCUCAACAGGGAGGAAAAGGGUUGGAUUUUUCCUGCAGAAUUGGAUAUGAAUCUCCUUAGGAAAUUGAUUUUUCCUAAGAGACUCUGAAGUUCCUUCUUGUUCCGAGGUGGUAGAGCUUCUAUGAUGGAUUUUGCUUUAUUUCUGUCAACCUCUAUACCUCUCUGGUGGACCAAGAAUCCUAAGAAAUUCCCUGCCUGGACUCCAAAAACACAUUUUUUGGGGUUCAUUUUUAGCUUGUGCUGCCUCAUUCUCAGGAAUGCCUUUCUCAGACUUGCUACGUGAUUUCCUUCCUCAGGGGAUUUAAUCACCACGUCAUCUAUGUAUACUUCCAAAGAAUGUCCUAUCAUAUCAUGAAAAAUAGAAUUCAUUGCCCUUUGGUAGGUAGCUCCCGCAUUUCUCAAACUGAAAGGCAUUACAGUAUACUCGAAAGCACCUAUAUGUCCUGGACACAUAAAGGCUGUCUUGUGGAUGUCCUGUUCUGCCAUCAUAAUCUGGUUAUAACCUGCAUUGCCGUCCAUGAAAGAUAGCAUCUGGUUAUGAGCGGCUCCAUCCACUAACAUGGCUGCCAUUGGCAUAGGAUAUUCGUCUUUAGGAGAUGCCUCAUUCAGAUUCCUGUAAUCUACGCAGAUUCUAACUGCCCCUGUUUUUCUUUUGAGAACAGGUACAAUAUUUGCUAACCAAUCGGCAUAGACGGCUGGCCUGAUGAAUCCUGCCUUGAGCAACCUUCCUAUCUCUUCUUUGACCUUUAGUUCUGUGUCCAUAGACAUUCUUCUUCUGGCCUGUUUGACUGGAAGGUAGCCAUCUUUAAUUGGCAGCUUGUGCUCCACUAACUGCCUGUCUAAUCCUGGCAUCUCGUGGUAAUGCCAGGCAAAACAAUCUCUGAACUCCUGCAAAAGUGCCGUGAGUUCAGCCUUGAGUGGUUCCUUUAACAGUGUACUGAUGAAAGUAGGCCUUGGAUCUUCUUCUGUCCCUAAGUUUAUCUCCUGUAGAGGGUCCUCUACUUCUGGCAGGGAGUCAUCUAGUGCUGCCGGUGCAAAUUCCAACACUUCCUCCUGUAAAACUUCUUCCUCUUGUUCUUUUAUGCUUUCAUGGGUGAAUUCUGCCAUAUUAAUGGCUGGAUUCUGUAUGAAAAGUCUCCUUUCUCCCCAGUAUAUCAACAAUCUUUUUGUGAUGGAUCGGAUUGUUGCAGCUCGAUCCUUGUCCAGUUGAUUGGGACUAAACAUCAGAAUUCUGGAAGUUCGGCACAAGAAAGUCUAUUCCAGUCCUCUAGAGAACUGGCUAGACCUUCUUCAAUGAGUCUUUGGGCCGUGACACCAUGGGGGCGGCCGUUCUGAUUGACUCCAAGGAAAGUGUAGGGACCGAGGUCAUCAUGAUAAUACCUUGCUUCAAAGCACAUGGCAGAGGGUAGGAAUGGCCGUGGAUCGGCCUCUAUAAUCUCCAUGCAGCCUUCUUCAUUCCAUAUUGCUAACUGCUGGUGGAGGGUGGAAGGGAUACAAAGGCUCUGGUGAAUCCAAUCCCUGCCGAGUAGUGCAUUGUAGGUGGUGGAGGUAGUGUCUAUAACAAAGAAUGCUAUUUUCAACUCUUUGCUUCCGACUACGACAUCUACAUCUAAGAUGCCGUGUAUUUUGGUGAUGCCCCCAGCGAAGUUGGUGACGGUUAAUCGUGUUGGAAUUAGAUCCCUCUCUGUCCUGCCCAACUUGGUCAGCAUUGUGUGGGGUAAUAGAUUAAUGGCUGCACCUCCAUCUACCAUGAUCUUGGAGAUAGGAAUACCUCCAAGAUUUGCCGUUAUAAACAACGGUCUGAGGUGAUUUUCCAUUUCUCUGGUUGGCUUGGCGAAACAAGCCUGCUCUGUAGCUGGUUUAUUGGCUGUUCUGCCUGUCCUAGGGUCGUCUGCUUGCGGUUCUGGCGGCUCCUCUGCUUCUGCCAACCUACACUCAAAGCUCUCCUGGGAGAAAACGUCCCCUUCCAGAGUGCUUUUUUGUCCUUCGGUAGCCCUGAAUUCACCUGGUAGGAUGAAUACCAUGUUAAUUCCCAGAUCACCCUGUAGGAGGUCUUCUAAUUCUGCGCCAAAAGCUUCUGUUUCUGGGUCCAAUUCCUCACCAAAUUCCAUUAAUUCUUCCCCAUAUUCUUCCGUCCAGUCAUCCUGUUCUGCUACUUCGAGGGGCUCUUUCUGAUCAUCUGCAGAAGGUUCAUAGUCUAAUUGCUCUUCUUCAUAUUCCUCAGCGUAGUCGUCUUCUUUUUGUAACGGGGUAGACCCGGAUUUCUCUAAUGUCCGCGUGGUGUCAGGAUGGCUGCCGGACGACGAGGCUAUAUGGAUAGGAGACCUGGCUGGCUGCUCUGUUUUCAGCAAUUCCCUUGACUGGCAGGCUUUCUGUUCCGUCUGGGGAAGUGUUUCAGGAUUCUUUCCUUUCCUGGCAGAACUGGGUUGUGAACGUACCUGCGUAUUGUCUUGGCUUUUAAGAUAUGUGCAGUAUUGCCUCUGGAUUCUUCUUUUCUGGGUUCUGGUCAGCUCCAGAGUCGGUCUACCGCUUCUUCCUACGGAAUACCACCUCCCUUCUAUGAUCGUUGCCAAGGGUCUUUCGUUUCCGGGCGUCUUGACUGAUAUUUCCUUCCUGGGUUGCUCCAUCCUCCUCUCGCCGUAGUGUGUAGGCCUAAGACAGCUCUUCUGCCUUGUCUUGUCUUGGGAUAUAGUUCCAAUUCUGUCAAAGACACUAGGUGUGGGCUGAUUUUGUUUGUCUAGGACCACCUCUAGCUCUGUUUCACACUUGCACCUACUGCAGAGCACCACCCCAGCCGAGAUGGUCGCUCUUGGUAUCUGACUGGUCUCCCUUAUGAUUCUUCUGCCUCUGCUGCAACCAGCAUCUGUGAUAGGGUCGGUUUUCCUCUGUUCUGGCCAAUUUAAGUUGACCAUAUUGACUUGCGGUUGAGGAAAAGGAUCCGUCGUGACGGAUGGUGGUUUUUCUGCCAACUUCAACCUUCCUGCCGUUAUUCCUUCUUGUACUACGUCCCUGAAAACGACACAACUAUUGGUAGAAUGGUUCCAAGAGUUGUGCCACCUGCAGUACUGUCUGCCUUUGAGUUCUUCCGGCUUCGGUAUUCUGUGAGGCGUCUCUAUUACCUUCUGCAGUAGCAUUUCGUCGAACAAGGCAUUGACCUUGGUUAAGUCAAAAGAGUAAACCUUGUUUUGUGUUGGUUUGUUUGGAACGAAUCCUCCUGUGAAUGGUGGUGGCUUUUGGUCUUUGGGUGGCUUUGUGAGGGCUUUGCAACUGAUGGGAUGUUUCAGUUUUGCCAUUUCUGCCACUGAAACCUCUUUCUCCUCUGAUUCCUCUGUAUCUUCUUGCGACUCCACCUCGAUCAGGUGGACUGAAGAAGAAGGGGUUUUGUAGUAUGUACCUUUGGAGGAGUUCCUCCUUUGCUGCUCUUCCCUGAGUAGCUCUUCAUAUUUGGAUGCCUUAUCAGCCAGUUCUGCCAGAUCUCCGAACAAUAUCCCGUCGAACCUUUUCCUGAGGGAGAUUUUAAGGGCGGCUUGGGCCAUCUGGAUGAAGUGUCUUUCUUCCAUUGGGAUUCGGCACUUCAUCUUGAGCCUUCUGAACCUGGUUAUAAAAUCUUGCGCCGGUUCAUCUUCACUCUGCUUGAGGGCAGCUAGAUCACUGAUGGUGACUUCUGGCUGAAUCCUGUAAUAGUAGUCAUGGAAGACAUUUUCCAUCUGUUCCCAGGUUUGAACAGAGUUAGCUGGCAGGCUGGUGUACCAGGUAAAAGCUUGCCCAGAGAGAGAGUUGCCAAAAAGCCUUAAUUUCAGCAGAGGGUUGUUUUCUAUAGCUAUGCAUUGGACGGAGAACCUGCCUAUAUGUUCGACUGAGGAAGCAUGGGGGUCUUCCCCGUUGAACAAAGUGAAGUUUGGCACUUUGAAACCUGGAGACAACGGUAUUUGAUCGAUGUAGGCUGGGUAUGGCUUUCUGUAAGUAGGCCUUUCCCCUCUUCUAGCCUCGGGUUCCAUGAUCUCUCUGACCAUUCUUCGCAAUGCCCCUACGUCAUUUAAAGCAUUGACUGGGGGAAAAUUUUGUCCCUGUUCUGGCUGAACGUAAUCAAACCUGGGUUCUGCCCUGAGUGGUCUGGGUGGAACUUCCUCCCUGUGUUCUUCCUGCUCUUCGACUUCUGGAUGAUUCCUCCAGUUUGCCCCCUGUCUAUUCCUGUCAUGAUUAGCAAAAAGGUUGUUUCCCCCUCGGGCUCUCCUCCCUCUUGCAGGUGGAGGGAAUGGAUUAGGGUCCAUCCUUCUGGGUCUAUAUGGCAAUACUGCCGGUGGUUCAGGCAGAAGCGCCAAAGGUUGAUCAUGCGGGGCUGCAUGAUGUGAAUUGGGCUGAGGUCCUAGCUGGUUCUGAGCCAGUGUCAGGUUAUCUGGCUGGGCUGGGGCCUGAUGUUCUUGAUUAGGAAGGGCUCUCUCCCUCGGAUCAGCCUGAACUUCUGUGUGGCCUGGCACUCCAGCCAUCUGUGCAACUAGAGGAUUUUCCUGAUAUGGCCAUAUUAGUCCUGGCGGAGGGCCAUAAGGAAGAUCCAACUGCUGGAUUACAGGAUCUGGGUUUGGAUUUCUGGCCAUGGCGGAUUCUCGGUCCUUCCGGAACUGUCUGUUUACCUGCCAUUGCAUCAUGGCUGUCAUGUUAUCGAGAGUGUCCUGGCUCCUUUGUACUGUGAUCUCUUGUCGGAGUACUGACUCCUUUAUUUGACUCAUCCUUUUGGAGCCAGUCCUGGAACGUCUGCUUCCUGUACUGUCGUGGGCAGACUGCCUAGCGUCGCUUUCUUCCGAUUCGAGGCCUUCUCUGAGAACCAUCUUGUUUUUCUCCAUGUCUGGUGUGGGUUCUGACUAGAUCUUCCGGCUUUUGUAAAUCUGUGAAUGACUCUGUCAGAGUAUGUAUACUGAGAAGUCCCACUGGGCGUGCCAAAUUGUUCACCCGUUUUCGUGUUUAACUCCUGAUGUGGAAGGGCGAAGUUCCCCACUGGCUUGGAGACCACUUGUUGGUCGACAAGUCAGCUUUCUUUGGUGUGCGAGCGUGCCACUGCUAGCAAUGUAAAUUCUAGCAGACUUAUUUUUAGAGUGGAUAACUUGCGCCUCAAGUUACUGACUUCUAAAACAAACGAUUGUGAAUUUGGGUAAGGAAUAUCUCCCAAGUAAGUUCUUUUCUUGCCUCAGACUGGUGAGGACUUUCACAAUUUAUCUCAGUACCAAAAAAUGGUUGUUCUGCCCAGAAUAGAUAAUAAUAAAGUACUGUUUCAGGCAGAACUGCCUUUUACAAAAUUAAGAAGGGAGAAAUCAACUCUAGGAAGGCAAAAGGAUGGCUGGAAUCCCAUUUCUGCCUGGGUAGAAACUUCUGAUCCGGGCUGGACUGGGUAUGUCUAUGCUGGACUGUACUGUCAACAACUUUAGCUGCUUGGCUUCAGCUGUAAAUCGAUACCAAAGUUCGAUUUUGGCAGAGCUUCAAUCUACUUCAAGCCUUGGGAGGCUCUUGAGCGGGCAGAACUGUGACUUCUUCAGUCUGAAGGGACAAAAGUGGCUAUUCUCGAGGAUUUAGCAAGCUGGAACCAUGCUGUAAAAUUUGUUGAGGUUUUCAUAGUUGUGAAAACUCAAACUAUGUUUGUCUUGGCUUUUGCUGAACCAAAUUUGUAACGAGGGAUCUCGUUCUAGGAAAUUUGUUUUCUAAGUCUGAACCUUGGAAUUCUGAUUUAAGGUUGGUUUCUCUUGGAAUUUAAGUGAGCUCUUGGCUGUUUUUCUUGCUGUUGUUUUUUUGGUUGAUGAGUUGAGUGUCCUUUCUUUCUUGCCUGCUUCUGUUUUUAUAAGAGACCCUCCUUUUGAAGGUGGUUUUAAAUUUUAAUAAUGGGCGGCAAAAGAUUUCUCAAAACGUAAAGCAGGAAAUAUUUUUAUCAAUUAUGGCAGAUAGACUCCCAUUGGUCACUUCCUAUAGCGAUCCCUUCCCUGGUUUCCUGGCUGACGGUUUUUCUAUUUUAAUGCCACCGUCUGUGUGAGCUGAUCCUAUGGCGGUUUUGAUUUUUCUUUUGUAUUUUCUGAACAACUCCCUGUUUCUUGCUCUUGAAAACGUGAUUUGCGAAAUCUUUUUAGAAGAUGGUGUGUUGCUUUGGAGCAAAAAGUCUCUGAUCAUAGACGCCCCUUUGAUUUUUCUUUCUCGGCAGUGUUUUCAGAAACGUCCCUUCUCACAUAAAAACUCUAGUUGGAAUUGCUGACUUUCCAGAGAGGUGAGGUAGCCACGUGAAUGUGUCUUUAGUCUCUUGGGCUUGAGUUUAAACAAUAUUUUGUGGGCUGAUCUUCAAAGGCCCAAUAUGACAGCUUUCUACGUUUUGGGUUUUUUGGGACUGGAUAAGUAUUUCACCACGGGCCUGUUUCUGGAUCUCUUUGGUGUGUCAAAUUUAGGCCCAAACACAACCUAUAUGCCCCCAUUCCGAGGAUCUGGUUAAUCACAAAAGGACCUUCCCACGUAGGUGACCAUUUUCCAUAUCCAGCUAUGUGCGCUCCAGCGGCAAAAUUGCCUUCCAGACUAUUUCUCCUUCUUCAAAACUCUUAUCUCUGACUCUUUUGUUGUAUGCCUUUGACACAGCCUGUUUUCCUGCUAAGAGUUUGUUGAGGGUGUCAAUCCUGCUUGCAUCCAAUUCUUCUAAUUCAAGUAGCAUGGCUUGAGAGUAAUCUUCUCCUGUGAGAUCGUGCUGGUGAGCAAUUCUAAGAGACUGGACUGCUAUCUCCAUGGGCAGAAUUGCAUCAUGACCGUAGGUCAGAGCAUAGGGAGUCAUGCCAGUUGCUUCCCUUUUUGAAGUUCUGUAUGCCCACAAAGUUUCUGACAACUUCUCAUGCCACUGCUUCGGAUUCUUCUCCAGCAUCUUUCUGAUGAUAUUGAUAAUCACCUUGUUACUUGAUUCUGCCUGUCCAUUAGCUUGAGCAUAAUAGGGGGUAGAUUGAAGCAGUUUGAACUUGAAUGUUUCUGCCAUAUCUAGCAUAUCCCUAGACAUGAAAGAAGAACCCCUAUCAGUUGUGAUCGAUUCUGGAAUGCCGAAUCUCUGUAUGAUCUGCUCUUCUAUAAAGGUGAUGAUCUCUUGAGAAGUUGUGGUUUUGAUUGGCUUGGCUUCUACCCAUUUGGUGAAAUAGUCUGUAGCAACAAUGAUAAAACAAUGCUGCUGGCUGCUGGCUGGAUAGAUUUUGCCAAUGAGAUCCAUUGCCCAUCCCCUAAAAGGCCAUGGUUUCACCACUGGAUUCAUGGGAACUGAAGGAGCCCGCUGGAUUGGGCCGUGUCUUUGACAAGCUUCACAUCCCUUGGAAUAGUUGAUGCAAUCCUUCAACAUGGUUGGCCAGAAGUAGCCAUACCUUCUAAUUAACCAGCACAUCUUUCUUCCUCCUUGGUGAGCCCCACAGACCCCUUCAUGGGUUUCUCCCAUGACUUUCAUAUAUUCUGUCUUUCCGAGGCACCUUAAUAGCACCUCAUCCUCACUUUUUCGGACCAAAUCUUCAUUCCACAUGAGAUAGUUUGUAGCCAUGAUUCUGACUCUUUUCUCAGAGGGUAGAGUGGGAUACUGCAAGUAAGUCAUGAUCGGCUCCCUCCAAUCGUCUUUAGUGAUCAAGGCAGAAUUGACUUCUAUCUCCAUUCCUCUAGUCAGAACUGACGGUAGACUUUUCCUUCCUAUCUUGAUGAUCCUCUGGACGCAGUCUUCAAGCAUUUGUAUGCCUGAUGCUACCUGAGCCAGUUCAUUGGCUGCGAAGUUUUCUUCCCUUGGGAUGUGUUCCCAAGUAGCUUCUCUAAAUUCUGUUAGCAGAUUUCUAGCUGCUACCAGAUAUACAGCCAGAGAAGGAUUUAGACACUUGUAUUCUCCAGCAAUCUGUUUUAGGACAAGCAUGGAAUCUCCCAAGAUUUCCACGGAUUGAAUUCCCAAUUCUACCAACAUCUCGAGCCCUAUAAUCAAAGCUUCAUACUCGGCCCUGUUGUUGGUGCAUUGGAAAUCUAACUGGAAGGAAUAGCAAUGUCUGACCCCUAAGGGUUCUUCUAGCACAAUCCCUGCUCCUGAAGCCUUGUCUGUCUUUGUUCCAUCAAAAUAUAAUUUCCACGGUAUGAGAUGAAUCGAGUAGACUGGAUGGUUAAGGCAAACGUGAGCUCUAGUUAGCAGAUCUGCAUUUGCUAUGUCCAAAGAAUCCAUGUUUUCAAUUUCCUCUCCCGGGUGUUCUGCCAAGAAAUCUGCCACAGCUUGUCCUUUGACAGCUUUCUGGGGAACAUACCUGAGGGUGAAUUCUGUCAAAGCCAAAGUCCAUUUCCCAAUUCUGCCCCUCAGCAUUGGUUUUGUUAGCAUGUAUUUGAUUAGGUCUGUUUUGGCAAUGAUGUAAAUAGUAUGUGGCAGCAUGUAGUGCCUGAGCUUUACAGCAGUGAAAUAUAAGGCCAGGCAAAGCCUUUCUAUCGCGGAAUACCUUCUUUCCACUUCUGUCAAUGUUCUGCUUAGAUAGUAGACUGCCUGUUCUUUCCCUUCUUUGUUAUCUUGAGCUAGCAGACUUCCAAUGGAUACCUCUGAUGCAGAUACAUAAAGCUUGAGGGGUCUGCCCCUUUUUGGUGGGGACAGAACUGGCGGAUUUGAGAGGUAAUGCUUUAUUUCCUGGAAAGCCUGUUGGUGCUGUUCUUCCCAUUUGAAUGUCUAUUCCUGCUUCAGUCUUAACAGGGAAGAAAAGGGUUGGAUUUUUCCUGCAGAAUUGGAUAUGAAUCUCCUUAGAAAAUUGAUUUUUCCUAAGAGACUUUGAAGUUCUUUCUUGUUCCGAGGUGGUAGAGCUUCUAUGAUGGAUUUUGCUUUAUUUCUGUCAACCUCUAUACCUCUCUGGUGGACCAAGAAUCCUAAGAAAUUUCCUGCUUGGACUCCAAAAACGCAUUUUUUGGGGUUCAUUUUUAGUUUGUGCUGCCUCAUUCUUAGGAACGCCUUUCUUAAGCCUGCCACGUGAUUUCCUUCUUCAGGGGAUUUAAUCACCACGUCAUCUAUGUAUACUUCCAAGGAAUGUCCUAUCAUAUCAUGAAAAAUAGAAUUCAUUGCCCUUUGGUAGGUGGCUCCCGCAUUUCUCAAACCGAAAGGCAUUACAGUAUAUUGGAAAGCACCUAUAUGUCCUGGACACAUAAAGGCUGUCUUGUGGAUGUCCUGUUCUGCCAUCAUAAUCUGGUUAUAACCUGCAUUGCCGUCCAUGAAAGAUAGCAUCUGGUUGUGAGCGGCUCCAUCCACUAGCAUGUCUGCCAUUGGCAUAGGGUAUUCGUCCUUGGGAGAUGCUUCAUUCAGAUUUCUGUAAUCCACACAAAUUCUAACUGCCCCUGUUUUUCUUUUGAGAACAGGUACAAUAUUUUUUAACCAAUCUGCAUAGAUGGCUGGCCUGAUGAAUCCUGCUUUGAGCAGCCUUUCUAUCUCUUCUUUGACCUUCAGUUCUGUGUCCAUAGACAUUCUUCUUCUGGCCUGUUUAACUGGAAGGUAGCCAUCUUUGAUUGGCAGUUUGUGCUCUACUAACUGCCUGUCCAGCCCUGGCAUCUCGUGGUAAUGCCAAGCAAAACAGUCUCUGAACUCCUGCAAAAGUGUCAUGAGUUCAGACUUGAGUGGUUCCUUCAAAAGUGUGCUGAUGAAAGUAGGCCUUGGAUCUUCUUCUGUCCCUAAGUUUACUUCUUGCAGAGGGUCCUCCACUUCUGGCGGGGAGUCGUCUAGUGCUGCUGGUGCAAAAUCUAAUACUUCUUCCUGUAAAAUUUCCUCCUCUUGUUCUUUUGUGCUUUCAUGGGUGAAUUCUGCCAUAUUGAUGGCUGGAUUCUGCAUGAAAAGCCCCCUUGCUCCCCAGUAUAUCAACAAUCUUUUUGUGAUGGAUCGGAUUGUUGCAGCUCGAUCCUUGUCUAGUUGAUUGGGACUAAACAUCAAAAUUCUGGAAGUUCAGCGCAGAAAGGUCUAUUCCAAUCCUCUAGAGAACUGGCUAAACCUUCUUCAAUGAGUCUUUGGGCCGUAACACCAUGUGGGCGGCCGUUCUGAUUGACUCCAAGAAAAGUGAAAGGACCGAGGUCAUCAUGAUAAUACCUUGCUUCAAAGCACAUGGCAGAGGGUAGGAAUGGCCGUGGAUCAGCCUCUAUAAUCUCCAUGCAGCCUUCUUCAUUCCAUAGUGCUAACUGUUGGUGGAGGGUGGAAGGAACACAAAGGCUCUGGUGGAUCCAAUCCCUACCAAGCAGUGCAUUGUAGGUGGUGGAAGUAGUGUCUAUAACAAAGAAUGCUAUUUUCAAUUCUUUACUUCCGACUAUGACAUCCACGUCCAAGAUGCCAUAUAUUUUGGUGAUGCCCCCAGCGAAGUUGGUGACGGUCAAUCGUGUUGGAAUCAGAUCUUUCUCUGUCCUGCCCAAUUUGGUCAGCAUUCUGUGGGGUAAUAGAUUAAUGGCUGCUCCUCCAUCUACCAUGAUCUUGGAAAUAGGAAUACCCCCAAGAUUUGCCGUUAUAAACAAAGGUCUGAGGUGAUUUGCCAUUUCUCUGGUUGGCUUGGCGAACCAAGGUUGCUCUGUAGCUGGUUUAUCGGCUGUUCUGCCUGUCCUGGAGAUGUCUGCUUGUGGUUCUGGUGGCUCCUCUGCUUCUGCCAAUCUACAUUCAAAGCUUUCCUGAGAGAAAACAUCUCCUUCCAGAGUGCUUUCUUGUCCUUCGGUAGCCCUGAAUUUACCUGGUAGGAUAAAUACCAUGUUAAUUCCCAGAUCACCCUGUAGGAGGUCUUCUAAUUCUGCGCCAAAAGCUUCUGUCUCUGGGUCCAAUUCUUCACCAAAUUCCAUUAAUUCUUCCCCGUAUUCUUCCGUCCAGUCAUCCUGUUCUGCUACCUCGGGGGGCUCUUUCUGGUCAUCUGCAGAAGGUUCAUAGUCCAAUUGCUCUUCUUCCUCUAUGUAGUCGUCUUCUCCUUGUAACGGGGUAGACCCGGAUAUCUCUGGUAUCUGCUCGGUGUCAGGACAGCUACUGGACGAUGAGGCUAUAUGGGCAAGAGAUCUGGCUGGUGGUUCUGUUUUCAGCAAUUCCCCUGACUGGCAAGCUUUCUGUUCUGUCUGGGGAAGUGAUUCAGGAUUUUUUCCUUUCCUGGCAGAACUGGGUUGUGAACGUACCUGCGUAUUAUCCUGGCUCUUAAGAUAUGUGCAGUAUUGCCUCUGGAUUCUUCUUUUCUGAGUUCUGGUCAGCUCCAGAGUUGGCCUACCAUUUCUUCCUACGGAAUACCAUCUCCCUUCUAUGAUCGUCGCCAAGGGUUUUUCGUUUCCGGGUGUCUUGACUGGUAUUUCCUUUCUGGGUUGCUCCAUCCUCCUCUCGCUGUACUGUGUAGGCUUAAGACAACUCUUCUGCCUUGUUUUGUCUUGGGAUGAGGUUCCAAUCCUGUCAAAGACACUAGGUGUGGGCUGAUUUUGUCUGUCUAGAACCACCUCUAGCUCUGUUUCACAUUUGCACCUACUGCAAAGCACUAUCCCAGCUGAGAUGGUCGCUCUUGGUAUUUGACUGGUCUCUCUUAUGAUUCUUCUGCCUCUGCUGCAGCCAGCAUCUGUGAUUGGCUGGGUUUUCCUCUGUUCUAGCCAAUUUAAGUUGACCAUAUUGACUUGAGGUUGAGGAAAAGGAUCCGUUAUGACCGAUGGUGGUUUUUCUGCCAGUUUAAGCCUUCCUGCCGUUAUCCCUUCUUGUAUCACGUCCCUGAAAACAACACAACUAUUGGUAGAAUGAUUCCAAGAGUUGUGCCACCUGCAGUACUGUCUGCCCUUGAGUUCUUCCGGUUUUGGUAUUCUGUGAGGCGUCUCUAUUGCCUUCUGCAGUAGCAUUUCGUCGAACAGGGCAUCGACCUUGGUUAAGUCAAAAGAGUAAACCUUGUUUUGUGUUGGUUUAUUUGGAACGAAUCCUCCUAUGAAUGGUGGCGGCUUUUGGUCUUUAGGUGGCUUUGUGAGGGCUUUGCAACUAAUGGGAUGUUUUAGUUUUUCCAUUUCUGCCACUGAAACCUCUUUCUCCUCUGAUUCUUCCGCAUCUUCUUGUGAUUCCACCUCGAUCAGGUGGACUGAAGAAGAAGGGGUUUUAUAGUAUGUACCUUUGGAGGAGUUCCUCCUUUGCUGUUCUUCCCUGAGUAACUUCUCAUAUUUGGAUGCCUUAUCGGCCAGUUCUGUCAGAUCUCCGAACAAUAUCCCGUCGAACCGUUUCCUGAGAGAGAUUUUAAGGGCGGCCUGGGCCAUCUGGAUGAAGUGUCUUUCUUCCAUAGGGAUUCGGCACUUCAUCUUGAGCUUUCUGAACCUGGUUAUGAAAUCUUGUGCCGGUUCAUCUUCACUCUGCUUGAGGGCGGCUAGAUCACUGAUGGUGACUUCCGGCUGAAUCCUGUAGUAGUAGUCGUGAAAGACAUUUUCCAUCUGUUCCCAGGUUUGAACAGAGUUAGCUGGCAGGCUGGUGUACCAGGUAAAAGCUUGUCCAGAGAGAGAGUUGCCGAAAAGCCUUAAUUUCAGCAGAGGGUUAUUCUCUAUAGCUAUGCAUUGGACGGAGAACCUGCCUAUAUGUUCAACUGAAGAAGCAUGGGGGUCUUCCCCAUUGAACAAAGUGAAAUUUGGCACUUUGAAACCUGGAGACAGCGGUAUUUGAUCAAUAUAGGCUGGGUAUGGCUUCCUGUAAGUAGGCCUUUCUCCUCUCCUAGCCUCGGGUUCCAUGAUCUCUCUGAUCAUUCUUUGUAAUGCCCCUAUGUUAUUCAAAGCAUUGACUGGGGGAAGAUUUUGUCCCUGUUCUGGCUGAACGUAAUCAAAUCUGGGCUCUGCUCUGUGUGGUCUGGGUGGAAGUCCUUCCCUGUGUUCUUCCUGCUCUUCGACUUCUGGAUGAUUCCUCCAAUUUGCCCCUGGUCUAUUCCUGUCAUGAUUAGCAAAGAGGUUGUUCCCUCCUCGGCCUCUCCUCCCUCUUGCAAGUGGAGGGAAUGGAUUAGGGUCCAUCCUUCUGGGUCUAUAUGGCAAUACUGCCGGUGGCUCAGGCAGAAGUGCCAAAGGUUGAUCAAGCGGGGCCACAUGAUAUGGAAUGGGUUGAGGUUCUGGCUGGUUCUGAGCCAGUGCCGGGUUGUCUGGUUGGGCUGGGGCCUCAUACUCUUGAUUAGGAAAGGCUCUUUCCCUCGGACCAGCCUGAAUUUCUCUGUGGUCUGGCACUCCAGCCAUCUGUGCAACUAGGGGAUUUUCCUGGUAUGGCCAUAUUAGUCCUGGCGGAGGGCCAUAAGGGAGAUCCAACUGCUGGAUUACAGGAUCUGGGUUUGGGUUUCUGGCCAUGGCGGAUUCUCGGUCCUUCCGGAAUUGUCUGUUCACCUACCAUUGCAUCAUGGCUGUCAUGUUAUUGAGAGUAUCCUGGCUCCUUUGUACUGUGAUCUCUUGUCGGAGUACUGACUCCUGCACUUGAUCCAUCCUUUUGGAGCCAAUCCUGGAACGUCUACUUCCUGUACUGCCGUGGGCAGAAUGCCUAGCAUCGCUUUCUUCUGACUCGAGGCCCUCCCUGAGGACCAUCUUGUUUUUCUCCAUAUCUGGUGUGGGUUCUGACUAGAUCUUCCGAUAUUUGUAAAUCUGUGAAUGAUUCCGUCAGAAUAUGUAUACUGAGAAGUCCCACCGGGCGUGCCAAAUUGUUCACCCGUGUUCGUGUUUAACUCCUGAUGUGGAAGGGCGAAGUUCCCCACUGGCUUGAAGACCACUUGCUGGUCGACAAGUCAGCUUUCUUUGGUGUGUGAGCGUGCCACUGCUAGCAAUGUAGAUUCUAGCAGACUUAUUUUGAAAGUGGAUAACUUGCGCCUCAAGUUACUGGCUUCUAAAACAAAACGAUUGUGAAUUUGGGUGAGGAAUAUCUCCCAAGUAAGUUCUUUUCUUGCCUCAGACUGGUGAGGACUUUCAUAAUUUAUCUCAGUAUCAAAUGGUUGUUCUGGCCAGAAUGGAUAAUAAUAAAGUACUAUUUUCAGGCAGAACUCCCUUUUACAAAAUUAAGCAGGGAGAAACCGACUCUAGAAAGGCAAAAAGAUGGCUGAAACUCCAUUUCUGCCUGGGUGGAAACUUCUAAUCCGGGCUGGACUGGGCAUGUCUACGCUGGACUGUACUGUCGACAACUUUAGCUGCUUGGCUUCAGCUGUAAAUCGAUACCAAAGUUCAAUUUUGGCAGAGCUUCAAUCUACUUCAAGCCUUGGGAGACUUUUGAGCGGGCAGAACUGCGACUUCUUCAGUUUGAAGGGACAGAAGUGGCUAUUCGUAUUCAGCAAGCUGGAACUAUGCUAUAAAAUUUGUUGAGGUUUUCAUAUUUGUGAAAACUCAAACUGUGUUUGUCUUGGCUGUUGCUAAACCAAACUUGUAACGAGAGGGAUCUCACUUUCAGAGGACUUAUUUUCUAAGUCUGAACUUCGGAAUUCUGAUCUAAAGCUGGUUUUCUUUGGAUCCAAGUGAGCUUUUUCUUGUUUGUUUUUUUUGAUUGAUUGAUGCAUUGAGUGUCCUUUGUUCCUUUGCCUACUUUCGUUUUUAUAAGAGACCCUCCUGGGGAGGUGAUUUUUAAUCCUAAAUAAUGGGCGGCAAAAAGAUCUCUUAUAAUAUAAAGUAAGAAGGAUUUCUUAUCAAUCAAGACAGAUAGGUUCUGAGCAGUCACCUCCUAAAGCAGUCCCUUCCCUGGUUUCCUGGGUGGCAGUUUCUAAUUCAAACCACCGCCACCAUCUGUGUAGGCUUUUUAUGGCGGUUUGGCUUUUUCUUUUAUAUUUUCUGAAUGGUUCCCUAUUUCCCGUUCUAAUUUAGAAAGCGUGAUCCGUGAAUCCCUGGGGGGGUGGUGCAUCGAUUUGGAGCAAAAUCUUGAACAUAGAUGGGUUUUUUGAUCUUCAAUUGGCAGUGUUUCAGAGACGUCCCUUUCAUAUUUUUAAAUUUCAGUCGAUAUUGCUGACUUUUCUAAAGCUGAGGCAAUCACGUGGGUGUGUUUUUGAUCCCUUGGGUCUGAACCUAAUCAAUAAUUCAUGGGCUGAUCUUUUGAAUCCCAUCUUGUCAGUUUCCUCUUUGGGCCUUUCUUUGGGCUGAAGCUUUGUUUUCAACAUUCUUGGUGUGAAGCCCAAUCUGUCUGGAUCCUAUUUUGUUUUUCUCAAGUUUUCGGGCUGGGCAGGCAAUUUCAUCAUGGGCUUGUCUCUUGAUUUUGGGUGUGCCGAAUUUUGGGCCCAAACAACUAUAUUAUGCAUGAUAUUAUUAUUUGAUUAUUAUUGAUAUUGGGUGUUUAAGUGUUGUUAAUUAUCAUCAUAUUAUUUUAUUCAUAUUGACAUGAUCAUAUGUUAUCGGUGAUGGCUGGAAUUCUUGGGUUGAUAAAGAAAGUAAGAAAAAGGGGGUAAUGGGAAGGAUCUUUUGUGUAGUUGAGUCUAACUCUUGGCAGGUACCAGGUCUCAAGGAUCCCGCAGUGCACAUGGUUUUCAUUGGGUGAUUCGGGACUAGCGACAGAGAGUUAGACAAGAUGACUAACGAAAUGGGAAUUAUGAGAAGAUUGAAAUGGGUGUUUGUUCAUAUAAAUGGGCAUUUGGGGCCAAGUGGUAUAAGCAUGGUAUGGGACGUGCAGGUCUGCUUGUGCAGUCAUAUGAAUUAACAGGAGUAGAUGAAGAGCAUUCAUUCAUGCAUUAUUAUUAAUAAUGUGAUAUUUAGCUGUGUGAUUACAUGUCACUUAAUUUAGUUAAAUCAAUCUACUGUGGUGAGGUCUCAUGUCCCUACUGAGUGGUGGUUUCUCAUCCCUCACCCUGUUUAAUUUUUCAGAUGAAUUAGUGGGCAUGACAAGGACUAAAUCAGUUGAGGCUGAACUAGAUGAGAGUGAUAGAGCUUUAUUUUUUUUAAUUGUAAAGUUUUAAGAUUUUGGGAGCUAUUUUUAUAAGAAAAGUUUAUUUUAUGUUUCGGCUUCUUUUUAUUCUAUUUUACCUUUUAUUUUCUCAUGCACUGGGCACGGGGUUUCCACUGACCCACGGGUCCGGGGCGUGACAAGGGUUAAUCGUUUUAUUCGUUCUUGGACUUAGACCCGGUUUGCAUUUGAGUACCUCAAUUUCCAAAAUCGUUCUCAUAUUCCUUUAACUUCACUUUUGUUAGGACAAAUGGUCCAGCCAUUAAUUUUGUUAACUUUUUCUGUUAAAUGCAGGGGCAAAAUGGUAUUUUUAUAUUAAAACCAAAAGAAUAAAUAAAUAAUCACAUCUUUAAAAUAACAAUAAAAUCAAAUCAAAUAAAAAACCAACCAAAAAAAAAUCGAGUUUGGGAAGAGUAGAAAUCGGGAUAGAGGGGGAGAGAGAGAGUUUAAUUUUAAUUUUUUAUUCAUAUUUUAAUCAAUUUAAUACAAAAUGAGGAGAACUACCCCCCCUCUUCUUCUCUUUUUAUUCACUACAUGCCAUGUAAAGAGAAGAACUAAAUGAGGUUAGGUUAUUAAAAUUGGGUGAGCUAGGAUUCUAUUUUUUUUGGCUGGAAAAAAGAAGCCACCUGGGUUGCCAAACUAAAGGUACAUCCGUGGGUAAGCUAGGAUUUUAUUUUUUUUUGGCUUGAAAAAAGAAGCCACCUGGGCUAUAGCCCAGGUUUGCCAAACUAAAGGAAGGUCUGUGGGUGGGCUAGGAUUUUAUUUUUUUGGCUGGAAAAAAGAAGUAGGUUUGCCAAACUAAAGAUCCGUCUCUGUUUCCACUUCAACCCAUUUACAAUCAAACUAUUUUAUGACUAAAACACUUCACAUUAAUGAUAAUUUUAUUAAACUAAAACACAGUUUUAUGAGUCUACUUAUGGAGAAAAACUUAGUUGCAAUGAGAUAACACUAUUUUGCUAUCCUUAUUUCAUAAAAGUCUUUCUCCUACUUAUGACUAUGGUUGCAGCCUGCAAUAUUCUUAAAAUAAUAAAAAAAUAAAAAAAAUAAAAAAAGUAGCUAUUCUGAAGGACAUUACCUCACUUUUGCUGUAUAAAUACUCUGCAUUUGCAAGCACUGCAAUGCACACACAAAAGCUAAGAUGGAUUCCAGAGAAGUAGCAACUAAGCCACACGCUGUUUGCAUUCCAUUCCCUUAUCAAAGCCAUAUAAAGGCAAUGCUUAAAUUUGCAAAGCUCCUCCACCACAGAGGUUUUCAUAUAACCUUUGUUAACACAGAGUUCAAUCACAAGCGCUUUCUUAAAUCUCAAGGACCCAAUUCCCUUGUUGGCUUGCCUGAUUUUCAAUUCGAUGCCUUCCCGGAUAGCCUUCCGGAUUCAGAUGAAGAUGCCACACCAGAUGCCACCUUGCUUUGUGAAUCCAUCAGAAAAAAAAAAUUCUUGGCUCCCUUUCAUGCCCUCCUUGCAAAACUCAACAAUGAUGCCAUAUCAACAUCCCACAAUCCUCCUGUGACUUGCAUAGUUUCAGAUGGUUUCAUGUCCGCGUUCACAAUCACAGCUGCUGAAGAAAUCGGAGUCCCUAUAGCGCUGUUCUACACUAUAGCUGCCUGCAGCUUCAUGGGAUUUAAACAACUUCGCGCUGUGGUCGAAAAAGGACUUUUUCCACUCAAAGGUGAAUAACUACGAAUUAAAAGCAAUUGUUGUUUCUAAACAUGCAAAUGAAAUGUUUCUUCAAUUGAAUUUCAUUUGUCUAUUGCAGAUGAGAGCUGUUUCAAAAAUGGCUAUCUGGACACCGUAAUAGAUUGGAUCCCAGGAAUGAGAGAUAUCCGUUUAAGGGAUCUCCCGACCUUCGCGCGAAACACAAAUCUGGAUGACACCGGAUUUAACUUCAUCAUGGAAGAAACCGAAAGAGCUCAUGAAGCUUCAGCAGUUGUUCUUCAUACUUUUCAUGCCUUGGAGACAGAUGUUUUGGAAGCUCUCUCAUCUAUGCUUCCCCAUGUGUACACCGUUGGCCCUCUUCAAUUGCAUCUCAAUCAGAUACCAGAGCACCCUUUGAAAAUGGGAUACAGUCCAUGGAAAGAAGAAACUGAAUGCCUCGAGUGGCUAAACACCAAGGCACCAAACUCAGUUGUCUAUGUGAAUUUCGGCAGUGUAGCAGUCGUGACACCAGAACAGCUUGUGGAGUUUGGGUGGGGACUUGCAAAUAGCAAGCUUCCAUUCUUUUGGGUAAUUAGACCUGAUCUAGUUGUUGGAGAAUCAGCUAUUUUGCCGCCUGAGUUUGUGGCUGAAACUAAGGAAAGAAGUCUAAUAGCUGGGUGGUGCCCACAAGAGCAAGUCCUCAACCACCCCUCAGUUGGAGGAUUUUUAAUGCACAGCGGUUGGAAUUCAACAGUUGAGAGCCUUACUGCAGGAGUUCCUAUGCUCUGUUGGCCAUUCUUCGGGGACCAGCAAAUGGACUGUCGCUAUACUUGCAAUGAAUGGGGAAUUGGCAUGGAGAUUAGUGAUGAUGCGAAGAGGGAAGAGGUAGAGAAGCUUAUCAAAGAGUUAAUGGAGGGAGAGAAGGGUAAGAAGAUGAAAAAUAAGGUCAUGGAGUGGAAGAAACUUGCAGAAGAAGCUACUGGUCCACAUGGUUCUUCAUCCACAAACUUAGACAAUUUAGUGAAUCAAGUGCUAUUGAGAAAAAGUUAAGAUGUUUCCAUAAGAAUAUUGAUGUUAUUAAUUAUCAUUUCCAUUGCCAUUGUCUCAAAUAAUCAACUAUCUGGCAAUAUAUAUGUACUACUGGUCUGUAACCAUGAUGCGUACUAUAUCUAGAAUUUUAUUCUGAUUAAGGUUUCACUACGCUUCAGGCCUUUAACUCUAAAAUCUUAUUGGAGAAUCGGCUAAUAUUUAAUUAUUUUUUAUACGUAUUUCCUUUUUACUGUGUUCUAUACAUAUUUAAUUGGAUUACUACUCUCGAGGAAGAUUAUCCUUAAGUAUUAUAUUCAACAAAUUACUAUUCAUGUGUCAGUUGUUUUACAUUUAUUGUAUUAAAUCAAUACUCACCAAUUCUUUAAGGUGUGAGAUAAUUAGUCACAAAUAAUGGUGACUAGUAACCAAAGUCAUUGACCACCCAUUCAAAUGUCACCAAAACUAUUGUGUUGCUAUACAAAUAUGACUAAUGCUUUCUAUUUUGUCGCCGGAUCAAGGCCGUGAAGUUCCGGGUUAAACCGUGAGUUUCUGAAGCCGAUUCUGACCACUUGCCGUCCGAAUUGGACUUGGGUGUUUGAAUAAAAUGUUCCACUCGUCGAGUAGAACCUGUAGCCGGGAGGGGUGGCUUGUAGUUUGGAGAUUUUCCGGUGAAGCUUUAUCGCUUUGGACACCCGCGCGUGUGGCGGUACGUGGGCACUAUAGCAGAGGGUCAUUAUUGUCCCAAUGCGAUCUCCUGGUUGUCACGAGUACGUAGGAAUUCGCGGAUCUCAAUUCGGAUGUCGUUUGACUAUCGAACGGAUUUUCGCAUAGUGUGCGUUAUCCGGGUUCGAUAGGUUCUGACCGUUGGAUCAUUUCCCAAUUAAAUUAUGUUGUUCUAGGUAUUCCUAGGAUCGUGUAGGACUUCGCAGAUCGUGAAUCGGAGCCCGGAUGUUCCAAUUCAAUAACUUAAAGUUUGAGUUUUAUAUUAACCGUCUGAUCGUGCGAUCGUAAGCGAUCUAACCGUCUGUUUCAGACCAAACUUGCGAGACGGGUAUCUUAGACCUUGUGGAACCUUUAGGAACUUACGGAUUGUAAAACGGAGGUCGUGGGUCCCGUGGACCCGGUUGACCUGAAUUGGGAAGUUUGACCGCCGGUUGACCGAGUGUCUCCCGAAGUUGUUCCAUCGUCCAAAUUGAGUAGUUGGACCUUAGAAUGUCUCAUUCCUAGUACACUUACUAGAAACCUGGGAAAUUAGGAUAUUUAAUUCAAAGUACUCGUUCGAAACGCUUCGUAUUAAUCUUGUGUACGUAUUCUGAAUUAGGUACUUCGACCACGCAUACGCAGCAGGCGGGACCCUCUCAGGGUCAAGCAGCGUGGGACUACUUGUGAGUGAACUUUGUUUUCAAAUCUUAUACAUGUUUUUAUUGAUGAAAGAUUUAUGCAUAAUGUUUUUAAUAAUUUAUUGAAUAUAUUAUAUUCAUGGGUUGAAUUUGAUGUUUGUAUAGCGCUUUGUCAAUAUAUUGUGGGUUUGGCAUUGUUGGGUAUUGAAAGCAUAUUUUAUAUGGAUUUUGGGAAAUAUUAUGCAUGAUGUUUUAAACGGUAUUUUGGAUAUAUUAUUUAUGAAAUUGUUGAAAGUGAUAUUUUUAUGAGGCAUUGAAAAUAUAUUUUGGGUUUUGACAUAUUUGAGUAUCUUGAGUAUGAAUAUAUGGAUUUUGAGGAUUUCUAUAUAUAUUUGGCUAUGUGUGAGGUACUUGGGUUGUUGAGAUGAGAUUGUGGAAAGUGGUGAGUAUAGAAUGUCAGUUUGGUGUGCUAUAAGCACUACCCUAUGUACCUCCCCUGAUUUGGAACUUGGAUAUGGAGACUUGAGAUACUUGGAAUUGUCGGAACCCGGGGCAUCCUUGACGGGAUGUUGCUGUAGACCCUUGAUUGGGUAGUCUGCGCUCGUAGGACUGAUCACAGACGUAUGAGUUUUGAGGUUAUCGACGGUACGUGCUGGCUGAGAGUUGGUCCCCCAGUUGGACGGCUCGUUCCCUAGUCACAUAGUGGAUUGAGGACUUUUCAUGAGGACUCUGCCAGGGUGACUAGUCAAACAAUCCCCCGGUUGGAUUGUUUCCCCGGUACAACUAGGUGAUGGUCAUAUUUAUAAUAUAUAUAUCUCUUAUAUGAUAUAUUUAUAUAUAUAUCUAUUCAUUCAUUUUUGUUUCUCGGUGUGGAUACUUCCUUGCCGGUCGUACCAAUGGGUACGCUUUCGAGAGUUUAGUUGUGAGAUUUAUAAGUUUUGGAUGGUGGGUUUUGUAAAGCGUUCUUUAUGGAUUUCGAACUUCGUAUCUGGUAUUGAUUUGUUUUGAUAUAUAUAUUAUAUAUAUAUAUAUAUAUUUGAGUAUGAUGGUUUUGAGAUGCAUGGGAUUUCUUGCAUGGUUUUCUAAACGGUGGGGUUAUAUUACGUUGGUUUACACUGAACUGAAUUUAUUUUUGUCCACUCACAAUUUUCUAUUUUGCGCCCCCCAGCCAGUAGUUGACUGAGCUCCGCAGCAGAGCCGGAUCAUGAGCUUCCGAGCCUUGAGUCUUCGUAGGACUCUUUCUUCAUGUUUUUCCCUUUGAACUCUGUCUUAUUGAAAUUGAAGUUCUUAGCCAUGCUCUGUUAUCGCCCCUGUUAGGGUUUGAUUUGUGAGGCCGGAGGCCAUUUGGUUGUAAACUGUUUAUUCGCUUUAAAGCAUGCUGCUGGUUGGGAUUAUUCUAUGUUUAUGCAGGUUGAAUUUUUGUUGGGUUUGUUCAAUUCACAGGGGAGACUUUGCCAAAAUUUUGGUAGAGAGUAUGGGUUUUUAGUAAGUGGACCCGGCAUCGGGAUGAUGUCGGAACAAAGACGAGAUUCGCCCUUGUUUCCGGGAAUUACGUAUAUAAUACAACUUCAAUAUUUAUAUGUAUAUUAUUUCAUUAAAUAUUUAUAUAUACAUAUGUUCUUUUGAAUAAAAGGGGUUAAAUUAUAUAUUUGUCCAUUAUUUCUUGAGAUGCCAUUAGAUGGUUAUUGGAUGCUUUCUAUACAUAUAUAUUAAUAACAUGGAUUAAGAGUUUAGACGUGGCAUCCUUACAUUGUUUUCUUGGAGAGAAAGACUAUUUCUCUCUUAUCUUAAUUAGGAUGCCGGAUGUGGCUUUUUCCAUUAAAUUAGUUGAUGCAUUACCAUCGCUAACUUACGCACGUUGUUAAUAACGUGUUGUCAUAGUAUAUUUUUAUUAUAGUGGUCACAGCCUUUGGAAAUAAAUCUCCUAGCGUUGACACAUAGCAACUUAUAAAAUAGAGUGGCAACCAAGUUAUCUUUUCGUAUAAAUAAGAUAAUGUCCUUUGUUAUUAUCCUCUCCAUUGUUACGCCAUCUCACCACCAAUAAAUAGAAGUUUUAAUGGAAGGAAGAGAUAUCAGGCAAAGGGUAAAGAGAGAGAGAGAGAGAGAGAGAUGAUGAUGAUGAAAUUCUUAGAAGAGAUAUAGGAUUUAGCUUGUAUUUUCUUAACUUGGAGAGAGAUGAUGAUGAAAUUCUUAGAAGAGAUAUAGGACUUAGCUUGUAUUUUCUUAACUUGGAGAAAUGCUUUGGAAUCGAGGUAGGAGUUUCUUGGUGACCUUUUAUAAAGAUUGAUCAAAUUAAAUUUCGUGAGCAUUAUAUCAUGCAUGAUAUUAUUAUUCGAUUAUUAUUGAUAUUGGGUGUUUAAGUGUUGUUAAUUAUCAUAUUAUUUUAUUAAUAUUGACAUGAUCAUAUGUUAUCGGUGAUGGCUAGAAUUCUUGGGUUGAUAAAGAAAGUAUGGAAAAGGGGGUAAUGGGAAGGAUCUUUUGUGUAGUUGAGUCUAACUCUUGAUAAGUACCAGGUCUCAGGGAUCCCGCAGCGCAUAUGGUUUUUAUUGGGUGAUUCAGGACUGGCGACAGGGAGUUAGACAAGAUGACUAACGAAAGGGGAAUUAUGGGAUGAUUGAAAUGGGUGUUAGUUCAUACAAAUGGGCAUUCGGGACCAAGUGGUAUAAGCAUGGUAUGGGACGUGCAAAUCUGCUUGUCCAGUUAUAUGAAUUAACAGGAGUAGAUGAAGAGCAUUCAUUCAUGCAUUAUUAUUAAUAAUGUGAUAUUUGGCUGUGUGAUUGCAUGUCACUUAAUUUAGAUAUAUCAAUCUACUGCGGUAAGGUCUCAUGUCCCUACUGAGCGGUGGUUGUUCAUUCCUCACCCUGUUUAAUUUUUCAGAUGAAUUAGUAGGCAAGACAAAGACUAAACCAGUUGAGGCUAAAUUAGAUGAGAGUGAUAGAGCUUUAUUUUUUUAAUUUUAAAGUUGUAAGAUUUUGGGAGCUAUUUUUAUAAGAAAAGUUUAUUUUAUGUUUCAACUUCCUGUUAUUCUAUUUUACUUUUUAUUUUCUCAUGCACUGGGCACGAGGUUUCCACUAACCCCCAGGUCCGAGGCGUGACAGAAUGGUAUAAGAGCUUUAGGGAUUAAAUACCCUUGGGAACUGUGGUAUAGUAUUACCACAAAGUAAAUUUGAAUUGGUGAAGUAAGUUAGUGACCUAACUUUUCAGGAGCAUAUUUCUUUUUAUGAUUAAGUGUAGUUUACGGAAUAAUUGUUUAGUAUUGUUUUAUAUAUGUUGGUUUAAUUUGGUAGAAAUAUUUGGUAAAGGUUCAAUUGUUAAGAUAGCUAGAGUAGAUGGGAAACGUGACAAUGAUAAGAAUGGUAGCAUGAGGGUAAUACUAACCAUUCAGGAUAUGGCCUUUGCAAUACGUGAAACAAAUCAACAAAACCAAGAACCCCAUCAAGAGAUUCAAGGUUGUCAAACAAUGAGUGUUAAAGGAGAAAGAUAAAUGAACAAAGAGUUCUAGGAAAUCUGAAAGUGGCUAUUGCUUCUACCUAUUUGGGAGGAGCAAGGAGACUAGAAUAACUCACUCAAGGACAUGUGUAUGCUAUUGGACAAGUGACAAAGCAAAAUGAACCUACUAUGGUAGAAGGUACAUUUCUAGUUUACAACUCAUGGGCUAAGAUAUUGUUUGACCCCGGUGCUACAAAUUCAUUCAUCUCUAUUUCGUUUGCGUUUAUUCUUGGAUUAGAAUAUGAAUUUAUGAAAUCUUCAUUAAUGGUUGGAUCUCCAUUGGGUAAAUGUGUCGAAGUUAAUAAGGUGUGUAGAUCUUGCAUAAUAGAGAUAUCAUAUCAUAAACUUGUUGUUGACCUAAUGAUAUUGGAAUUAAUGGAGUAUGAUGUAAUAUUAGGGAUGGACUUGACCCAAUUUAAAGCUAUUUUUUAUUGUGGUAGAAAGAUGGUGACUAUGACUCUUAGCGAGGGAAAACAUGUAGUUUCUAUGGAAGUAGGAAUACUCACAUCAAUCUUGGAUAAUGGAAAUUGUAAUUAUUUGAGAUUGAUUGCUUACAUGGUCACUGAGGAUCUAAGUAAUACCAAGCUUGAGCUUAUCCAAAUAGUGAAAGAUUUCGGUGAUGUUUUCCCAGAAGAAUUAUAUGGAAUCCCCCUAGAAAUGGAGUUUUUCUAUAGAUAUUUAUCCUGGCAUGUCGCCUAUAUCUAUACCUCCACAUUGAAUGGCACCAAUAGAGUUGAAGGAACUCAAAACACAACUUCAAGAACUUGAAAGUAAAGGUUUUAUUCGUCCUAGUACCUUACCAUGGAGGUUUUUUCUCCAUUCUUUGUGAAGAAAAGUGAUGGAAGUUGUAACACCCCGACCUCAAAUUUAACCCUUAUUUAAGUAUUUAAUUAUUUAAGGGCAUUUUGGUCAUAUUUUUAACCGGAGAGAGUUUGGGGCAGUGACUAUGUCACAUCUCGGGAUCAACUCCGUCGUAGCACGAUAUUGUCCGCUUUGGGCCCCCCCUCUCUGGCCCUCACGGUUUUGUUUCUGGGAGCUCACGAGCAACUUCCCAGUGGGUCACCCAUCCUGGGAUUGCUCUGGCCCCAACUCGCUUAACUUUGAAGUUCUUACGACUUCGAAGCCAGUGAGCUCCCAAAAGGCCUCGUGCUAGAUGGAUGCGGGUGUGCAUAUAUAAGGCACAUCGCCCCCUCUCCGUUGGUUGAUGUGGGAUCUUACAAUCCACCCCCCUCAAGGGCCCGACGUCCUCGUCGGCACACUCACACCACACGGCAGAGUGGCUCUGAUACCAAAUUGUCACAUCCCGGAAUCAACUCCGUCGUAGCACGAUAUUGUCCGCUUUGGGCCCCCCCUCUCUGGCCCUCACGGUUUUGUUUCUGGGAGCUCACGAGCAACUUCCCAUUGGAUCACCCAUCCUGGGAUUGCUCUGGCCCCCAACUCACUUAACUUCGAAGUUCCUACGACUCCGAAGCCAGUGAACUCCCAAAAGGCCUCGUGCUAGAUGGAUGCGGGUGUGCACAUAUAAGGCACAUCGCCCCCUCUCCGUUGGUUGAUGUGGGAUCUUACAGACUAGUAUUUUUGGAUAGGUCGUACUGAGACGAGUUCAUAGACAUGUAGUGGGCUCGAAUCGGAGUUGUAACGAGAGAGAUAUGGUCAAAAGAAGCCCAGUGGCACAAUCGUAAAUAUUUCGAAAUAGGAUUUUUUUUAUAAAAACUCAGAUUUUCUCUCUCUCUCUCUCUCUCUCUCUCUCUCUCUCUCUCUCUCUCUCUCUCUCCCGCGGGUCUCUCUCUCCUCUCUCACGCGCGCGACGGCAGCUGGCCACGUUUUGGCCGGCCGUGCUCUCCUCCGACCACCAAUGACGACGGGACCGGUACCAAAAUGACCGGGCCGUCGUCCUCUCGAGCUGCUCUAGCUGAUGGUUGGGUAGGAUUAGAUCGAUUCUUAGCGUAGACAAUUCGAUUUUCGAAUUGAAAUUCGGCCGGUUUUGGGAUCGUGAUUCCGGCCACUUCCGGUCAGUUUUUGGGGUAGGUCCAAGAACAAAAGUGGCUCCAAAUAGGGUGUUAUACCUAGGGUAGGAGUUUGGAGCCGUCGUUUUGAGAUUUUCCGGCGAAGCGUUAUCGCUUUGGGCACCCACGGGCUGCCGGAGCGUGCGGCGGCGCGUGGGCACUGUAGAAAAAGUAGCAUGUGUUCCGAUGAGAUCCUUAGGUUGUCACGAGUGCGUAGGAUUUCGCGGAUCUCAAUUCGGACGUCGUUUGACUAUCGAACGGAUAUUCGCAUAUUGCGCGUUAUCCAGGUGCGAUAGGUUGGGGCCGUUGGAUGGACCCAAAUUUAAUAUAUGUUGAUCUAGGUAUUUCUAGGAUCGUGUAGGAAUUCACGGAUUGUGAAUCGGAGCCCCGAAUGUUCCGAAAAAUAAUUUUAAAGUUUUUAUUUUAUAUUAACCGUCAGAUCGUGCGAUCGUGAGCGAUCCGACCGUCCGAUCUGAAUCAAACUUGCAGGACAAGAGUCCUAUACCUGGUAGAACCCAUAGGGACUCUCGGAUCGGAAAUUGGAGGUCGUGGGUUCCGCAGGUCCUUUUGACCAGGGUUAUAGUAGUUUGACCCUUGGUUGACCGUGAGUCUCCCGGAGUAAUCUCACCUUUCUAGGGGAGAUUAUCGGGUACUAGAUUAUUGUGGAGGGUUACACAAUAUUAGAAUUAAUUUAUAUAUUUAUAAUUAUAAUAUGUUUGUACAAGAGUACAAAAGAGUCUAGACUGUCAGUUUGGAGUGCUAUACGCACUACUUUAGGUACCUUCCCGAAUUUUGGAUUCACUACAAGCACCACCAAGUGAAAGUUAGGUCUCACAUGGCGUAGGUUAUCCGGCGUUGAGACAGGCCCCAUACGUGGCGUUGGUUGUACCGGCAUAUGGGGAGAUAUUGUGAUAUUGUGUUGAGGUCGCACGUGGCGUAGGUUAUCCGGCGUGUCGACAGACCCCAUACGUGGCGUUGGUUGUACCGGCGUAUGGGGAGAUUUUUGAUAUGAUAUUGAGGUCCCGCGUGGCGUAGGUUAACCGGCGUUGGGACAUGCCCCAUACGUGGCGUUGGUUGUACCGGCGUAUGGGGAGAGAUGUGAUAUGAUGUGCAGGUCUCGCGUGACGUAGGUUAUCCGGCGUUGUGACAGAUCCCAUACGUGGCGUUGGUUGUACCGGCGUAUGGGGAGAUAUUAUGAUAGUAUGGCAUGGUCGCACGUGGCGUAGGUUAUCCGGCGUGUUGACAGGCCCCAUACGUGGCGUUGGUUGUACUGGCGUAUGGGGAGAUAUUAUAUGAAAUACAAAGAAAUGAAAUAAGGUAUCGCCCAAGUGUGGAAUUGGGUUUUAUGGAAGAACUACGUGUGGCUUGAUCCCUCAAGGAGGGUACGUAGGCAGCCUAAGGUUAUUAGCUGCAGCCGCAGACUAAAUAUUAGUCAUAAUUGGUAUUUGAAUUGUUUGGUAGUUGGUUAAGAAUUAUUGGAAGGCCGAAGGCCAUUUGUGCGAAUUGCAUGAAAUUAUAUUGUGCAUGCUGCCAGUUGGGAAUAUUAAAUGUGUUUCCAUGCAGGUAUAAAUUUUGGGAAAUGUCCAAUUUAUAGGGGAGACUCUGCCGAAUUUUCGGCAGGAAGUCUCGAUUUUUAGUAUUUGGGCCUGAUAUCGGGAGGAUGUCGGGAAUUUCAAAGGGUUCGCCUCGAGUUCUGAAAAAUUCGGGGCGGGUCCUUUCAGAAGUCUUAGGAUGUGUUUUGUUGCAAGCUAACAAAGUAGUUGCAUACGACUUUUUUCAAUUGAAAUGACAUGAAAAGAAUUAUCUAACACAUGAUCUAGAAUUGGCAACCAUUGUUCACACACUGAAGAUAUGGAGAUAUUAUUUGUAUGGGGAACGUUUUGAACUCUUUUUGGAUCAUAAGAGUUUGAAGUAUUUAUUGACUUAGAAGGAGUUGAAUUUAAGACAAAAGCGAUGGAUGGAAUACCUGGAAGAUUAUGAUUUUGACUUACAUUAUCUUCCAGGAAAGGCUAAUGUGGUAACAGAUGCUUUAAGUCAAAAUCCUCAAGGAAUUGUAGCAAGUUUGUAUGAUCAAAGGUGGAAGAUGGUGGAGUCUCUUUACGAUUUUGACCUAUAUAUAGGUGCGCAUGAGGAUUGUGCAUAUCUAUGUAAUUUGGUAACUCACCCCACUUUGAUUGGAAGAAUAAUUGAGGCACAGGAUUUGGAUUCUAUGUCUGAAGACAUUCGAACUAAGAUUACAACUAGAAAGACACAGGAAGGAUGGAGUAUCCUCACAAGCAGUGGAUUAAGAUAUUUGAAUAAGUUUUAUGUACCAAAUAUUUCUGAUAUAAGAAAUGAAGUUCUCAGAGAAAGUCAUCAUUCACCUAUACAAUUCAUUCUAGAGGGACAAAGAUGUAUCGUGAUUUUAGACGUAAUUUUUGGUGGAGUAGUAUGAAGGGAGGUGUAGAAAUAUUUGCAGCAAAAUGUCUAACAUGUUAGCUGGUGAAAACUGAAUAUCAGAAACCGUCAAGUCCAUUACAGCCAUUACCAGUAGUAGAAUGGAAAUGAGAUCAUAUAACAAUGAAUUUUGUUACAGGUUUACCUAAAUAUCCAAAAGGACGUGAUGCAAUAUGGAUUAUGGUGGAUCGUUUGACCAAAUCUGCACAUUUCAUACAGUCAAAUCAAUGGAUUCCACUAAAAAUCUUGGAAAGCUUUACGUUAGAGAUAUAGUAAGAUUACAUGGAAUUCCUAUUUUGAUUGUAUCGGAUAGAGAUUCCAAGUUUACUUCUAAAAUUUGGGGAAGCUUACAGAAAGUGUUAGGUACGCAACUAAAUUUGGUACCGCCUUUUAUCCCCAAACUUAUGGACAAUUGGAGAGAACUAUUCAAAUUUUAGAGGACUUGUUGAGAGCAUGUAUUCUAGAUUUGGAGGGAAGUAGUUGGGAAGAUCAUUUAGUGGUAGUAGAGUUUGCCUACAACAACUAUCAGUCUAGCAUUCAGAUACCACCUUAUGAAGCUUUAUAUUGAAGACCUUGUCAAUCACCUGUGUGUUGGACUGAAGUAGGAGAAACUGUAUUGCUAGGACCUGGUUUGGUACAAGAGACAACUGAAGGGAUUAAAGUUAUCAAGCAACGUCUUUUAACUACUCAAAGUUGACAAAAGAACUAUGUAGACCGAAGAAGGAAAACAUUAAGUAUUGACGUGGGUGAUUAUGUAUUUCUUAAACUCUCACUACUAAGUGGAGUAAAAAAAGGUUUGGGAAGACUGGAAAAUUAUCACCAAAGUUUGUUGGACCAUUUGAAAUCUUAGAAAGGAUGGGUGAAGUAGCUUAUAAGUCAGCAUUACCACCUCAACUGUUGAAUGUACCUGAUGUUUUCCUUGUUUCUAUGCUUCGAAAGUAUGAGCCUGAUCCAACCCAUUUUCUAGAUUGAGGAGAGCUCAAUUUAGAUGAGGAACUGUCAUUUGAAGAAAGACCGACUCAGAUUUUGGAUUCUAAGGAACAAGUGUGACGUACGAAAAUAAUAUCAUUGGUCAAAAUUCUUUGGGUACAUGGGAAUACAUUGAAAGCUACAUGGGAAUUAGAAACUAAAAUGUGUAAGAAGUACCCAUAAAUUUUUCCCUUAUUCCAGUUUUUCUUUUUAAAUUUCGAGGACGAAAUUUCUUUAAGGAGAGUAGAUUGUGAGAGUCUGUUUCUUAAAUGUUCAUUAAAGAAAAAUAAAUGUUAUUAUAUAUUCUUAAGUAAUUAUCUUGCUAAGAAGGAAAUGUAUAUUUAUAAUUGUUUUACGUUUAUAAUACCAUUUCAAUAGUUAUGUGUAUAUUAUUUCAUUAAAUAUUUAUAUAUACAUAUGUUCUUUUGAAUAAAAAGGGUUAAAUUAUAUAUUUGUUCAUUAUUUCUUGGGAUGCCAUUAGAUGGUUAUUGGGUGCUUUAUAUACAUAUAUAUUAAUAACAUGGAUUAACAGUUUAGACCUGGCAUCCUUACAUUGUUUUCUUGGAGAGAAUGACUGUUUCUCUCUUAUCUUAAUUUGGAUGCUGGAUGUGGUUUUUUCCAUUAAAUUAGUUGAUGCAUUACCAUGCAUUUGGACAGCUCAUGCUUACAAUUUGGUGAAUAAGUCUAUCUUAGCUUGAGGUGGAGUUUAUAAUUUCAAUAGGUGUCACAGCCUUUGGAAAUAAAUCUCCUGGCGUUGACACAUAUAUAGCAACUUAUAAAAAAGAGUGGCGACCAAGUUAUCUUUUUGUAUAGAUAAGAUAAUGGGCUUUGUUAUUAUCCUCUCCACUGUUACCGCCAUCUCACCACCUAUAAAUAGGAGUGUUAAUGAAAGGAACAUAUAUCAUGCAACAUGAGAGAGAGAGAGAGAUAUGAUGAUGAUGAUGAAAUCCUUGGAAGAGAUUAGGACUUAACUUGUAUUUUCUUAACAUAGAGAUAUGUUUUGGAAUCGAGAUAGGAGUUUUUUGGUGACCUUUUACAAAGAUUGAUCUAAUUAAAUUUUGUGAGCACUAUAUUAUGCAUGAUAUUAUUAUUUGAUUAUUAUUGAUAUUGGGUGUUUAAGUGUUGUUAAUUAUCAUCAUAUUAUUUUAUUCAUAUUGACAUGAUCAUAUGUUAUCGGUGAUGGCUGGAAUUCUUGGGUUGAUAAAGAAAGUAAGAAAAAGGGGGUAAUGGGAAGGAUCUUUUGUGUAGUUGAGUCUAACUCUUGGCAGGUACCAGGUCUCAAGGAUCUCGCAGUGCACAUGGUUUUCAUUGGGUGAUUCGGGACUAGCGACAGAGAGUUAGACAAGAUGACUAACGAAAUGGGAAUUAUGAGAAGAUUGAAAUGGGUGUUUGUUCAUAUAAAUGGGCAUUUGGGGCCAAGUGGUAUAAGCAUGGUAUGGGACGUGCAGGUCUGCUUGUGCAGUCAUAUGAAUUAACAGGAGUAGAUGAAGAGCAUUCAUUCAUGCAUUAUUAUUAAUAAUGUGAUAUUUAGCUGUGUGAUUACAUGUCACUUAAUUUAGUUAAAUCAAUCUACUGUGGUGAGGUCUCAUGUCCCUACUGAGUGGUGGUUUCUCAUCCCUCACCCUGUUUAAUUUUUCAGAUGAAUUAGUGGGCAUGACAAGGACUAAAUCAGUUGAGGCUGAACUAGAUGAGAGUGAUAGAGCUUUAUUUUUUUUAAUUGUAAAGUUUUAAGAUUUUGGGAGCUAUUUUUAUAAGAAAAGUUUAUUUUAUGUUUCGGCUUCUUUUUAUUCUAUUUUACCUUUUAUUUUCUCAUGCACUGGGCACGGGGUUUCCACUGACCCACGGGUCCGGGGCGUGACAAGGGUUAAUCGUUUUAUUCGUUCUUGGACUUAGACCUGGUUUGCAUUUGAGUACCUCAAUUUCCAAAAUCGUUCUCAUAUUCCUUUAACUUCACUUUUGUUAGGACAAAUGGUCCAGCCAUUAAUUUUGUUAACUUUUUCUGUUAAAUGCAGGGGCAAAAUGGUAUUUUUAUAUUAAAACCAAAAGAAUAAAUAAAUAAUCACAUCUUUAAAAUAACAAUAAAAUCAAAUCAAAUAAAAAACCAACCAAAAAAAAAUCGAGUUUGGGAAGAGUAGAAAUCGGGAUAGAGGGGGAGAGAGAGAGUUUAAUUUUAAUUUUUUAUUCAUAUUUUAAUCAAUUUAAUACAAAAUGAGGAGAACUACCCCCCCUCUUCUUCUCUUUUUAUUCACUACAUGCCAUGUAAAGAGAAGAACUAAAUGAGGUUAGGUUAUUAAAAUUGGGUGAGCUAGGAUUCUAUUUUUUUUGGCUGGAAAAAAGAAGCCACCUGGGUUGCCAAACUAAAGGUACAUCCGUGGGUAAGCUAGGAUUUUAUUUUUUUUUGGCUUGAAAAAAGAAGCCACCUGGGCUAUAGCCCAGGUUUGCCAAACUAAAGGAAGGUCUGUGGGUGGGCUAGGAUUUUAUUUUUUUGGCUGGAAAAAAGAAGUAGGUUUGCCAAACUAAAGAUCCGUCUCUGUUUCCACUUCAACCCAUUUACAAUCAAACUAUUUUAUGACUAAAACACUUCACAUUAAUGAUAAUUUUAUUAAACUAAAACACAGUUUUAUGAGUCUACUUAUGGAGAAAAACUUAGUUGCAAUGAGAUAACACUAUUUUGCUAUCCUUAUUUCAUAAAAGUCUUUCUCCUACUUAUGACUAUGGUUGCAGCCUGCAAUAUUCUUAAAAUAAUAAAAAAAUAAAAAAAAUAAAAAAAGUAGCUAUUCUGAAGGACAUUACCUCACUUUUGCUGUAUAAAUACUCUGCAUUUGCAAGCACUGCAAUGCACACACAAAAGCUAAGAUGGAUUCCAGAGAAGUAGCAACUAAGCCACACGCUGUUUGCAUUCCAUUCCCUUAUCAAAGCCAUAUAAAGGCAAUGCUUAAAUUUGCAAAGCUCCUCCACCACAGAGGUUUUCAUAUAACCUUUGUUAACACAGAGUUCAAUCACAAGCGCUUUCUUAAAUCUCAAGGACCCAAUUCCCUUGUUGGCUUGCCUGAUUUUCAAUUCGAUGCCUUCCCGGAUAGCCUUCCGGAUUCAGAUGAAGAUGCCACACCAGAUGCCACCUUGCUUUGUGAAUCCAUCAGAAAAAAAAAAUUCUUGGCUCCCUUUCAUGCCCUCCUUGCAAAACUCAACAAUGAUGCCAUAUCAACAUCCCACAAUCCUCCUGUGACUUGCAUAGUUUCAGAUGGUUUCAUGUCCGCGUUCACAAUCACAGCUGCUGAAGAAAUCGGAGUCCCUAUAGCGCUGUUCUACACUAUAGCUGCCUGCAGCUUCAUGGGAUUUAAACAACUUCGCGCUGUGGUCGAAAAAGGACUUUUUCCACUCAAAGGUGAAUAACUACGAAUUAAAAGCAAUUGUUGUUUCUAAACAUGCAAAUGAAAUGUUUCUUCAAUUGAAUUUCAUUUGUCUAUUGCAGAUGAGAGCUGUUUCAAAAAUGGCUAUCUGGACACCGUAAUAGAUUGGAUCCCAGGAAUGAGAGAUAUCCGUUUAAGGGAUCUCCCGACCUUCGCGCGAAACACAAAUCUGGAUGACACCGGAUUUAACUUCAUCAUGGAAGAAACCGAAAGAGCUCAUGAAGCUUCAGCAGUUGUUCUUCAUACUUUUCAUGCCUUGGAGACAGAUGUUUUGGAAGCUCUCUCAUCUAUGCUUCCCCAUGUGUACACCGUUGGCCCUCUUCAAUUGCAUCUCAAUCAGAUACCAGAGCACCCUUUGAAAAUGGGAUACAGUCCAUGGAAAGAAGAAACUGAAUGCCUCGAGUGGCUAAACACCAAGGCACCAAACUCAGUUGUCUAUGUGAAUUUCGGCAGUGUAGCAGUCGUGACACCAGAACAGCUUGUGGAGUUUGGGUGGGGACUUGCAAAUAGCAAGCUUCCAUUCUUUUGGGUAAUUAGACCUGAUCUAGUUGUUGGAGAAUCAGCUAUUUUGCCGCCUGAGUUUGUGGCUGAAACUAAGGAAAGAAGUCUAAUAGCUGGGUGGUGCCCACAAGAGCAAGUCCUCAACCACCCCUCAGUUGGAGGAUUUUUAAUGCACAGCGGUUGGAAUUCAACAGUUGAGAGCCUUACUGCAGGAGUUCCUAUGCUCUGUUGGCCAUUCUUCGGGGACCAGCAAAUGGACUGUCGCUAUACUUGCAAUGAAUGGGGAAUUGGCAUGGAGAUUAGUGAUGAUGCGAAGAGGGAAGAGGUAGAGAAGCUUAUCAAAGAGUUAAUGGAGGGAGAGAAGGGUAAGAAGAUGAAAAAUAAGGUCAUGGAGUGGAAGAAACUUGCAGAAGAAGCUACUGGUCCACAUGGUUCUUCAUCCACAAACUUAGACAAUUUAGUGAAUCAAGUGCUAUUGAGAAAAAGUUAAGAUGUUUCCAUAAGAAUAUUGAUGUUAUUAAUUAUCAUUUCCAUUGCCAUUGUCUCAAAUAAUCAACUAUCUGGCAAUAUAUAUGUACUACUGGUCUGUAACCAUGAUGCGUACUAUAUCUAGAAUUUUAUUCUAAUUAAGGUUUUACUACGCUUCAGGCCUUCAACUCUAAAGUCUUUAUCAUUUUUCAGGCAAUUGUGCACUAACCAUGAUGCAUUAUAUUAAUAAUAUUUUAAAUCAAUAGAUUAAAAAUAUAAAGCUAUACCUUUUUCCACAAAUACCCCCGAGCUUAACGGGUUAACGGGUAUUCGUGAAUUGACACGACACGACACGAUAGCUUAACGGGUGACUAACGGAUCAAUACGAUAUCAACAUGACACCAUAACCCAUGCCUGAAUACUGAAUUUUUCGUGCGAAUUCAUGUCGUAUUAAUGGAUCGUGCACAAUAUUGUCUCCUCUAAACUUAGAUACUUUAGUCGAUUUAAGAAAAAACUAGAUGUUAUCCAUAACCAUAUCUCUAUUAUCACUGUUGAUAUCUCUAUUAUUACUCCAUAUAGCGUCCUUAUUCGUGUAUGAUGUCAUACGGAGCCUAAUAACAUGUUUUCUUGUUUUGUUCUAAAAAAGUUUUUUGAAAGAAGUAGAGACCAGUAAAUGAAAUUAAAAAAAAUUAAACCUCCAAUAAAUAUGGCCAUGGAAACAUGGUCUAACGCUAAAUAUAAAAUAAAAUAAGGGCAACUAAACUUGCCAUGGCCACAGACAUAGUGGCUUAAUAGUAAGUAAAUAAAAUUAACUUUGGAUAAACUGUGGUGAGGGAGUUGGAAUAGUACACAUUGAAAAGUAUCUCAGUUUUGCUUUAUAAAUAAUCUGCAUUUGCAAGCACUGCAAUGCACACACAAAAUCUCAGAUGGAUUCCACAGAAGUAGCUACUAAGCCACAUGCUGUUUGCAUUCCAUUCCCUGCUCAAAGCCAUAUAAAGGCAAUGCUUAAAUUUGCAAAGCUCCUCCACCAUAGAGGUUUUCAUAUAACCUUUGUUAACACACAGUUCAAUCACAAGCGCUUUCUUAAAACUCUAGGAUCCAAUUCCCUCGAUGGCUUGCCUGAUUUUCAAUUUGAAGCCAUCCCGGAUAGCCUUCCAGAUUCAAAUGAAGACACCACACAAGAUGUCGUUAAAAAAAUAAAGUUAGACCAUUUUCAACAAAGAAAUUAUGUGGAAGUUUCUUUAAAACCUUGUAUAAUUAUGUUGGAGAUAUUGACCUGAUGAUAAAGCAUAAUCUCUCAUUAAUACUUGAAUGCUUAAUCUGAAAGAAAGAAAAGAAAAGAAACAAGAAAACACAGACAAGGUUAAAGAAAAGACAAAAUCCAAAAGCUUACUUUGUUUCCUCGUCUUUCCAAAUCCAAAUCCAAAUCCAAACGCCACUCAAAUCAGUUAGGAAGUUUCUGAUUGUUUAUUUCAUUUCAUACUAGAUACAAAGAUAACAACAGCUUGAGUAAAAAAGAACAAAAUUGAUAUUUUAAAUUAGAUGCUCCAUUUCAAACCAUAGACACUCCUCUAACGUGAGCUUGAUGAUUAGGGACAAAACCACAUGAAUGUUAUUUCACCAUAAUGUUCGUUUUAGUCAUUGUACACAACUCACAACACUUUCACACAAAAAAUUAUUAUUGUACCAACAUCACUUUUAAUAAAAAGUUGUCAAAAGACAAACUGCUUUCUUUCACAACUGAUUUCUCUCACAGCAAAUCUGACUGUAAUUAUUUUCACAUCACAACAAUGCCAAACUAGCUUCGUUUUAGAUCCUUAUUUCAAUUCCUACUUGGUUUAGGAUUCCUAUUUUAAUCUUAUUUCCUACCCACUAUAAAUAAGGCUUUUAGGAAGUCACAUUAUUAUUUGUGGCUAGAGAGUGUCUAUGAGUGUGGUUACGAACCAAAUUACAAGUGAGUGUGAGGAAUUGGUAACAAUUCACUAUAGAAAUACAAGAGAAAAAAUAAUUUCAAACACUCCGAAGUUUUCUUUCUACUAACUAGCCAGGUGAUGUUGAGGGAUUAAGCCUUCUUCAAUUAUACACCAAGCGAAGAAGAACCAUUGCUAAAUGGAACAAGGAAAUUACAUAAUAUUACAAAUGAACUAAGCUCUAGUGAUCUCCAUGUGCCCAAAAAUCAAACCCGAUCCAAUGCAUCUUCGUGGUUUAAUGAAUAUGGCGCUUUGCUUGAAAAAGGACUUGCACACUCAAAUAUCUUUUAUAUGCAAAGAGCUUUCAUUGAGGGAUUACUUAAAUAAGUUAUUUGGGGGAAUAAGGCCAUGGAGUGGAAAACAAUUUGAAUCUUUAUUCUGAUUGCUUGAUAUAACGUUUAAUUGGUUUAAUUGUGAAAAAUACUGUAUACCCACUAAAAUAUCAUUUACUUGUUUGUUUGUUCUGGGCAUUAAAUUCUGUUGGGUAUCUUUGUUUUUAACGUAGGCUUUCCCUUCAAUUUAUUUGAUUCCUACAAGGAAAACUUUUGCAGAAGAAGCUACUGGUCCACAUGGUUCUUCAUCCACAAACUUAGACAAUUUAGUGAAGCAAGUGCUAUUGAGAAAAAGUUAAGAUGUUUCCAUAAGAAUAUUGAUGUUAUUAAUUAUCAUUUCCAUUGCCAUUGUCUCAAAUAAUCAACUAUCUGGCAAUAUAUAUGUACUACUGGUCUGUAACCAUGAUGCAUACCAUAUCUAGAAUUUUAUUCUGAUUAAGGUUUCACUACGCUUCAGGCCUUCAACUCUAAAAUCUUAUUGGAGAAUCGGUUAAUAUUUAAUUAUUUUUUUAUACGUAUUUCCUUUUUACUGUGUUCUAUACAUAUUUAAUUUGAUUACUACUCUCAAGGAAGAUUAUCCUUAAGUCUUAUAUUCAACAAAUUACUAUUCAUGUGUCAGUUGGUUUACAUUUAUUAUAUUAAAUCAAUACUCACCAAUUCUUUAAAGUGUGAGAUAAUUAGUCACAAAUAAUGGUGACUAGUAACCAAAGUCAUUGACCACCAUUCAAAUGUCACCAAAACUGUUUUGUUGCUAUAAAAAUGUGACUAAUGCUUUCUAUUUUGUCGCCGGAUCAAGGCCGUGAAGUUCUGGGUUAAACCGUGAGUUUUUGACGCCGAUUCCGACCACUUGCCGUCCGAAUUGGACUUGGGUGUAGUUGAAUAAAAUAUUCCACUCGUCGAGUAGAACCUGUAGCCGGGAGGGUGGCUUGUAGUUUGGAGAUUUUCCGGUGAAGCUUUAUCGCUUUGGACACCUGCGCAUGUGACGGCGCGUGGGCACUGUAGCAUAGGGGCAUUAUUAUCCCAAUGUGAUCUCCUGGUUGUCAUGAGUACGUAGGAAUUUGCGGAUCUCAAUUCGGAUGUCGUUCGACUAUCGAACGGAUUUUCGCAUAGUGUGCGUUAUCCGGGUUCGAUAGGUUCUGACCGUUGGAUCAUUUCCCAAUUAAAUUAUGUUGUUCUAGGUAUUCCUAGGAUCGUGUAGGACUUCACAGAUCAUGAAUCGGAGCUCGGAUGUUCCAAUUCAAUAACUUAAAGUUUGCGUUUUAUAUUAACCGUCCGAUCGUGCGAUCGUAAACGAUCUAACCGUCCGUUUCGGACCAAACUUGCGAGACGGGUAUCUUAGACCUUGUGGAACCUUUAGGAACUUACGGAUUGUAAAACGGAGGUCGUGGGUCCCAUGGACCCGGUUGACCUGAAUUUGGAAGUUUGACCGCCGGUUGACUGAGUGUCUCCCGAAGUUGUUCCAUCGUCCAAAUUGAGUAGUUGGACCUUAGAAUGUCUCAUUCCUAGUACACUUACUAGAAACCUAGGAAAUUAGGAUAUUUAAUUCAAAGUACUCGUUUGAAACGCUUCGUAUUAAUCUUGUGUACGUAUUCUGAAUUAGGUACUCCGACCACGCAUACGCAGCAGGCGGGACCCUCUCAGGGUCAAGUAGCGUGGGAUUACUUGUGAGUGGACUUUGUUUUCAAAUCUUAUGCAUGGUUUUAUUGAUGAAAGAUUUAUGCAUAAUGUUUUUAAUGAUUUAUUGAAUAUAUUAUAUUCAUGGGUUGAAUUUGAUGUCUGUAUAGCGCUUUGUCAAUAUAUUGUGGGUUUGGCAUUGUUGGGUAUUGAAAGUAUAUUUUAUAUGGAUUUUGAGAAAUAUUAUGCAUGAUGUUUUAAACGGUAUUUUGGAUAUAUUAUUUAUGAAAUUGUUGAAAGUGAUAUUUUUAUGAGGCAUUGAAAAUAUAUUUUGGGUUUUGACAUAUUUGAGUAUCUUGAGUAUGAAUAUAUGGAUUUUGAGGAUUUCUAUAUAUAUUUGGCUAUGUGUGAGGUACUGGGGUUGUUGAGAUGAGAUUGUGGAAAGUGGUGAGUAUAGAAUGUCAGUUUGGUGUGCUAUAAGCACUACCCUAUGUACCUCCCCUGAUUUGGAACUUGGAUACGGAGACUUGAGAUACUUGGAAUUGUCGGAACCCGGGGCAUCCUUGACGGGAUGUUGCUGUAGGCCCUUGAUUGGGUAGUCUGCGCGCGUAGGACUGAUCACAGACGUACGAAUUUUGAGGUUAUCGACGGUACGUACUGGCUGAGAGUUGGUCCCCCAGUUGGAUGGCUCGUUCCCUAAUCACAUGGUGGAUUGAGGACUCUUCAUGAGGACUCUGCCAGGGUGACUAGUCAAACAAUCCCCCGGUUGGAUUGUUUCCCGGUACAACUAGGUGAUGGUCAUAUUUAUAAUAUAUAUAUAUAUAUAUCUCUUAUAUUAUAUAUUUAUAUAUAUCUAUUCAUUCAUUCUUGUUUCUCGGUGUGGAUACUUCCUUGCCGGUCGUACCAAUGGGUACGCUUUCGAGAGUUUAGUUGUGAGAUUUAUAAGUUUUGGAUGGUGGGUUUUAUAAAGUGUUCUUUAUGGAUUUCGGACUUCGUAUCUGGUAUUGAUUUGUUUUGAUAUAUAUAUAUAUUAUAUAUAUAUAUAUACUUGAGUAUGUGGUUUUGCGAUGCAUGGGAUUUCUUGCAUGGUUUUCUAAACAGUGGGGUUAUAUUAUGUUGGUUUACACUGAACUGAAUUUAUUUUUUUCUAUUCACAAUUUUCUAUUUUGCGCCCCCCAGCCAGUAGUUGACUGAGCUCCGCAGCAGAGCCGGAUCAUGAGCUUCCGAGCCUUGAGUCUUCGUAGGACUCUUUCUUCAUGUUUUUCCCUUUGAACUCUGUUUUGUUGAAAUUGAAGUUCUUAGUCAUGCUCUGUUAUCGCCCCUGUUAGGGUUUGAUUUGUGAGGCUGGAGGCCAUUUUGUUGUAAAUUGUUUAUUCGCUUUAAAGCAUGCUGCUGGUUGGGAUUAUUCUAUGUUUAUGCAGGUUGAAUUUUUAUUGGGUUUGUUCAAUUUACAGGGGAGACUCUGCCAAAAUUUUGGUAGAGAGUCUGGGUUUUUAGUAAGUGGGCCCGACAUCGGGAUGAUGUCGGAACAAAGACGGGAUUCGCCCUGGUUUCCGGGAAUUCCGAGGCGGGUCCUGUCAGUGUAUUCAUAGCUGAAUUUCUAUCUUGUAUAAAAGAAAACUACUGCAAUUAUUAUUAUCCAAGUGAAUGAAAUCAGAGGAAAAUUCCAGAUUUACUUUUCUUUCUAAUUUUCUGAGCUAACGUUCUCAACAUCCAAACACACACAGUUCCAGAUUUCUCGUCAGAAAUUUCUUCAAAAUCUUAUCAAUUAACAUUUUCCAAAAAGUUUACUAAUUAUACAUAUAACCGAUUUUCUUCUGUUUCUUUUUCCUUUAUAGCGAACGAAGGCAAUUUGUACUAGGGCCCCUUCUAGCACUGAGAACAAAAACAAACUCAUACCAAAUUGUUAAUUAGUUCAUUACAAAUCUUGUUCAAAGAUACGGGUCAUUAAUUUUAGGAAUUCUUAUGAUUUUUACGAUAAUACAAACAAGGGUUGUGAGAGUCCGUUUCUUAAAUGUUGGCUAUAGAAAAAUAAAUGAUAUUAUAUAUUCUUGGUAAGAAGGAAACGUAUAUUUAUAAUUGUUUUACGUAUAUAAUACAACUUCAAUAUUUAUAUGUAUAUUAUUUCAUUAAAUAUUUAUAUGUAUAUUAUAUUUAUAUAUACAUAUGUUCUUUUGAAUAAAAAGGGUUAAAUUAUAUAUUUGUUCAUUGUUUCUUGAGAUGCCAUUAGAUGGUUAUUGGAUGCUUUAUAUACAUAUAUAUUAAUAACAUGGAUUAAGAGUUUAGACGUGGCAUCCUUACAUUGUUUUCUUGGAGAGAAAGACUAUUUCUCUCUUAUCUUAAUUAGGAUGCCGGAUGUGGCUUUUUCCAUUAAAUUAGUUGAUGCAUUACCAUGCAUUUGCACAGCUCAUGCUUACAAUUUGGUGAGUAAGCUUUAUCUUAGCUUCAAUAGGUGUCACAGCCUUUGGAAAUAAAUCUCCUAGCGUUGACACAUAGCAACUUAUAAAAUAGAGUGGCAACCAAGUUAUCUUUUCGUAUAAAUAAGAUAAUGUCCUUUGUUAUUAUCCUCUCCAUUGUUACGCCAUCUCACCACCAAUAAAUAGAAGUUUUAAUGGAAGGAAGAGAUAUCAGGCAAAGGGUAAAGAGAGAGGGAGAGAGAGAUGAUGAUGAUGAAAUUCUUAGAAGAGAUAUAGGUAUGAUGAUGAAAUUCUUAGAAGAGAUAUAGGACUUAGCUUGUAUUUUCUUAACUUGGAGAAAUGCUUUGGAGUCGAGGUAGGAGUUUCUUGGUGACCUUUUAUAAAGAUUGAUUUUCUUGGUGACCUUUUAUAAAGAUUGAUCUAAUUAAAUUUCGUGAGCACUAUAUCAUGCAUGAUAUUAUUAUUUGAUUAUUAUUGAUAUUGGGUGUUUAAGUGUUGUUAAUUAUCAUAUUAUUUUAUUAAUAUUGACAUGAUCAUAUGUUAUCGGUAAUGGCUGGAAUUCUUGGGUUGAUAAAGAAAGUAUGGAAAAUGGGGUAAUAGGAAGGAUCUUUUGUGUAGUUGAGUCUAACUCUUGGCAGGUACCAGGUCUCAGGGAUCCCGCAGCGCACAUGGUUUUUAUUGGGUGAUUCAGGACUGGCGACAGGGAGUUAGACAAGAUGACUAACGAAAGGGGAAUUAUGGGAUGAUUGAAAUGGGUGUUAGUUCAUACAAAUGGGCAUUCGGGACCAAGUGGUAUAAGCAUGGUAUGGGACGUGCAAAUCUGCUUGUCCAGUUAUAUGAAUUAACAAGAGUAGAUGAAGAGCAUUCAUUCAUGCAUUAUUAUUAAUAAUGUGAUAUUUGGCUGUGUGAUUGCAUGUCACUUAAUUUAGUUAUAUCAAUCUACUGCGGUAAGGUCUCAUGUCCCUACUGAGCGGUGGUUGUUCAUUCCUCACUCUGUUUAAUUUUUCAGAUGAAUUAGUAGGCAAGACAAAGACUAAACCAGUUGAGGCUGAAUUAGAUGAGAGUGAUAGAGCUUUAUUUUUUUAAUUUUAAAGUUGUAAGAUUUUGGGAGCUAUUUUUAUAAGAAAAGUUUAUUUUAUGUUUCAACUUCCUGUUAUUCUAUUUUACUUUUUAUUUUCUCAUGCAUUGGGCACGGGGUUUCCACUGACCCCCAGAUCCGAGGCGUGACAGAAUGGUAUAAGAGCUUCAGGGAUUAAAUACCCUUGGGAACUGUGGUAUAGUAUUACCACAAAGUAAAUUUGAAUUGGUGAAGUAAGUUAGUGACCUAACUUUUCAGGAGCAUGUUUCUUUUAUGAUUAAGUGUAGUUUACGUAAUAAUUGUUUAGUAUUGUUUUAUAUAUGUUGGUUUAAUUUGGUAGAAAUAUUUGGUAAAGGUUCAAUUGUUAAGAUAGCUAGAGUAGAUGGGCAACGUGACAAUGAUAAGAAUGGUAGCAUGAGGGUAAUACUAACCAUUCAGGAUAUGGCCUUUGCAAUACGUGAAACGAAUCAACAAAACCAAGAACCCCAUCAAGAAAUUCAAGGUGGUCAAACAAUGAGUGUUAAAGGAGAAAGAUGAAUGAACAAAGAGUUCUAGGAAAUCUGAAAGUGGCUAUUGCUUCUACCUAUUUGGGAGGAGCAAGGAGACCAGAAUAACUCACUCAAGGAUAUGUGUAUUCUAUUGGACAAGUGACAAAGCAAAAUGAACCUACUAUGGUAGAAGGUACAUUUCUAGUUUACAACUCAUAGGCUAAGAUAUUGUUUGACCCCGGUGCUACAAAUUCAUUCAUCUCUAUUUCGUUUGCGUUUAUUCUUGGAUUAGAAUAUGAAUUUAUGAAAUCUUCAUUAAUGGUUGGUUCUCCAUUGGGUAAAUGUGUCGAAGUUAAUAAGGUGUGUAGAUCUUGCAUAAUAGAGAUAUCAUAUCAUAAACUUGUUGUUGACCUAAUGAUAUUGGAAUUAAUGGAGUAUGAUGUAAUAUAAGGGAUGGACUUGACCCAAUUUAAAGCUAUUUUUGAUUGUGGUAGAAAGAUGGUGACUAUGACUCUUAGCGAGGGAAAACAUGUAGUUUCUAUGGAAGUAGGAAUACUCACAUCAAUCUUGGAUAAUGGAAAUUGUAAUUAUUUGAGAUUGAUUGCUCACAUGGUCACUGAGGAUCUAAGUAAUACCAAGCUUGAGCUUAUCCCAAUAGUGAAAGAUUUCGGUGAUGUUUUCCCAGAAGAAUUAUAUGGAAUCCCCCUAGAAAUGGAGUUUUUCUAUAGAUAUUUAUCCUGGUAUGUCGCCUAUAUCUAUACCUCCACAUUGAAUGGCACCAGCAGAGUUGAAGGAACUCAAAACACAACUUCAAGAACUUGAAAGUAAAGGUUUUAUUCGUCCUAGUACCUUACCAUGGGGGUUUUUUCUCCAUUCUUUGCGAAGAAAAGUGAUGGAAGUCUUAGGAUGUGUUUUGUUGCAAGCUAACAAAGUAGUUGCAUACGACUUUUGUCAAUUGAAAUGACAUGAAAAGAAUUAUCUAACACAUGAUCUAGAAUUGGCAACCAUUGUUCACACACUGAAGAUAUGGAGAUAUUAUUUGUAUGGGGAACGUUUUGAACUCUUUUUAGAUCAUAAGAGUUUGAAGUAUUUAUUGACUUAGAAGGAGUUGAAUUUAAGACAAAAGCAAUGGAUGGAAUACCUAGAAGAUUAUGAUUUUGACUUACAUUAUCAUCCAGGAAAGGCUAAUGUGGUAACAAAUGCUUAAGUCAAAAUCCUCAAGGAAUUGUAGCAAGUUUGUAUGAUCAAAGGUGGAAGAUGGUGGAGUCUCUUUACGAUUUUGACCUAUAUAUAGGUGCGCAUGAGGAUUGUGCAUAUCUAUGUAAUUUGGUAACUCACCCCACUUUGAUUGAAAGAAUAAUUGAGGCACAGGAUUUGGAUUCUAUGUCUGAAGACAUUCGAACUAAGAUUACAACUAGAAAGACACAGGAAGGAUGGAGUAUCCUCACAAGCAGUGGAUUAAGAUAUUUGAAUAAGUUAUAUGUACCAAAUAUUUCUGAUAUAAGAAAUGAAGUUCUCAGAGAAAGUCAUCAUUCACCUAUACAAUUCAUCCUAGAGGGACAAAGAUGUAUCGUGAUUUUAGACGUAAUUUUUGGUGGAGUAAUAUGAAGGGAGGUGUGGAAAUAUUUGUAGCAAAAUGUCUAACAUGUUAGCUGGUGAAAACUGAAUAUCAGAAAUCGUCAAGUCCAUUACAGCCAUUACCAGUAGUAGAAUGGAAAUGAGAUCAUAUAACAAUGAAUUUUGUUACAGGUUUACCUAAAUAUCCAAAAGGACGUGAUGCAAUAUGGAUUAUGGUGGAUCGUUUGACCAAAUUUGCACAUUUCAUACCAGUCAAAUCAAUGGAUUCCACUAAAAAUCUUGGAAAGCUUUACGUUAGAGAUAUAGUAAGAUUACAUGGAAUUCCUAUUUUGAUUGUAUCGGAUAGAGAUUCCAAGUUUACUUCUAAAAUUUGGGGAAGCUUACAGAAAGUGUUAGGUACGCAACUAAAUUUGGCACUGCCUUUUAUCCCCAAACUUAUGGACAAUUGGAGAGAACUAUUCAAAUUUUAGAGGACUUGUUGAGAGCAUGUAUUCUAGAUUUGGAGGGAAGUUGGGAAGAUCAUUUAGUGGUAGUAGAGUUUGCCUACAACAACUAUCAGUCUAGCAUUCAGAUACCACCUUAUGAAGCUCUAUAUUGAAGACCUUGUCAAUCACCUGUGUGUUGGACUGAAGUAGGAGAAACUGUAUUGCUAGGACCUGAUUUGGUACAAGAGACAACUGAAGGCAUUAAAGUUAUCAAGCAACGUCUUUUAACUGCUCAAAGUUGACAAAAGAACUAUGUAGACCGAAGAAGGAAAACAUUAAGUAUUGACGUGGGUGAUAAUGUAUUUCUUAAACUCUCACUACUAAGUGGAGUAAAAAAAGGUUUGGGAAGACUGGAAAAUUAUCACCAAAGUUUGUUGGACCAUUUGAAAUCUUAGAAAGGAUGGGUGAAGUAGCUUAUAAGUCAGCAUUACCACCUCAAUUGUCGAAUGUACAUGAUGUUUUCCUUGUUUCUAUGCUUCGAAAGUAUGAGCCUGAUUCAACCCAUUUUCUAGAUUGAGGAGAGCUCAAUUUAGAUGAGGAACUGUCAUUUGAAGAAAGACCAACUCAGAUUUUGGAUUCUAAGGAACAAGUGUGACGUACGAAAAUAAUACCAUUGGUCAAAAUUCUUUGGGUACAUGGGAAUACAUUGGAAGUUACAUGGGAAUUAGAAACUGAAAUGUAUAAGAAGUACCCAUAAAUUUUUCCCUUAUUCCAGUAAGUUUUUCUUUUUAAAUUUUGAGGACAAAAUUUCUUUAAGGAGAGUAGAUUGUGAGAGUCUGUUUCUUAAAUGUUCAUUAAAGAAAAAUAAAUGUUAUUAUAUAUUCUUAAGUAAUUAUCCUGCUAAGAAGGAAAUGUAUAUUUAUAAUUGUUUUACGUUUAUAAUACCAUUUCAAUAGUUAUGUGUAUAUUAUUUCAUUAAAUAUUUAUAUAUACAUAUGUUCUUUUGAAUAAAAAGGGUUAAAUUAUAUAUUUGUUCAUUAUUUCUUGGGAUGCCAUUAGAUGGUUAUUGGGUGCUUUAUAUACAUAUAUAUAUUAAUAACAUGGAUUAACAGUUUAGACCUGGCAUCCUUACAUUGUUUUCUUGGAGAGAAAGACUGUUUCUCUCUUAUCUUAAUUUGGAUGCUGGAUGUGGUUUUUUCCAUUAAAUUAGUUGAUGCAUUACCAUGCAUUUGGACAGCUCAUGCUUACAAUUUGGUGAAUAAGUCUAUCUUAGCUUGAGGUGGAGUUUAUAAUUUCAAUAGGUGUCACAGCCUUUGGAAAUAAAUCUCCUGGCGUUGACACAUACAUAGCAACUUAUAAAAAAGAGUGGCGACCAAGUUAUCUUUUUGUAUAGAUAAGAUAAUGGGCUUUGUUAUUAUCCUCUCCACUGUUACCGCCAUCUCACCACCUAUAAAUAGGAGUGUUAAUGAAAGGAACAUAUAUCAUGCAACAUGAGAGAGAGAGAUAUGAUGAUGAUGAUGAAAUUCUUCGAAGAGAUUUAGACUUAACUUGUAUUUUCUUAACUUGGAGAUAUGCUUUGGAAUCGAGGUAGGAGUUUUUUGGUGACCUUUUACAAAGAUUGAUCUAAUUAAAUUUUGUGAGCACUAUAUUAUGCAUGAUAUUAUUAUUUGAUUAUUAUUGAUAUUGAGUGUUUAAGUGUUAUUAAUUAUCAUCAUAUUAUUUUAUUCAUAUUGACAUGAUCAUAUGUUAUCGGUGAUGGCUGGAAUUCUUGGGUUGAUAAAGAAAGUAAGAAAAAGGGGGUAAUGGGAAGGAUCUUUUGUGUAGUUGAGUCUAACUCUUGGCAGGUACCAGGUCUCAAGGAUCCCGCAGUGCACAUGGUUUUCAUUGGGUGAUUCGGGACUAGUGACAGGGAGUUAGACAAGAUGACUAACGAAAGGGGAAUUAUGAGAAGAUUGAAAUGGGUGUUAGUUCAUAUAAAUGGGCAUUUGGGGCCAAGUGGUAUAAGCAUGGUAUGGGACGUGCAGGUCUGCUUGUGCAGUUAUAUGAAUUAACAGGAGUAGAUGAAGAGUAUUCAUUCAUGCAUUAUUAUUAAUAAUGUGAUAUUUAGCUGUAUGAUUACAUGUCACUUAAUUUAGUUAUAUCAAUCUACUGUGGUGAGGUCUCAUGUCCCUACUGAGUGGUGGUUUCUCAUCCCUCACCCUGUUUAAUUUUUCAGAUGAAUUAGUGGGCAUGACAAGGACUAAACCAGUUGAGGCUGAACUAGAUGAGAGUGAUAGAGCUUUAUUUUUUUUAAUUCUAAAGUUUUAAGAUUUUGGGAGCUAUUUUUAUAAGAAAAGUUUAUUUUAUGUUUCGGCUUCUUUUUAUUCUAUUUUACCUUUUAUUUUCUCAUGCACUGGGCACGGGGUUUCCACUAAGCCCCGGGUCUGGGGCGUGACAAGGGUUAAUCGUUUUAUUCGUACUUGAACUUAGACCCGGUUUGCAUUUGAGUACCUCAAUUUCCAAAAUCGUUAUCAUAUUCCUUUAACUUCACUUUUGUUAGGACAAAUGGUCCUGCCAUUAAUUUUGUUAACUUUUUCUGUUAAAUGCAGGGGCAAAAUGGUAUUUUUAUAUUAAAACCAAAAGAAUAAAUAAAUAAUCACAUCUUUAAAAUAACAAUAAAAUCAAAUCAAAUAAAAAACCAACCAAAAAAAAAUCGAGUUUGGGAAGAGUAGAAAUCGGGAUAGAGGGGGAGAGAGAGAGUUUAAUUUUAAUUUUUUAUUCAUAUUUUAAUCAAUUUAAUACAAAAUGAGGAGAACUACCCCCCCUCUUCUUCUCUUUUUAUUCACUACAUGCCAUGUAAAGAGAAGAACUAAAUGAGGUUAGGUUAUUAAAAUUGGGUGAGCUAGGAUUCUAUUUUUUUUGGCUGGAAAAAAGAAGCCACCUGGGUUGCCAAACUAAAGGUACAUCCGUGGGUAAGCUAGGAUUUUAUUUUUUUUUGGCUUGAAAAAAGAAGCCACCUGGGCUAUAGCCCAGGUUUGCCAAACUAAAGGAAGGUCUGUGGGUGGGCUAGGAUUUUAUUUUUUUGGCUGGAAAAAAGAAGUAGGUUUGCCAAACUAAAGAUCCGUCUCUGUUUCCACUUCAACCCAUUUACAAUCAAACUAUUUUAUGACUAAAACACUUCACAUUAAUGAUAAUUUUAUUAAACUAAAACACAGUUUUAUGAGUCUACUUAUGGAGAAAAACUUAGUUGCAAUGAGAUAACACUAUUUUGCUAUCCUUAUUUCAUAAAAGUCUUUCUCCUACUUAUGACUAUGGUUGCAGCCUGCAAUAUUCUUAAAAUAAUAAAAAAAUAAAAAAAAUAAAAAAAGUAGCUAUUCUGAAGGACAUUACCUCACUUUUGCUGUAUAAAUACUCUGCAUUUGCAAGCACUGCAAUGCACACACAAAAGCUAAGAUGGAUUCCAGAGAAGUAGCAACUAAGCCACACGCUGUUUGCAUUCCAUUCCCUUAUCAAAGCCAUAUAAAGGCAAUGCUUAAAUUUGCAAAGCUCCUCCACCACAGAGGUUUUCAUAUAACCUUUGUUAACACAGAGUUCAAUCACAAGCGCUUUCUUAAAUCUCAAGGACCCAAUUCCCUUGUUGGCUUGCCUGAUUUUCAAUUCGAUGCCUUCCCGGAUAGCCUUCCGGAUUCAGAUGAAGAUGCCACACCAGAUGCCACCUUGCUUUGUGAAUCCAUCAGAAAAAAAAAAUUCUUGGCUCCCUUUCAUGCCCUCCUUGCAAAACUCAACAAUGAUGCCAUAUCAACAUCCCACAAUCCUCCUGUGACUUGCAUAGUUUCAGAUGGUUUCAUGUCCGCGUUCACAAUCACAGCUGCUGAAGAAAUCGGAGUCCCUAUAGCGUUGUUCUACACUAUAGCUGCCUGCAGCUUCAUGGGAUUUAAACAACUUCGCGCUGUGGUCGAAAAAGGACUUUUUCCACUCAAAGGUGAAUAACUACGAAUUAAAAGCAAUUGUUGUUUCUAAACAUGCAAAUGAAAUGUUUCUUCAAUUGAAUUUCAUUUGUCUAUUGCAGAUGAGAGCUGUUUCAAAAAUGGCUAUCUGGACACCGUAAUAGAUUGGAUCCCAGGAAUGAGAGAUAUCCGUUUAAGGGAUCUCCCGACCUUCGCGCGAAACACAAAUCUGGAUGACACCGGAUUUAACUUCAUCAUGGAAGAAACCGAAAGAGCUCAUGAAGCUUCAGCAGUUGUUCUUCAUACUUUUCAUGCCUUGGAGACAGAUGUUUUGGAAGCUCUCUCAUCUAUGCUUCCCCAUGUGUACACCGUUGGCCCUCUUCAAUUGCAUCUCAAUCAGAUACCAGAGCACCCUUUGAAAAUGGGAUACAGUCCAUGGAAAGAAGAAACUGAAUGCCUCGAGUGGCUAAACACCAAGGCACCAAACUCAGUUGUCUAUGUGAAUUUCGGCAGUGUAGCAGUCGUGACACCAGAACAGCUUGUGGAGUUUGGGUGGGGACUUGCAAAUAGCAAGCUUCCAUUCUUUUGGGUAAUUAGACCUGAUCUAGUUGUUGGAGAAUCAGCUAUUUUGCCGCCUGAGUUUGUGGCUGAAACUAAGGAAAGAAGUCUAAUAGCUGGGUGGUGCCCACAAGAGCAAGUCCUCAACCACCCCUCAGUUGGAGGAUUUUUAAUGCACAGCGGUUGGAAUUCAACAGUUGAGAGCCUUACUGCAGGAGUUCCUAUGCUCUGUUGGCCAUUCUUCGGGGACCAGCAAAUGGACUGUCGCUAUACUUGCAAUGAAUGGGGAAUUGGCAUGGAGAUUAGUGAUGAUGCGAAGAGGGAAGAGGUAGAGAAGCUUAUCAAAGAGUUAAUGGAGGGAGAGAAGGGUAAGAAGAUGAAAAAUAAGGUCAUGGAGUGGAAGAAACUUGCAGAAGAAGCUACUGGUCCACAUGGUUCUUCAUCCACAAACUUAGACAAUUUAGUGAAUCAAGUGCUAUUGAGAAAAAGUUAAGAUGUUUCCAUAAGAAUAUUGAUGUUAUUAAUUAUCAUUUCCAUUGCCAUUGUCUCAAAUAAUCAACUAUCUGGCAAUAUAUAUGUACUACUGGUCUGUAACCAUGAUGCGUACUAUAUCUAGAAUUUUAUUCUAAUUAAGGUUUUACUACGCUUCAGGCCUUCAACUCUAAAGUCUUUAUCAUUUUUCAGGCAAUUGUGCACUAACCAUGAUGCAUUAUAUUAAUAAUAUUUUAAAUCAAUAGAUUAAAAAUAUAAAGCUAUACCUUUUUCCACAAAUACCCCCGAGCUUAACGGGUUAACGGGUAUUCGUGAAUUGACACGACACGACACGAUAGCUUAACGGGUGACUAACGGAUCAAUACGAUAUCAACAUGACACCAUAACUCAUGCCUGAAUACUGAAUUUUUCGUGCGAAUUCAUGUCGUAUUAAUGGAUCGUGCACAAUAUUGUCUCCUCUAAACUUAGAUACUUUAGUCGAUUUAAGAAAAAACUAGAUGUUAUCCAUAACCAUAUCUCUAUUAUCACUGUUGAUAUCUCUAUUAUUACUCUAUAUAGCGCCCUUAUUCAUAUAUGAUGUCAUACGGAGCCUAAUAACAUGUUUUCUUAUUUUGUUCUAAAAAAGUUUUUUGAAAGAAGUAGAGACCAGUAAAUGAAAUUAAAAAAAAUUAAACCUCCAAAGCCAUAUAAAGGCAAUGCUUAAAUUUGCUGUUUGCAUUCCAUUCCCUGCUCAAAGCCAUAUAAAGGCAAUGCUUAAAUUUGCAAAGCUCCUCCACCAUAGAGGUUUUCAUAUAACCUUUGUUAACACACAGUUCAAUCACAAGCGCUUUCUUAAAACUCUAGGAUCCAAUUCCCUCGAUGGCUUGCCUGAUUUUCAAUUUGAAGCCAUCCCGGAUAGCCUUCCAGAUUCAAAUGAAGACACCACACAAGAUGUCAUUAAAAAAAUAAAGUUAGACCAUUUUCAACAAAGAAAUUAUGUGGAAGUUUCUUUAAAACCUUGUAUAAUUAUGUUGGAGAUAUUGACCUGAUGAUAAAGCAUAAUCUCUCAUUAAUACUUGAAUGCUUAAUGUGAAAGAAAGAAACGAAAAGAAACAAGAAAACACAGACAAGGUUAAAGAAAAGACAAAAUCCAAAAGCUUACUUUGUUUCCUCGUCUUUCCAAAUCCAAAUCCAAAUCCAAACGCCACUCAAAUCAGUUAGGAAGUUUCUGAUUGUUUAUUUCAUUUCAUACUACAUACAAAGAUAACAACAGCUUGAGUAAAAAAGAACAAAAUUGAUACUUUAAAUUAGAUGCUUCAUUUCAAACCAUAGACACUCCUCUAACGUGAGCUUGAUUAGGGACAAAACCAUUUGAAUUAAAGAGUUAUUUCACUAUAAUGUUAUUUUUAGUCAUUGUACACAACUCACAACACUUUCACACAAAAAUUUACCAAACACUCAAAAACUUAUUAGUGUACCAACAUCACUUUUGAUAAAAAGUUGUCAAAAGCCAAACUGCUUUCUUUCACAACUGAUUUCUCUCACAGCAAAUCUGACUAUAAUUAUUUUUACAUCACAACAAUGCCAAACUAGCUUUGUUUUAGAUCCUUAUUUCAAUUCCUACUUGGUUUAGGAUUCCAAUUUUAAUCUUAUUUCCUACCCACUAUAAAUAAGGCUUUUAGGAAGUGAUAUUAUUAUUUGUGGCUAGAGAGUGUCUAUGAGUGUGGCUCCGAACCAAAUUACAAGUGAGUGUGAGGAAUUGCUAACAAUUCACUAUAGAAGUACAAGAGAAAAAAUAAUUUCAAGCACUCCGAAGUUUUCUUUCUACUAACUAGCCAGGUGAUGUUGAGGAAUUAAGCCCUCUUCAAUUAUACACCAAGCAAAGAAAAACCAUUGUUAAAUGAAGCAAGGAAAUUACAUAAUAUUACAAAUGAAACUAAGCUCUAGUGAUCUCCAUGUGCUCAAAAAUCAAACCCGAUUGAAUGCAUCUUCGUGGUUCAAUGAAUAUGGCGCUUUGCAUUUCAGAUAUAUUUUAUAUGCAGAGAGCUUCCAUUGAAGGAUUCCUCAAAUAAGUUAUUUGAGGAACACCCUUGUAGGGUCCACCAUUGUAUUUCACUAAUGAAGAAUAAGGCCAUGGAGUGGAAAACACAGGCAGAGGAAGCGACCAAUCCACACGAUUCUUCGUCCACAAACUUAGACAAUUUAGCUAAUCAAAUGCAAUCAAGAAAAAUCUAGAUGUUCUCUGCAUCCACAAACUUAACAAGAUCAUGCGCUGCAAACCUAGAAGUUAUUGGUUCAAUGAACUCGCAACAUCGCCAAGAAACGAAAGUCCAAGUCUAAAGUCUUUUUGUCUCGAUUGAUCAAGUAGUUUCCCUGUUGUCUUGAUCAACUGAUUUUUCUUUGCACAGAUAUUUGUGGGCGGGUAAGGGUCCAAAAAUCUGUGCAGAACUUUAACAUUCCUCUAUACUAGUCGAAAAUUUUACUAUCUAUCAACCAAUUGCAAUGACUAACUUCUAGAUUUUAUUAUUACAAAAAUUUAAUCAUAAUUUGUAGACUAUUAGUUAUUUAUAUUAUUAUAAGUAACAAUUUCUACCACAAUUUUUACCAUUAUUUAUAUAAUCAUAAGUUGACUAUCUAUCAAUCAAUGACGAACUUUUCGAAAUACUUGACCAACAUGAGUGUAUAAAUUCAAAAAGAUUUAAAACAUGUAAUCAUAUUUUGUUGACUAUUAGUGAUGUAACAAUUUCGACCAUAUAUAUAGUCCCCUUCUGUUAAGAGAUUCCUCAAAUAAUUUUAUUUGAAGGACACCCUUUCGAGUACCUUACGAUUUUUUUUUCAACGAUCCAAACCGUCUAAUUUUCAAGUCUUUACUCAUAGAUCAUCCUUGUAAGAAAAUCAUACAAAUUGAAAAUCAUUAUGACAUCUAAUAGAGAUCAACAAAAUCAAUAAACACGAUGCUUCGAGGGAGUGCUUAAAUUUCAAUAAUUUUAUUGAAUGGUCAAAUGAUAUUGGAUUCAAGUGAUUUUUUUUGUAGAGAUGAUCUUUGAAUGAAUAUCUACAAAAAUAGACAGUUUGGAUUAGUGAAAUAAAAUAAUCUGCAUUUGCAAGUUGUAACACCCCGACUCCAAAUUAAAUCCUUUAUUUAAGUUAUUUAAAUUAUUUAAGGGAAAUUACAAAUUUACCCUUGAGAUAAGGGAAUUUUUGUCAUUUUCUUAACCGGAGAGAGUUUGGGACAGUGACUAGUAAUUUUGGACAGGUCGUACUGAGACGAGUUCAUAGACACGUAGUGGGAUGGAAUCGGAGUUGUAACGAGAGAGAUAUGGUCAAAAGAAACCCAGUGGCAUAAUCGUAAUUAUUUUGAAAUUAGAUUUUUAUAAAAAUUAGAUUUCUCUCUCUCUCUCUCUCUCUCUCCCUCCCGCGAGCUCUCUCUCUCUCUCUCUCUCUCUCUCUCUCUCUCUCCCCGUCGGUCUCUCUCUCUCCUCGAAACUCCGGCCACCGACCACGGCUUAGACGGGGCCGAUACCAAAAUGACCGGGGCUUCGUCCUCUUCUAGCCCCAGCCGACUCCCGCCUCCAGCCGUCGUAGUUUCGCCGGAAAAUGGAGAAGAAGCGGCUGGUGUCGUCCGAACUUUAUCGCCAUCGAUCUCCCUCCUCCGGCCACCGAUUCCGACGAGCAAGGUGUGGUUUCUCACCUACUUUUCAUGCUCUAGCUGCCUGUUGGGUAGGAUUCGAUCGAUUCUUAGCGUAGGCAAUUCGAUUUUCGAAUUGAAAUUCGGUCAGUUUUGGGAUCGCGAUUCCGGCCACCUCCGGUCAGUUUUUGGGGUAGGUCCAAGAACAAAAGUGGCUCCAAAUAGGGUGUUAUACCUAGGGUAGGAGUUUGGAGCCGUGGUUUUGAGAUUUUCCGGCGACGCGUUAUCGCUUUGGGCACCCAGCGCUGCCGGCGUGUGUGACGGCGCGUGGGCGAGGGUAGUGGAGUUCUACUGUGUCUCGAUGAGAUCCUUAGGUUGUCAUGAGUGCGUAGGAUUUCACGGAUCUCAAUUCGGACGUCGUUUGACUAUCUAACAGACGAUCGCAUAUUGCGCGUUAUCCGAGUUCGAUAGGUUGGGACUUUUGGGUGGUCCCAAAUUUAAUAUAUGUUAAUCUAGGUAUUUCUAGGAUAGCGUAGAAAUUCACGGAUCGUGAAUCGGAGCCCCGGAUGUUUCGAUUUAAUAAUUUAAAGUUUAUGUUUUAUAUUAACCGUCAGAUCGUGCGAUUGUGAGCGAUCCGACCGUCCGAUCUGAACCAAACUUGCAGGACGAGUGUCCUAUACCUUAUAGAACCCAUAGGAACUUUCGGAUCGGAAUUUGGAGGUCAUGGGCCCCGUAGGCCCGUUUGACCAGGGUUAUGAUAGUUUGACCCUUGGUUGACCGUGAGUCUUCUGGAGUAGUCUCACCUUUUCACGGGGAUUAUCGGGUGCUAGACUGUUGUUGAGAUUUACACAAUAUUAGAAUUAAAUUAUAUAUUUAUAUAUGUUUGUAAAGGUAUAAAAAGAGUCUAGAAUGUCAGUUUGAAGUGCUAUACGCACUACCUUAUGCACAUCCCCGGAUUUUGGUUACACUACACGUACCACCCUGUGAAAGUUAGGUCCCACGUGGCGUAGGUUAUCCGGCGUGCGGACAGACCUCAUACAUGGCAUUGGUAGUAUCGGCGUAUGGGGAGAUUACGUGAUAAUAUGUUGAGGUAGCACGUGGCGUAGGUUAUCCGGCGUAUCGACAGACCUCAUAUGUGGCGUUGGUUGUACCGGCGUAUGGGGAGAUUUGUGAUAUGAUGUGCAGGUCUCGCAUGGCGUAGGUUAUCCAGCGUUGAGACAGACCCCCUACGUGGCGUUGGUUGUACCGGCGUAUGGGGAGAUAUUAUGAUAUUAUGUUGUUGAAGAACUAACAAGUCUUUAGAGAUACAAUUUUAAAUUGAAGUCAAAAUUCAAUGAAAGGAAAAAAAAAAGGUCAAACAAACAAAGCCAGAAAGCCUAUUUCUUCAUCCUCAGAAUAGAAGCUUCUUGUCAAAACCUAACCCUAUCAGCACUUUUGAAUCCAAUAAAUAACAUGGACACAUAUACAAACAAUGAAUAUAUAUUUCCCAAUCAAAUUGGUGUGACAAACCAGAAACACAAACACAUGGAUCAAAGAAAGGAAAAUUUGAUGAAAUCAAUCUCUACUAUGCUGAUCAUUCUUCUUUGUGCCGCAAAUAUAACAUAAUCACAAUAAACAUAUAUACACAGAUGUAUAUGUUGUCAUUCUGAUAUAUUUCAAUAUCUUGAAGAAUGACCUACUGGAAUUUCUAAGCAUUGGAUGUCACAAAAUAGGUAAUGUAGAGACUAUAAAUGACACAUACAAUUUCCCUUCUUUGGAUGAAAAAAAAAACAACUGGAAACACAAACUUCAAUUGCAUAAAUCGCCAAAACCAUAAAGGGACGGGAAUAAAACCAUAAUAAACUAGCAAUACAACAACACUAAAAUGCCAAUACAAAACCACUAAAUUGGCAAUACAAUAGCAAAAAAAGCAAUAAAACAUCAAUAAAACAUCAAUAACAACAGCAAAACAAUAGCAAAACAACAGAAUCCCAAAUCAAACGCAAGAAUCAAUCCACAAAGAACAAACCCAUUCAAUGUUUCAAACAAGGAAUCAUCAAAAUAAGACAAUUUCAAAGAAACCCCUCAACCCUAAAUCAAUUUCAGAGACACCUAAACCAAAAUUUCAGACAAACCCCUAAACCCUAAAUCAAUUUCAGAGAAAUCCCUAAUCCAAUUUCAGAUACCCUUAAACCCUAAACCAAUUUCAAAGAAACCCCUAAACCAAUUUCAUAGAAACCCAUAAACCCUCUAAACCAACUUCAGAGAAACCCCUAAACCAAUUCAAAUUGACGAUGAACAGUACCUUUUGCAAGUGAACGAUGGAAGAGGAAGACCACUGCAUCAGAGAGAGAGAGAGAGAGAGAGAGAGAGAGAACUACAUGAGAGAGAGUUGCGCAAGAGAGAUCGAGAGCUUCACGCGGUGGUGAAAGAUAGAAGAGAGAUUGAGAGCUGACUGAAGAGAGAGUGAGACCUCAGCGACAAAGAGAGCUGCACGAUAGAGAGAGUGAGAGGCACGAUAAAGAUGACAAUUUCAGCAAAAGUGAUAUGCGUGCAAUAAGUGGACAAUAAAUAUAUAUUUAUAGGUGAUAGUUGCAAAAUUUUUGGAGAGAGGUGGUAUUUUCAGUUAAAAUUAUAAAAAGGGUGGUAUUUAGAGCUAUUUCCAUAUAAUAUACCAGUUCCCCUUCACUUCUUCUCACCUCAAUUUAUCUGACAACUUUCGUCUCUCUCUGGCUAUCUUAUCUCCAUAGACUUGUGUGGAGGGGAAAAUACAGAGAGCCAAAACAAGACACAUUGAAAAGUGGCUCAGUUUUGCUUUAUAAAUAAUCCGCAUUUGCAAGCACCGCAAUGCACACACAAAAGCUAAGAUGGAUUCCAAAAAAGUAGCUACUAAGCCACAUGCUGUUUGCAUUCCAGUUACUGCUCAAAGUCAUAUAAAACCAAUGCUUAAAUUUGCAAAGCUCCUCCACCACAGAGGAUUUCAUAUAACCUUUGUUAACACAGAGUUCAAUCACAAGCACUUUCUUAAAUCUCUAGGACCCAAUUCCCUUGAUGGCUUGCCUGAUUUUCAAUUCGAAGCCAUCCCGAAUAGCCUUCCGGAUUCAGAUGAAGAUGCCACACAAGAUGUCACCUUGCUUUGUGAAUCCGUCAGAAAACAAAAUUUAUUGGCUCCCUUUCAUGCCAUCCUUGCAAAACUCAACAAUGAUGCCAUAUCAACAUCCAGUAAUCCUCCUGUUGUAGAAUUGUAAGUAGUGAGCCUGAUUUACUUUUAAGCCUAGAGUGUUAAUUGUGUAUUCACUUAGUCUUAGAAAAUGACAAGUGUAAGGCUUCAAACAUGUAAAGGCUAAAAUAGCCAAGAGCUAGAAUUAAAACAGAUGGAUGGCUGAGAUUCACUUAUGCUUGUGUGAAUCCAGCUAAGAGCUAACGGUCAUGUAGUACAUGUUGUGUGAGCUCAUUUUCAUAUAUAGAGAAUAUACAAAAGCCUUGCUCACUGAGUUUGUGAGUAAGUAGAGCAAAACACUAACAUGGCCUCAGAGCCAGGUUUGAUCGAUUGAAUCUAGGCGUUUUUCAAAUCUGUGAAAUCAAGCUAAAUCGGUGCUUACUCAAGCUCGUGGCAAUUGAUUGGAGCUCAUUGGAUAUCUGAAACAAGUUGGUUGUGGUUAUCUGAGAUUAGCAAUGUCUGGAUCUGGAGGCUCAGAAGUAAGAACUCCGAUCUUCUCCGGUGAGAACUAUGAGUUCUGGAGAAUCAAGAUGAUAACCAUCUUCAAGUCAUAUGGGUUGUGGGCUCUGGUGGAGAAAGGAAUUACGAUUCCAGAAUCGAAGAAGAAGGCAGCUGAGGAAACAUCUACAGAGGAAGAUGAUGAGAAGAUGGCUGCGAUUCUUAUGAAGGAUGCAAAAGCUCUGGGGAUUAUUCAGAACUCAGUCUCUGAUUAGAUCUUCCCUCGCAUUGCUAAUGCUGAUUCAGCUAAAAUGGCAUGGAAUCUGCUAUAUGGAGAAUAUCAUGGUGGUGACCAUGUCAGGUCAGUCAAGCUUCAAAACCUUAUACGUGAGUUUGAGUAUACUAGGAUGCAUGAAAAUGAAUCUCUGUCUGCAUAUCUUACCGGUUUGAAUGAGCUGAUUAAUCAAAUGAAAACAUAUGGUGAAUCUCUAUCUAAUGAAAGGCUCGUUCAAAAGGUUCUAAUUAGCUUAAAUAAGGUUCAUGACCCUAUUUGUCUGGUGAUUGAGAAUAUAAAAAGUCUGGAAACAGUAGAUUUACAAGAAGUCAUUGCCAUUCUAAAGAGUCAAGAGCAACGAUUUGAGCUGCAUAAUACUGAUACAGUUGAGAAGGCAUUUGCCUCUUUUUCUGUGAAUCCCAAAAGCCAGAACAAGGGAGGUUAUCAAUCUGGUCAAUCUAUGUCUCAAAAAAAUUGGAAUCCAAAAGGCAAACCAUGGGAAUCAAAUUCCAAGCCUCAACACACCAAUUUUGCACAUAACUCAUCAUCAACAAUGGGUCAAGAAGGUUCAAAACCACAGUGCAAAGUAUGUUCUAAAUUUUAUUCUGGUGAAUGCAGAUACAAGGGAAAGCCUAAGUGUUACAAUUGUGAUAAAUUUUGACAUUUGGCUAGGGAGUGUACUGCAGGCAAGAAUGUGCAGAAAGCAAACUGUGCAAAUCAAAUGGAAGUGACUGGAAACCUAUUCUAUGCCAACAGUACUAUUGCUGCCACAAAUGUUACUGGAGAAUGGUAUAUAGACAGUGGGUGUAGCAACCACAUCACUGGAAAUGGGAGUUUGCUGCCACAAAUGUUAUUGGAGAAUGGUAUAUAGACAGUAGGUGUAGCAACCACAUCACUGGAAAUGGGAGUUUGCUAAUAGAUAUUAGAACAAAUGUGGUAGGCAAGGUGCAAAUGCCAAAUGGUAAGCUUGUGAAUGUAGCUGGAAUGAGCACAUUGGCAAUUGAUACUACCAAAGGCAGAAAGUAUAUCAAGGAAGUGAUGUAUCUUCCCGGAUUGAAAGAGAAUUUACUAAGUGUAGGCCAAAUGGAUGAACACGGUUACUAUCUAGUAUUUGGAGGAAAAUUGUGCAGCAUCUUUGAAGGUCCUUCACUAGAGUAUCUUGUAAUCAAAGUAGAGAUGAAAAGGAAUAGGUGUUACCCCUUGGCACUAUUACCUAAUGAUCAUAUUGCACUAAAGGCAAGUGUGUCUAACUCUACUUGGACAUGGCACAAAAGGUUGGGUCAUCUACACCUAAAAGGACUAAGUCAACUCAAAGAGAAGUAUAUGGUGCAUGGACUGCCAUUCAUGGAAAAGGUUGAUGGAGUCAGUGAUGGAUGUCAGUUUGGAAAGUAGCACCGAGAAUGGUUUCCAAAGAACCAAGCAUAGAGAGCAAGCAAUCCUCUUGAGCUGUGGAUUUGUGUGGACCCAUGCAAAAUGAAUCCAUUGCUGGCAACAAGUAUUUCAUGCUCCUUAUAGAUGACUGUACAAGAAUGGUCUGGGUCUAUUUUCUCAGAUACAAAUCUGAAGCAUUGAAUUGUUUUCGAAAAUUCAAGUCAAUGGUAGAAUUGCAAAGUGGUUUUAAGGUGAAGUGUUUGAGAAGUGACAGGGGAGGAGAGUUCACAUCUUGUGAAUUCAACAAGUUAUGUGAAGUUGAAGGGAUUCAAAGACAACUCUCUAUGGCCUACACUCCACAACAAAAUGGAGUGGUGGAGAGAAAAAAUAGGACUGUGGUGGAAAUGGCAAAAGCAAUGCUUCAUGGUAAAGGAUUGCCUUACUAUCUGUGGGCAGAAGCUGUGCAUACAGCUGUCUACUUGAUAAAUAUGUGCCCUACUAGAGCAUCUGGAGAUAAAACACCAUUUGAGGCAUAUAGUGGGAGAAAACCAGGUCUGGCUCAUCUCAAAAUAUUUGGUUGUGUGUGUUAUGUACACAUAUCAAGUGAAGUGAGGCAGAAGUUAGAUGCAAAAAGAACCAAGGGUAUUUUUGUGGGAUAUGCAAUCUGUGAAAAAGGUUAUAGAGUGUAUGAUCCUGCUACUAAGAAGAUUUUACUCUCAAGGGAUGUUGUGUUUGAUGAGAAUGCAGCUUGGGAUUGGAAACAAAUGUCUGAUAAACAAGGAAGUGUGAUCAAUCAUAAAGAACAAUAUGAUAUGUCUAAUGAUUCAUCACAAGUGACACCUUCUAGAAGUCAUGAUCACUUUCAAUCACCAAGAACAAGUGAUAUAAGCAGCAGCAUGAGAAAUACUCAAGCUUUUGAUCACACUCCUUUAAAAUGGAGAAAUCUGGAUGAUGUUCUAGCUCAAUGCAAUCUUUGUAUUAUGGAACCAGAAAAAUUUGAUGAAGCUACUAAAGAUGAAUCUUGGAUGAAAGCAAUGAAGGAUGAACUUUCAAUGAUUGAGAAAAAUGCAACAUGGAGCUGGUGGACAGACCAGCCGAUAAACCUAUAAUUGGAGUUAAGUGGGUGUUCAAAACCAAGCUAAACCUUGAUGGUUCAGUACAGAAAAACAAGGCACGAUUGGUUGCCAAAGGUUAUGCUCAGGAACCAGGUGUCGACUACAAUGAGACCUUUGCACUAGUGGCUAGACUUGAUACAAUCCGCACACUAGUUGCAUUGGCAGCACAAAAGAAUUGGAAAUUGUAUCAACUAGAUGUCAAAUCUGCCUUCCUAAAUGGUGUUUUGGAAGAGGAGGUGUAUGUAGAUCAACUGGAUAGUUUUGUGGUCAAGGGGAGUAAAGAUAAGGUGUACAAGCUUCAUAAAGCUCUCUAUGGCCUAAAACAGGCACCAAGAGCUGGGUACUGUGAGAUUGACACCUACUUUGCUUAAUAUGGUUUUUCCAAAAGUCCAAGUGAGGCCACUCUCUAUACCAAGACCAGAGGAGAGGCAGAAAUUCUAAUAGUGUCCAUCUAUGUAGAUGACAUUGUUUAUACAGGGAGUUGUCAGUCAAUGUUAAAGGAGUUCAAGCAAGACAUGAUGGUGAAAUAUGAAAUGACAGACUUGGGGCUCUUGCAUCAUUUUUUAGGAAUGGGAGUCAUUCAAACUCACACUAGCAUUUUUCUUCACCAAAAGAAAUAUGCAGCAUCUUUGUUGAGCAAAUUUGGCCUAUGUGAAUGCAAACCUGUCUCCAUACCUUUGGUUACAACUGAGAAGUUAAGCAAAGAAGAUGGAAGUGGCCCUCAAAUGAAGAGCAAUAUAGGAAGAUUGUGGGAAGCUUGCUAUACCUUACAGCUACAAGACCCGAUAUAAUGUAUGCAUCUAGUCUACUUGCUAGAUUUAUGCAUUGUCCUACUAAUAAGCAUUAUGGGACUACUAAAAGAGUUCUCAGGUAUAGUCAGGGGACACUUGAUUAUGGGUUGGAGUAUGUGAAAGGAAGGAAUGCAAUGUUAAUUGGCUACUGUGAUAGUGACUGGAGUGGCUCAGUGGAUGACAGUAAGAGCACUUCAGGGUAUGCUUUCUCUUUUGGCAGUGGUGUUUUUGCUUGGGCAUCAAUCAAACAAAACUGUGUUGCUCUUUCUACUGCAGAGGUAGAAUACAUCAGUGCUUCAGAAGCAACUGCAUAGGCAAUUUGGCUUAGAUUUGUUUUGGAAGACUUUGGUGAAUUUCAGGCUGAAGCUACCCCACUACAUUGUGACAAUACAGCUGCUAUUGCUAUCACAAAGCACCCUGUAUUUCACCAUAAAACUAAGCACAUUGAUCGAAGGUAUCAUUUCAUCAAGGAUGCCUUGCAAGAAGGAAUCAUUAACUUGAUUUAUUGUCCUACAAAUGAGCAGUUGGCAGAUAUCUUCACAAAGUCAUUGGCUAAAGAUCGAUUCUGCUAUCUUAGAGACAAACACUACUACAAAAAGUAAAAAAGACGACCAGAAAACAACGACGGUCUAAGUGAAAACCGUCGUGGUUUUUAAAAAGACGACGGUUCUAAAAACACCGUCGUGUAAUACCACCUUAGACAACUAAAAAUGGAGAUUCAAAUGGCUGUUCAAAAACAACGACGUACCUAAUUAAAAAACCGACGUCUAUUUGAAACAGAUUUCCGCAGUGUAAAAUCAAAGCCAACAAAGAACGGCAGAAGUUAUGAAUCGACCGACGUAGAAAGUAAAGACGACGAUUUCAAUAAAAGCCGCCGUUUUUACUCAUAAAAUAACACGACGAAAUUUUCGUAUAAGACGCCGUAUAAUUACAAACAAAUCGACGGCUUUAAAAUACAAAAUGUCGUCGUAUUAAAUUAAUUUACAACGACGGAAAAUAUAAAUAUAUCGACGUUAUUCUCGUAUAGUUCUAUGACGUUAUCUUUAAAUCGUACUAUAAAAUUUAACGUCGUAUUUAUUAAUUUUAUACGUCGUACCUUUAAUUUAAACCGUCGUCUUAAUAAGAAUUUUUGUUAACAAUUUUUUCCUUUAUUUUCUUAUCCUACGUCGGUAGAUCUACUUAAUGACAAGAAUUGAAAUCUGUCAUCCAAAAAAGAAACUUUACAUAAUCCAGAACAUUAAUUUCCUUCAUUUUAAAUUUCCUCCGAAAAAAAAACUAUAUUUAUAACGCACUGUAAUUGAAAAAUAAACUGAAAGGUCACGGGAAAAAAAUUUCUAUUCAUAAUUUAACAAUUCAAAUCCACGUCGGUUAUAUUAAACCUAACGACGUUAAAUGAAAAGAUUCCACGUCGCAAAACAAAUAUUGCGUCGUGUUAGUUUAUGGUUUCUUUAAUAGUUUCAGUUUCUUUAACAGUUUGGUCCUUUAUCUUUCUGCAGGACUUGUAUAGUUCAAAGCAUUGACUUGUAUAGUUCAGAGUAUAGUUCAAAGCACUGAUUCGAUUGCUCAUGCUUUAUCGCAUUCAUGAAGCCAUUUCUAUUCUUUAUCGCAUUCUUGAAACCCAUCUUCUUCUUCUGAAGCUCUACGGAUAAAGGAAGAGGCUAUCACAAAUCUGACGGAUCUUCUUAGCCAAGAAAAUCAAGCAGAGGAUCAGGCACAUCUGAUCUUCAGAUUUUCCUGAGAAGCGAACUUUCCUUCGACAGCGAGUGGAGGACAGGCUUGCAUCUCUUUUGAUGGAAAGCAAGGAGUAUUCAGAAGCACUAAAUGUCCUAUCAGGCUUGAUCAAGGAAGUGAGAAGGCUAGUUAACAAGCUUCUUCUUGUGGACAUAGAUUUGAUGCGAGUAAGCUCAAUUUCUCUUUGAGAAAGACAUCCAAAUUACUGUCUUUGAGAUGUGAGAGACAGUGUCUCUGAGAGAGGAAGAACUUGGAACCCUAAAUGUAAACCGAAAAUGAAUGAAAGCGACAAAUUUAUAGAAUAAAUUUUUAAAACCAACGGCGGUCCUUACAAAAAAACCGCCGUUUAAAUUUUAAAAUCAACGUCGUUAUGACCGACGUAUAUUACAUAAAUCCACGUCGGUACAUUAAUAAAAUCGACGUGUUAAAUGAUCUACCAUGACGCGAGUUAUUAUUUAUGUACUUUAAUUUUUGAGUUUACUACGACGGUACCUACAACACUACUGUCGUACUUAUUUACCACGUCCGAAGUUAAACGUACUGUCGUAUUUUGUAAUUUAUACGUCGUAGUUAUAUGUAACCGCCGUAUUAUUUUUUGAAAUGGUUUUAUAUGUAAGCAACUUUUCGUGUACCUGUCUUACACAUGCACUGUUUCCAAACCCAAUUAAAAAUUUCAAUCUCCCAGAGAAAACUUUUAGACUUUUUUCCUUGUCAGAGCACUUUCAGAGUAUCUCAUCGUCUUCCUCUCGUCUUCUUCGUCGUCUCUGAACUUAAACAUCGAUCGUCUUCCUCUUGCUUUCAUUGCACGCAAAAGGUAAGCUUUCAUUUUCACUAUUUUGGUUGCUGUUUUGCAUGCUCAUACGUUUUUUGUUUGAAAAAUCUUUUUACCUUUUUUCUGGCCAAAAUCAUUUUACUUCUUUCCAAGUUCGAAAAAAUAUACAGACAAAGAGGGAAAGUUUCCAACUUUGAAGACAACUACCUCAACUAAAUAAGACGACGGUAGCUUCUUAUUUACGUGGUUAAAUAUGUAGACCACGACGGUUCGUCAGUCGUUCUAGCGUCGUCUGAAAAUUGACAAAGUUGUUUUUAAAAUUAUAGUCUUUUUUUUAUUUGCUUGUUUAAUUGCAGGUUUGAUUUCUCUGAACAAUGGUUUUUGUUUUUCCCUAAUUUGAUAAAAUAUAAAGAAAAAGAAAUUAGGGUUGGUAUCUAAUAUAGACGACAGUAUCUUAUUGUUUUACGUCGUGUGAAUGUUAAUACCACGACGUCAUAUUAAAAUACCGUCGUCUAUAUAAGAUUCUAAAACUUUCUUUCUUGGCCUUGUAUUUUAUCAAAUUAGAAAACAAAAACCAUGGUUCAGAAAAAUCAAAUCUGCAAUCAAACAUUCACAGAGAAAGAAAGAAGGGUUUUGGAUCCUUAUAUAGACGACGGUAUAUUACUACUGACGUCGUGUGAACAUCAAUACCACGACGUUAUAUAAAUAUUCCGUCGUUUAUAGUUAAUUAUUACGUCGUUUGUAGUUAAUUAUUUCGUCGUUGAUUAAUUACCUUGGUUUUAAACAUUUAUUACGUCUGAUAUUAUUUCAUUGCGUCGUUUAAAAUCAUAUCAUACGUCGUCUUUUAUUAAGAACCGUCGUUUGUGUUCUUAAUCUUUUCUUGAAAUAUUUUCACUUUCAGUUUUGUCUGUAAAAAUGGUUUCUCACCAAGACCAAAGUAAGGAUUCUGGCUCCAAGAAAAAUGGAGGUAAGGAGCAAGUACCUCCUCAAGAGAAGUCUUCGAAGAUAAUGAAGUCUUCGAAGAAGAUGAAGUUUGCUUCAUCAUCUGCUGAUACAGAACCAACCAGCUCGACAACAAUCUCUGAUGAUUCAAAGGCUGGUCGAGGUAUGAGCACAAUGCCUCAUGUUGUGAAGAGAAAACUUCAGAAACUGAGGCCAAUUGUUGAGUACAAUAAAAGGGGGAAAGGAAUUGGCCAAUCACACAGUGAGAUGCAGUCCUAUAUUGGUGUGUUGGCACGCUCCAGAGUCCCACUUGUGGACUUGAAAUGGGCUCAAAUCCCCAAGGAUAUAAAGGAGCAGAUUUGGGAAGCAGUUGACAUUGCUUUUGUAGUAGGUCAAGGGGGCAAGAACUCUGUCUUAGCUUCUGCUGCCAAGAAAUGGAAGGAUUUCAAGUCUACACUAACGAGGCAUUAUAUCCUUCCAUACACCAAUGACAGGGAGAGAUUAAGCCAACCCCCUGAAACAUAUAAAUUCAUAGAGAAAGCACAAUGGGAUGCCUUUGUAGCUUCAAGGCUAUCCAAAGAUUUUGAGUCUGUGCAUUCUCAACAUGCACAGAUUAGGGAGAAACUCGAGUACAAUCAUCGAUUGUCUCGAAAAGGAUAUGCUGGUUUGGAGGAUCAAUUAGAGGAAACCAUGCCUGGGGUAGAAAUUGAUCGAUCUACCUUAUGGAAGAGAGCUAGACAGGACAAACAUGGUAACAUCCCUGAUCCAAAGGUGGCAGAGAAAGCAAAAUUAAUUGUAAGCCUACUCACUCUGUUUUAAAUUUUUAUUAAACUGUGAAUAAUUCUUAUUAUGUCUUAUGUUAUAUUUUGCGUCGUGUGAAUGAUAUUACCACGUCGACAUUUUUUAAAACACGUCGUUAAAGGUCUAAAUAGGAAUCACAACUCUGUUUUCUGUAAUUAUAGCAUAAGAUGUCGGUGGUUCAAUUUCGCGUCGUCUGUAUUAAAUUACUACGUCGAAAUGUUUUAAACAACGUCGUUAAAGGUGUGAAUAUUGAAUCAUCCCUCUGUUACAUAAGACGUCGGUGGUUUAUUAAUUUCGUCGUUUUAAAAAUCUAACCACGUCGGUAUAACUACCGUCGUGAUAAAUUAUAAUAACGUCGAUUUAUAUGUUAUUGCGUCAUGUGAAAUUAUAUAAUACGUCGUUUGUAUAUAAAUAACCGUCGUGUGUUUUUGUUCUUACUUUUUUAUAUAUCUUUGUUUCAGGAUGAUUUGCAAAAACAAGUCUCGGAAGGCAAAGUCACCGUCUCUGGCAGCAAUGAUGUGCUGACCAUGGCUUUGGGCCCCGAGCAUCCAGGCAGAGUCAGAGGAGUAGGUGCUGGGAUCUCACCAGGGCAAUAUUUCAAUUUACCCAAACCACAGAGAGUGAGCUUUGACGACCGUUUGAAGGACAGUUUAAGAGUUCUCCUUCAAGAAGAGACUAGAAAGAUGGAGGCUAAGGCAAGGGAAGAGGCUUUAAGGAUGGAGGCUAGAACGAAACAAUUGGUAGAGGCUGAAAGGGAGCAUUUCCUGAGUCAGCUUUCCCAAUUAAUUCCCAAUUUUGAUCCAAGCAUGCUUAAACCCAGAAUUAGCCAAAGUCCCAAAAAUUCAAUGUCUGACAAAGCAAGCUGCUCUGGAGGUGAUGUGAGAUCCCAGCAUUUUGAGGAUGAUACUGCCAAAAAUGGGAAACAUCAGGAAGAAAAGGUAACAUAUCUGAACUUUGAAUUGUCUGUUUUUUUAAAAACCAUUAGACGUCGUUAUUAUUAAUAAAACCAUCGUUUGAAAUACAUACCACGACGAUUUUAAAAAUAAACCGUCGUUUGUAUUUCAAUACCACGUCGUAUUUAGUUUACUUGUUUUACACGCCAUUAAACGUCGUUAUUUUUAAAACUUUGUGGUUUUUAGACGACGGAGUUAAUCAUUCCCGACGUCAUAGAUGAAGAGAAUAAAGAAGAAAAACAAGAUGAAAAGCAGAAAGAAGAUGACGACCAGGUAUGUUCACAUAACUUUGCCUUUUUUAUUUGUUUUUCAAAAUUCCAGACGUCGAUAUUUUUCUUUAAACCGUCGUUUGUUUACAACUUAGACGGCGGAAUUGUUUUCUAAGACGUAAUAAAUAAUUCACCACGACGGUUGUUUCACCGUCGUUUAAAUUGUUUUCAGACGACGUUUUAUUCCUUAAACCGUCGUUUUUAUUGAAUUACCACGUCAUUUUUUUUAUUUCUUUAAACAGGUUACUAAAGUUGUUGAUUAUUCAAAUAUGGAGGCGCCAUCUUCUUUACAAACCCUUUGUCGUUAUGUGGAAACGACACUCGUGCCUCAGGAUAAGACCCUGCACUUUACAAUUGAUAAGGAGGUCUUUGGUCUAGAGCGCGAUACCUUCCUCCUGCCUGAAGAUAUUACACAAUUUGCAGGCAUGGAGGAAAUAGGAGCUACAGUCAUUGCUGUAUAUAUGAGGUUUGUCAUUCUAAAAUAAUACGUCGUUGGUUUAUUUAUUGCGUCGUCUUAACUAACUAACCACGUCGUUAGUAUGUACCGUCGUGAUAAAUUUAUUAUAACGUCGUUGUCUAUUUCAGUACGUCGUGUGAAACCUUAUAAUACGUCGUUUUGUUAUACAUAACCGUCGUGUGUUUUUUUUGCGCUGACUUGUUUAUAUUAUUUUAUAUAUUUAGGUACUUACACGAUGUUUUAAAACAAGCAAAUAUGUGCACAAUGGUUGGCUUUAUCGACCCUGCUAUAGUUAGUGCCAGCUCUGGCACAAUAGCUGACAGAUCACGAAUGGUAGCAUCACGACUUCAGAAGACUGACGGUGAACAGAUUUUCCUGAUGCCUUACAAUCCAGGGUUAGUCUCCUUAACAGGAUUUUGUUUUUAUGAUUUUCAAUAAAUGACAGCGUAUAAACUAACCACGUCGGUGUUUUAUUUUAUUGAGUCGUUUGAAACGACUAACCACGUCGGUAGUUAUUUACGUCGUGAUAAAUAUAUAAUGUCGUCGAUUGCUACUUUAUUUCGUCGUGUGAAAUAUUAUAAUACGUCGUUUUUGUAAAUAACCGUAGUUUUUAUAUUAAUUUUGUGCAGCCGUCAUUGGAUCUUGCUGAUUGUAAGAGCAAAGAGGGAAACAGUCUAUUUUCUGGAUCCUCUGCCAGGAUAUCGUGUGGUCGAUGAAGAGGCCAAAAACAUCGUGAACAGUGCCAUAAAAAUUUAUAAUUCCCACAUAGCCAGAUCAGGCCGUAAGGCAGUCAUUUGGAAAACUCUGUCAGGCACACCAAAGCAACCCAGCAAUGUCGAAUGAGGGUAUUACGUGAUGCGCUUCAUGAAGGACAUCAUCAUGGAUCCUUCCUUGGGGUUUGAGAAGAAGGUAAGAAGAAAUAACCUUCAAACAUUUUACGUCGUUUUUUGUAUUAUCAACGACGGUCAUGUAAAAUUACCGUCGUUGAAUAGAUAUACUACGUCGGUUAUGGUCGUCUGUGAUUGAAUUUCCUUUUAUUUAUAAACCCUAAUAGUCAUUGUUUUUAUGCAGUAUGCGAAGGGAAAACAGGAAGAGCCAUACCCCCAAGAAGCAAUUGAUGAAGUCCGGAAUGAAUGGGCAGAGUUUGUUUGCCUUCAACUUAAAUAGGGGAAUUAUUGAACACUUGAUAUUUAUGUAUAAUGUACAAAUUUUGUCUAUAAUAUAUAAUGUAAAAAUUUGUUGAGGUUUUCUUAAAGUAAAAACAAAAACAAACAUACAAAAUGCGUUACCGACGUGUAAUAAUUUUCCAACGACGUAAUAAAGUCAAAAGCCGUCGUUUUUUGUGGUUUCGUUUUAAACAAAUCCGACGUAAAAGGAUAUUUAGACGACGUUCUUUGAACAAUGGAGUCGUUUAUGGUUUACAACGUCUUCAAUUUCUUAAGGGUUCAGGGUAGUACUUUGUAACGACAACGGUUAAGUCGAGGAAUAUAUAUUUUACGUCGGAUAGUUAAAUAUCCGCCAUCGUUUCUUAUUUAAACGACGUCAUUUUAACAACUUAGUCGUCUCUUACAAUUUACAACGUCUACAAUUUAUUAACACCGACGUGGUUUGUUGUUGUGAUAAGAAUAUUUUAUUAUUUUUAUAUCAAAAUAUUCAAAAUAAAUUUAAAAUAAAUCAGAAAAAUGCAAAGUCAACUCCUAUGAAGUCAUUGAUAUAUUUUCUUCCCCCUAAAGCUUGAAAAAAUUCAUUUUGAAUAACAAAAAUUUAAAAUGAACAUCCAAAACAAAAUUGUUUUGAUGAGUCAUAAAAUCACUUCUAGUUUUAUGGUUUAGGGUUUAGAGUCUAGGGUUUAGAGAUUAGGGUUGUUAUUUCUUGGGGUUUAUUUUUAAAGUAUAAUUUUUGGGUAGUCUAGGGUAUAUAUUAGGCUGUAAAACCAUAAACCCUUUUAUAAACUUAAUUUUUAAAAUUAUAUAAUUUAGUUUUAAGGGUUUAGGGUAUUAAUUGUUAACGACGGUGGUUGAGUCGUGGAAUACAUAUGUUACGUCGUGCAGUAAAUUAUCCGACAUGGUUUCUGCGUUAAACGACGUCAUUUUAAUAUGUAAGUCGUGUAUUAUUAUUUACAACGUUUUCAAUUUCUUAACCCCGACGUGGUUUUUCAGUCGUCUUUAUAUCAAAAUAUUGAAAAUAAAUUUAAAAUUAAUCCGAAAAAUGAAGCGUCAAAAUAAACGGCGUUACAUUCAGUGUUUCCGUCGUGGAAUAUUACAUUUACGUCGGUUCUUGUAGAACUUUCGCCAUGAUUUUUCUUUCAACGUUUUAAAGAGCGCGCGCUCUAAAAAUUUCCGCGCGUCCUAAAUUUUUUUAUAUUUGGCUCUUAUUCUUAUUCUUCUAACCCUGAACCCUAAAAUUUUCAGAUUUCGUGCAACAUAACAUUUCGCUCUCUCACUUCUGCUCUAAUUAAAAGUUGCUCUAAUUAAAAGUUGCUCUGUCACUUCCGCUCCGUCGAAUCUGUGAGCUCGUCCAACCUGUAAGUACAAACCCUAUCUUCCCCUUGUAAAUUCAUUGAAUGAUAUUAGGUUGUUUUGUUAAAGGGUUUUAGGUAUAUGCUUUGCGAUCUGUUAAUAAUGUGCUUAUAAGUAUGGGUUCAUGGAUUUUCUGUUUAAUGGGUUCAUGGAUUACAUUAUCUGUUAUGUUGAAUUGGGAAUGGAUUUAAUUUUGUCGGAUCUUUUAAUCACCCUAUGUUAUGUUGAAUUGGGAAUGGAUUUAUUGUUUUCAUGCUUGGUUUCAUGUAUAUGUUGUUUUCUUGCUUGGUUUCAUAUAUAUGUUGUGUUCUUAAUGGGUUUUGGGUUCUUGAAAAUAAACUGAGACACGACGCCUUUUUAGGCAUACGACGACGAUUACACGACGGUUUAUGAAAAAACCGUCGUUGUAUUACUUAUACACGACGAUGUUUUCAUAAACCGUCGUUUGUAUUACUUAUAUUAGACGACGUCUGUUGAAAAUCCGUCGUCUAUAUAUGCCAAAUACGUCUGUUUUUGUUUAAAACCCGUCGUCUCUGUUGUGUAUUACUUGCUAUUAGAUCUUUGUAUAAUCUGCUAUAGUGAUGGUCAUUGCCUGUAUUUUCACUUUAUUAUAGAUAAUAGGUUAUAGUGUCGGAGAUGGAUAAGUCAUGGAUGCACUCGGAUAGAAGAUCGAAGGCAUAUGAGUUUGGGGUGGAAGCAUUUUUGAACUUUGCUGUAGAAAAUCUUCUAACUACAACACAUAUCCGUUGUCCAUGUGUUAAAUGUGUUAAUUUGAAGUUGUUUGGGGUUGGAAUUAUAAGGGAUCACUUAUACUUUAAUGGAAUUGACCAAAGCUAUAAGAAUUGGACAUUUCACGGAGAACCUUGGGAAGCAACUACUAAUGCUAGUAGAAAUGUUGAAGAAGAUGAUGGCCAUAGUAGGUACAGUUUUGUGUCUGAAGAAAUUGAUAUGGAUGAUAAUGAUUUUGGUUCCGAUCCGUAUGAGUUUGCCAAUGUGAUUGGGGAUGGAGAUCAACCAGUGUACCCUGGUUGUAGAAAGUACACGAAGUUAUCGGCAUUAGUGAAGUUGUAUAAUUUGAAGGCAAAACAUGGGAUGAGUGAUGUCUGUUUUACAGAAUUAUUGAUACUUCAAGGCGAUUUCCUUCCAGAAUGAAAUACAAUACCAACCUCUAUGUAUGAGGCUAAAAAGACUUUGUGUGCAUUGGGGCUGAGUUAUGAGAAAAUGCACGCAUGCCCCAAUGAUUGCAUCUUGUAUAGGAAGGAGUAUGAGAAUUCAACUAAUUGUCCUACUUGUGGUAUCUCAAGGUGGAAGGAAGGCAAAGAUUCAAUCUUGAAAGAGGGUGUGCCAGCGAAGGUGGUGUGGUAUUUUCCUCCAAUUCCAAGGUUUAAAAGGAUGUUUCAAUCACAUGAGACAGCUAAGAGUUUGACUUGGCAUGCUGCUAGAAAAUCAAUUGACGGUCAGAUGUCUCAUCCGGCGGAUUCCCCGUCUUGGAAACUUCUUGAUGAUAAAUGGCCUGAGUUUGGUAAUGAGCCGAGAAACUUGAGAUUGGCUCUUUCAUCUGAUGGAUUCAAUCCCCACAGUUCUCUAAGUAGCAGAUAUAGUUGUUGGCCGGUUAUCUUAGUUACAUAUAAUCUCCCUCCAUGGCUGUGCAUGAAACGAAAGUUCAUGAUGUUAACCUUAUUGAUUUCCGGUCCUAAACAACCCGGAAAUGAUAUAGACGUCUACUUGGAGCCUUUGAUUGAUGAUUUAAAAUCUUUGUGGGAUGGGAUUAGAGGAGUGUAUGAUGCACAUAAUAGAGAAUACUUUACACUCAGAGCUGCAUUAAUGUGGACAAUUAAUGAUUUCCCCGCCUAUGAAAACUUAUCUGGUUGUGUUGUUAAAGGAUAUAAAGCUUGUCCAAUAUGCGGCGAUGAUACACCUAGUCACAGGUUGAAAAAUGGCCACAAAAUUUGUUACAUUGGGCAUAGAAAAUGGUUACCAAUCAAUCAUCCAUAUAGGAGGCAACGUGCAGCUUUUAAUGGGAAACCUGAAUAUGGCAUACCUCCCGAGCCAUUAACCGGAGAAGAAGUGCUGCAUAUGGUUGAAAAUGGUGACAGAGUUUGUUGGAAGAAGAAAUCAAUAUUCUUUGAUCUCGAGUAUUGGAAAUACCUUCCUGUGAGGCAUGCCCUAGAUGUUAUGCACAUUGAGAAGAAUGUUUGCGAUAGUAUUAUUGGUACAUUGUUGGAGAUCCCUGGAAAAAAUAAAGAUGGGAUUGCUGCUCGAUUAGAUUUAUUGAACAUGAGGGUCAAAACUGAUUUGCAACCCGAGUAUGGAGAAAGACGUACUCGUUUGCCUCCUGGGCCUUGGAAUUUGUCAAGAGCAGAGAAGAGAGAGGUUUGCAAUUCUUUCUAUGGUAUGAAGGUCCCUGAAGGUUAUUCUUCAAAUAUUAAAAAUCUUGUAUCUUUACAAGAUUCAAGACUUCUUGGCCUUAAAUCACAUGAUUGUCAUACCUUAAUGCAACAAUUGCUCCCUGUGGCAAUUCGUUCUGUUUUGGAGAAGCCUGCAAGGUAUGCAAUAACUCGUUUGUGCUUCUUCUUCAAUGCUAUAUGUGCAAAGACUGUUGAUGUUUCCAAGCUAGAUAAGUUGGAAGAAGAUGUAGUAAUUACUCUGUGUUUGCUUGAGAAGUACUUUCCCCCUUCAUUCUUUGAUAUCAUGGUUCAUCUAGUAGUACAUCUUGUCAGAGAAGUUCGUCUAUGUGGGCCAGUAUAUUUUAGGUGGAUGUAUCCGUUUGAAAGAUAUAUGAAAGUGCUGAAGGGGUAUGUUCAGAAUCGUACUCGUCCCGAAGGUUGCAUUGCUGAGCGGUAUAUAGCUGAAGAAGCGGUAGAGUGUUGUACUCAGCAUUUAUCUGAUGUUAGUACAGUUGGAGUGCCUUCAAGCCAAAAGAUGGGACUUUCAAAGCCAUUAUCAGGUUGCACAGUGAGCGUAGUUGAUCAGGACCUGUUGAAUCAAGCACAUCUAUAUGUCUUGGAGAAUACGGAGGAAGUCCUACCUUAUAUCGAGUACGUAUGAGCUUUAUUCUUUAAGUUUCCAUUUUAAAUUAUUUCUUAUGUUUAUCUUCUAUAUUUAGGACCGUAAUGCUUGAAUUUUUCGUGUCAUGUAGGCAACAUAUGAUUCACAUCAAGACUGCUUAUCCAAAAUUUAGAAAGAGAACAAAGUGGCUGCAGGAUAAGCACAAUAGCACUUUCAUUCAAUGGCUACGCUUCAAGGUAUAUGUUGUUGAAUAACAUAUUUCUCUUUUAAUUUUCUUCUUAUUUAUAUGUUAGAUUGAAUUAAGAUAUGAUUAAUUUGCAGGUUCAAAGUGAACUUGAGGAAGACAAUCAUGGCGUAUCAGAAAAUUUAAGGUGGCUAGCAGCUUGUCCAAACAUGUCAGUGCCAUUAUAUAGGAGCUAUCUUAUUAAAGGUAUUAAAUUCAAUAUCAAGGCACAAGAUGAUGUGCGGACAACUCAAAAUAGUGGAGUUUAUUUACUUGCACAUACCAUGCAAGUUGCUAGUGCCAAGGAUAAAAACCCAAUUCUCUCAAAUAUGGGUUUCUAUGGUGUCAUUCAAUAAAUUUGGGACCUUGACUACCAAAAGUUUACAAUCCCAGUCUUUAGGUGUGAUUGGAUAGAUAGUUCUGGUCUUGUAGUCGACGAACUUGGAUUUACCCUUGUAGAUUUGAGUAAAAUUGGACAUAGGAAUGACCAAUUUGUUUUGGCUUCUCAAGUCAAACAAAUAUUUUUUGUUGACGACCCGAUGCAUCGUGGUUGGUCGGUAGUGUUAUCAAUGCCUAAUAGAGAAUAUAAUGAUGUUAUUGGUGAUGAAGUCUUAGGUGAUGUGAUAAUUGAGUAUGAGCCAUUUACUAGAGGGAUGCCAAAUGUUGACACAUUUGAUGAACUGGUAGGUGAGUUAGGCGGUCAAAAUAUUCGAGAUGGGUGUGAAGAUAUAUGGAUUGAAUGAUGCUUAUGUAAUUGGCAGUGUAUGACAUUAAUUUUGUAAUAUAUUGUAAUGCGAUUUCUUCACUUUCUACGUUCAAAUAAAACACGACGUUAUUGUGAAUCAGUUAUUCAGCAUAUUUACCGACGUCUUAAAGCAACGUAACAAUGAAGAACCACGACGCUAUUGUGAAGCAAUUAUUCAGGAUAUCACGUCGGUGAAGCAUUAAGAACCGCCAUGUAAUUCAGAAUAACACGACUCCAAUCCCAUAAUACCGACGUCUAAAAAACGAGAUAUAUAAUCUGAACGUUAAAAAAUACGACGUCAUCAUACAUUUUCCACGUCGCAAGUUCUUUUAUAAACGAAGAGGAACGAAAUGAAUUCCGACGGAAGUUCAUUAUAACCGCCGUUUAAUAACAAUUAAACGACGUUAUUUGUAAUACGACUCUCAUCAUAAUCUACGCCGUCUAUAUGUUCUGUAAUACGGCUCUCAUUUAUUUGGAACCGACGUUGUUUAGAAGUUCAACGUCGUCUAUAUUAUUAAGUGCGUCGUGAGUAAUGAAUACAUAUAAAUACAACGUCGACUAUAUAAAUGUAUACGUCGUAAAUAAUGACACUGACAACUAUUUCCACGUCAUAUUUUUUAGAAAAAUCGAAGUGGAAAAUUUAUUUCACGACGGUUUUUUGUAAAUAAGAGACGUAGUAGAUUUCAAUAACGUCGUCUUCUCAUGUAUUUAAAGACGUCAUAUUUUUUCUUGUCGGGUAAAUUAUAUUUAACGGCGUAGUAUUUUAGUUGUCGUCGUUGUAUGUAUAUCUUGCGGCCUUGUUCUUUUAAUAUAUGUCAUAUUUUUCCUUUUUAACGACGGUGAUUUUUUUGAGUUGGUCGUCUAUUCUCAUCCUCGACUAUUUUCUAGAACUUUAGCAGACUAAACACGUCUGUUUUUAUUUUUUUCCGACGUUGUUUUAUUUAACAACGUCUAAUAUUUAUCGUCGUUGUUUGUUUCUGAAAAUAGGACGUAUAAAUUUUGUAAUACGACUCUCAUAUAUUUGUAACCGACAUUGUUUAGUUUUUCAACGUCUACUCUAUUAACAUAUACGUCGUAAAUAAUGACACUGACAACUAUUUCCACGUCAUCUUUUAUCGAAAAAUCGAAGUGGAAAAUUAAUUUUACGACGGUUGUUUUUAUAUAUGCGACGUAGUAGGUAUCAAUAACGUCGUUUUCUAAUGUAUUUAAAGACAUCAUAUUUUUUAUUGUCGUGAAAAUUAUAUUUAACGUCGUCGUAUUUGUAUUUUCGUCGUUGUAUGUCUAUCUUGCGGCCUUGUUCUGUGUCAUAUUUUUCCUUUUUAACGACGGUUUUUUUAGAGAGUUGGUCGUCUAUUAUCAUCCUCGAUUGCUUUUUUUAGAUCUUUUUGCAGUACAAAGACGUCGUUUUGUAUUUGUUGAUGACGUUGUAUAUUUUAACAACGACGGUUAUUUAGCAUCGUGGUUUAUGAGGGAAAAGAUGACGGUGGAUUCCACGACCAUUGAAAAACCCAAUACACGACGGUGAUUUACCGUCGUCUUUUUGCUUUUUUGUAGUAGUGAAACUUGGUGUGAAAUCAACUCAAAACUUAAAGGGGAGUAUAGAAUUGUAAGUAGUGAGCCUGAUUUACUUUUAAGCCUAGAGUGUUAAUUGUGUAUUCACUUAGUCCUAGAAAAUGACAAGUGUAAGGCUUCAAACAUGGAAAGGCUAAAAUAGCCAAGAGCUAGAAUUAAGACAGAUGGAUGGCUGAGAUUCACUGAUGCUUGUGUGAAUCCAGCUAAGAGCUAACGGUCAUGUAGUACAUGCCGUGUGAGCUCAUUUUCAUAUAUAGAGAAUAUACAAAAGCCUUGCUCACUGAGUUUGUGAGUAAGUAGAGCAAAACUAACACCUGUGACUUGCAUAGUUUCAGAUGGUGGCAUGUCCACGUUCACAAUCACAGCUGCUGAAGAAAUCAGAGUCCCUAUCGUGCUAUUCUACACUAUAGCUGCCUGCAGCUUCAUGGGAAUUAAACAACUUCGCGCUGUGGUUGAAAAAGGACUUGCUCCACUCAAAGGUGAAAUAUAUAACUAUUAAUUGAAGCAAUUGUUGUUUAACUUAUGGUUAACUCUUAACUGCUUGUUUCUAAAAAUGCAAAUGAAAUGUUUCUUCAAUUGAAUUUCAUUUGUCUAUCGCAGAUGAGAGCUGUUUCACAAAUGGCUAUCUGGACACAGUAAUAGAUUGGAUCCCGGGAAUGAGAGAUAUCCGUUUGAGGGAUCUCCCGACCAUCUUGCAAACCACAAAUGCGGAUGACACCAAGUUUAACUUCAUCAUGGAAGCAACUGAUAGAGCUCAUGAAGCUUCGGCAGUUGUUAUUCAUACUUUUGAUGCCUUGGAGCCAGAUGUUUUGGAUGCUCUCUCAUCUAUGCUUCCCCAUGUGUACACCGUUGGCCCUCUUCAAUUGCAUCUCAAUCAGAUACCAGAGCACCCUUUGAAAAUGGGAUACAGUCCAUGGAAAGAAGAAACUGAAUGCCUCGAGUGGCUAAACACCAAGGCACCAAACUCAGUUGUCUAUGUGAAUUUCGGCAGUGUAGCAGUCGUGACACCAGAACAGCUUGUGGAGUUUGGGUGGGGACUUGCAAAUAGCAAGCUUCCAUUCUUUUGGGUAAUUAGACCUAAUCUAGUUUUUGGAGAAUCCGCUAUUUUGCCGCCGGAGUUUGUGGCUGAAACUAAGGAAAGAAGUCUAAUAGCUGGGUGGUGCCCACAAGAGCAAGUCCUUAACCACCCAUCAGUUGGAGGAUUUUUAACGCACAGCGGUUGGAAUCAACAGUUGAGAGCAUUACUGCAGGAGUUCCUAUGCUCUGUUGGCCAUUCUUUGCAGACCAGCAAAUGGACUGUCGCUAUACUUGCAAUGAAUGGGGCAUUGGGAUGGAGAUUAGUAAUGAUGUGAAGAGGGAUGAGGUAGAGAAGCUUGUCAAAGAGAUAAUGGAGGGAGAGAAGGGUAACCACUUGCAGAAGAAGCUACUGGGCCACAUGGUUCUUCAUCCACAAACUUGGACAAUUUAGUGAAUCAAGUGCUAUUAAGAAAAAGCUAAAGAUUUUACCAUAAGCUAAAGAAUAUUGAUGUUAAUUAUUAUUUUUAUUGCUAUUGUCUCAAAUAAUCAACUAGCUAGUUUUUUUAUAUAAAAAAAAUCAUAAUUUUUAAGUCUUUUACUCAGGCCCGUAAAACCUGUGUUACUAUAUCUAGAAUUUUGUUUUGCUCAAAUUAUAUAUUGUUGUCUUCCAUAAAUACUAUAUGCUUCAGUGUUGACAGCUUACAACUCUAAUUGCAAAGACAAUUCAGAUGGUAAAUAAAUAUCUAAGCAAUAGAAAGAAAUAAUGAGAAAAUAUUAUAAUUACCAAAGAAGACAGUGAUAUAUACAAAAGGUUAUACUGCGACACAAAUUCGCCACAAAUCAAGAAAGUUUUUUUUUUUUUUUUUUUGAAGACCUUUAACUUUGAAAGGGGCGAUAACAUACUAAACUCACACACACACUAGAUGGAUGUUAAUUAGGAUUCGAACCCAAGAUCUUUCUUGAGGGAGCAUUUGCUUCAAACCACUACACUAGUGGGUCCUUUGCAAUCAAGAAUGUUUUAGAUCUUCAUCCAUGAUUUUAUACUGUUUAAACAAAUCCUCUUAAUUACUUGACGUAUUCGACAUCUGAUUAAGGUUUCACUCUAAAGUCUCAUCAGUUAUCAAAUUAUACAUAAGUUUGAUUGCUAAUUAAGCUUCUUUGUUGACAGUCUCCUUUGAUCUCCUAAAAUGGCUGCGGUCAAUGCAUCAAUGCUUAUGUGUCAAAUUCUCUUCAACAGUUUCUUCACCUCAGUAAGGAUUGAAAAGAACAAGAAAAAAAAAAAAAAGAGAAGUGGAAGUGGAAGUGGAAGAAACAGCAAUUAAAAAACUGCUUCAGUUUGUCGGGUGUUCUCCCAAACUGAGGUUCUAAGGGGAGCGCAGAUGACCUGGGAAAAAAACGGUGGCUUUUAUUUUGUGUGUGGAAAUUGAGUUUGAUUCUAAGUGUGCCAUCUGUUUAGCUUUCGGCAUGUGUUGAGCAACAUUAAUUUGAUGAUGGUGGUAUGGCUAACCUGGGCCUUACCAUUGAAUAUUUUUUUUUGGGUUCAAAAGUAAGGUCUUCUUUUUUUUUCUUUUCUUUUUUUUUUCUUUUUUCUUUUUUUUUUUUUUUGUGUGUGGACAGAAUUAGAAGGUCCUUACUAUUGAUUUGGCUCCUAGGAAACUUGUCAUCCCCAGUCUUUUUUAUUUUAUUUUUAAUAUAAGCGAUAAUCUAAACUACGAAGGGGAGGGAGUUUCUCGACACAUACACUACCAAAGUGCCAUGGGGAUUUGAACUUGAGAUCAUUGAUCUGCAUAUCAAAACCCUUUUCAAUUAUGCUAGACCUCGUUGGCCACACCAGUCUAUUCUUAAUUUGCUUGUUGAGGAUUAUGUUAGGUUUUGUAAUUAGGAGCAAAUUAUGGUUCACUAGUAUUCGAUGCGAAAACAAGGGCAAAUCUAUAUGCCACUCCAGCCCAGUGCUGAAUUUUUAGAAUAUACAAACUUAGGCAGUUGUCCAAGCCCAAACUAGGUAAAUCAAAUAUUAGUCCACCCCUCUAUUUUAAAAUAAGGCCACCUCUGCAUAAAUCCAACCAUUGGAUUGACUAGAAUACAUGCGAUGCAACUUUGGAGCGUCUUACUGUGAUGAGAUUUCCUUCCAGCAUGUCCUUCAGGAAGCUAACUUCACUGCUGACGCUUUAGCUAAUAUAGGCCACAAUCUGAACACUUCCCACCUUUGGGAUCGGGGUCUUCCUUUAAGUUGCUCGACUCCCUUCUACUUUGAUCUAGUUGGGCCUGUGUGCCCUCGUGGUUUCCGUUUGUAAUUUUUUUGUUUCCGUUUGUAAAUAUUGUUGAUAUGUGGUCAUGUUGGCCUCACCACCCCUAAAAUAAGGCCCCACGUGCCUCCAUAAAGGUAAAUAUAAUAUUGUUUAUUAUAAAAGUGAAUGAUAAUUUCCUUUUGGACUAACGACAUUUCACUCUAUUGAGGUUUAGGGUUUGUAUCGAAAUAGGCCCCGAGAUUUCAAUUUCAUCGAUUCCAAAUCCUGUCUUAACAUCCUCAAUACUUAAUAUAUUUCAUCUAAAGCCAAGCAAGAAAGGAGCUGGUGCUUUUAAAGCCCCACUGGCCUCAACUUCAUGUCAACUAAUGCUUCAACUGCAAGAUCAAAUGGUGUAGAUGAAGCAUAAUGAAGAAAGGGAUCAUUAAGGUAUUUGGUUGUUAGAUUAGCAUUUUGUGAUGUAAUUGGUUUUUGUUGUUGGUUAAUUGGUCCUAGGGUUUAGGCCUUGUUGUUUUUGGUAAAUUGGUCCUAGAGUCUGACUGCAAGAGUGCCUAUGAUCUGCUGGCCAUUCUUUGAUGACCAGAGAACCAAUUGUUAUUAUACUUGCAAUGAAUUGGGCAGUGGCAUGGAGAUUGAUAACAAUGUCAAGAGAGAUGAAGUGGAGAUGCUUGUUAGAGAGUUUAUGAAGGGAGAGAAGGGUAAGAAAUUGAAAAGGUAGGCUGACUGGAAGAAACUAGCAGAAAAUGCAACUGAUCCACAUGGCUCCUAAUCCAUUAACUUAGAUAAUUUAGUCCAUCAAGUGCUGUUAAGAAAAAAAAAACUAGAUGUUAUCCAUAUCCAUAUUCAUAUAAAUAAAAAAUCGCCACAUUAUUGUUGGUAUCUCUAUUAUUAUUAUUCAUGUAUGAUGUCAUGCGGAGUCUAAUAGCAUGUUUUCUUUUCACUAUUAGAAAAGUCACUUAUAAGCCACACAUUACAUGUGGCCAACAUUCAUGUUGGCUACAAACAACCGUGGCCAAAGAGUAUUGCCUUUUACUUUUGGCCACGACAAAAAUGUCUGUAACCUAUAGGUGGUAGAUCCCACCAUGUCUCCCCACCCUUACAAAUGCCUGCAUUCACUAAUUAAAAUAUUAAUAUUUUUUAAAUCCCCGUAAUCAUUACCAAAUGAUGAAGAUAGCUAGUACAUUUUUUUUGUUUUGUGAGCCACUGUUCUUUUAGAGACGUUCUAACAAUUAUCUUCCUUUGUUUUAAUUUCUAUUUCUUAUUUUGUUCUUAAAAAAAAAAAAAUAUUGAAAGAAGUAAAUAAAAUAAACUUUGGAUAAACUGUGGUGAGGGAUUUGGAAUAGUACAUAAAAUAUUGGGAAAUACGCGGCUUUGCCCCUGGCGCACAUGUUUUUUUCACUAAUAUCCCUUCUUUGAAACCUAAUUAAAAAUGCCCUCUAUAAAACCUCCCUAAUGCCUGUGUAUUGCCCUUGUAUCACUUUUUUUUUGUGGUUCUGAGCUCAGAGCUCUCACUCUCACUCACUCACCCACUCACCUCUUCUCUUGUCUGUUCUCUCUCCCUUUCACCCACAUUGGCGACAGCAAUUGUCACCUCCUCAGAACCCACAUCGGCGACGACGACCUCACUCUCUCUCUUUUGGCCGCUAUUCUUCACCUCCAUCUCUCACUCUCUGUCACCUAUUUCAACCGCCGUUCUUCCCCUCCGGUUCAACAAAUUUCUCAAUUUUCUUCAGCAUUCCUGAAAUCCAUAUAACUAGAGAUGACAUCCCAGGUACCCAGCUCAACUUUACGCCUUUACUUUCAUACCCAUAUGUUAGUUGGGUUUUCUUCUGCUUGUUUCAAUUUCAUAUAGUGGUUUAGAAAGUUGCUCAAAAUCCAAAUUCUUGGUACAUCGUUUUAUUUAUCAUGCUUAUUUGCUUGUUCUGAAUAUAUGAUUCUAUUUGUUUGGUUAGGCUGAGUUGAUGAGUGCAUGAAAAAAUGGCCUGUAGGCGUUCGAUGAAUCACCUUAAUGAGGCGCACUAUGGUUUUCUUUGAGAUAUAAACCAAUUGGGACAAUUCUCACGGUAUAUACUUAAAGGUGAACUUCUAGGAGGACCCAAUGAACCCAUCUAAAUGGAAGGAAGAACAUGUGAAUUUUAUUAUAAUUUGUUUACGAAGAUGUCUUUACAGUGCAUAAUGGUUUUGUUAGAUCGCCAUUGACAUUAGUUUAAUUACCUUUUAACAAUGCUUGAGAAAUGUCCCUGUUUUUACAUGAAGACUUACACAAGCACCAUAUUAUGUCAGUUUAUAGUGAAUGGAUACUUGGUUGUGUCAUUUGAUAUUUGGAAUUCUAUUAGAUUUAUUUUCUUAUUUUUCAACUUUUGGGUCAUGCCUUGAGUUUCUUUCAUUUCGACAUCGGCAUUUAACUUGUGCUGUGAACAAGUUAAUGUUAGAUUUCUUUAAUACACAAACUGGAUCUUUCACGCAAAUUGUAACAUGUAUAAAGACAUGAAGACAUACCAAAAGCCAUCUUCUUUGAGUACACAGCUUCUGAACUCAUCCAAUCCGUAGCAGCAGCAAUCCUAGCAAGAACAAGAAUAGCUCAAGACUUAUGCUCUCUCUCAUAAUCUAUUUUAGCUCUCUCUUUAUCAUGAGAAUAGGUUUAGAGAACGUGUCUGAUGAGAGCAGGGCCUUUAGCUUAUAUAGGGCUAGGUCAAGUCGUCUCUACUCAUCACCAAGGGCCGACUUGACUUAUCUUCCAAGCCCAGUUAAUCGAGUCACGCAUAAAUGGAAAUAAAAUAGGACCCCUUAAUAGGCCUCAAAACCCUUCCUUAUUUCACUAGGUUUUGGACCUCAAGGUACAACUUAAUUUAAACUCUUAUCAAACCUGAUAUGACUUAGUAUCUAGUGCACCGAUCUAAAUAGAAAAACAUAACAUUCUCCCACUAGAUCAAGCACUAGAACACUAAGCUUCUGUAUUCCGAAAGGUUUGAUUAUCUUCAUUGGCCAUGAGUCUAAAACAGUUAAGUCCUUCCCCUCAAGCUACCGUGAAAAGUGAUUAAACAAAACGAACUAUAGAGAAGCACUGCUCUCUUUAUUAAAAACAGGUCAUCUAUAAUUACAUGAUGCAAUCUCAAAACACAUGAAGCACCUACAACGCGAACCUUAAUAUGUACUGAUCCUUAAUGUGAAUCUUUAUGCAUUUCAGUACAAGUACCCCUUUACGACUUAGCAACAGUCAAUCCGCAAUGUUAUUAAAAAUAAUAGUAUCUCUAAAGAAACCAUAAACUCACAUGCAUAAUAAGUUUAAAUAGCUAAAUAGUCAAAAUGGUAGAAUUUAUUCAAUAAAAAAUAAAACUGUCAACCAAAUUGACAUCCUUAAAUGCAAAUCCCUUAAUCCAGAAAAACAGCAAAAUAAACAAACCAAACAAACUAGUAAAAAUAUCAUAAUGGGAACAAGACUCCCACUAGAUUGUAGCAUCAAAGCUAGGAAAAAGUCCCAUGCUCUCAACAUUUCUCAGAAAAAGCUUCCGAAGGCAAAAACUUUGUGAACGGAUCUGCAAUCAUAUCUUGAGUUCUAAUAUGAUCAAAUCUGACUAGUUUGUCCGCUACCUUCUCCCUCACUAUUAAAUACUUUCUGUCAAUAUGCUGAAGUUCAAAUGACAUCUUCUUGUUCAUGCAGUGAAAAACAAUCGCAGUGUUGUCAUUAUAUAUCUGUAUUGGUCUAUAAAUCGAGUUCACCACCUUAAUAUCUUUAGUAAAAUUCCUUAGCCAUACUGCAUGAGAAGUGGCUUCAUAGCAAGCUAUGUAUUCUGAAAACAUGGUUGAACUCGAAACAUGCGUAUGUAAAUCAACAUAUAAGCCUUUGUUCUAUGUAGGUCCCUCAAAACCUUCUUUCCAACUAUCCAAUGUUGCAUUCCCGGAUUUGACUGAAAUCUCCCCAUCUAGCUAAUGCACAAGGCUAGGUCUAGCCUUGUACACACUUGUGCAUAAAUAAUGCUUCCAACUAGAGAAGCGUAUGGCUUGUUCCUCAUCUCAUCUUCUUCUUCUUUAUUCUUGGGGCAAUGCUCCUUCUUUAAAUCUCCUUUAGCUAAUGAAACUUUCUGUCCAGAACACAUACACAUGUCAAAACACUUGAGUACCUUAUCAAUGUAUGUCUUCUGUGAUAGGCCUAGAAGGCCUCAAGCCCGGUCUCUCUGAAUCUCAAUGCCCAACACAAGAGCAGCUUCUCCCAAAUCCUUCAUCUCAAAAUUAUUUGAAAGUAGUUCCUUGGUGUCUUUCACUAAAUUGUGGUCAUUUGUAGCCAAAAGUAUGUCGUCGAUAUACAGCACCAGAAAAAUAAAUCGACUCCCACAUUUCUUUAGAUAAAGGCACUGGUUAGCUAUGUUCUCUUCAAAACCAUAAUAGGAAAUAGUUUGGUGGAAUUUGAAAUACCACCUCCUGCUUGCUUGCUUCAGUCCAUAAAUUUCCUUGCCAAGUUUGCAAACUAUAUGCUUUUUGUCCUUCACCAAAUUGUGGUCAUUUGAAGCCAAAAGUAUGUCGUCGACAUACAGCACCAGAAAAAUAAAUUGACUCCCACAUUUCUUCAAAUUAAUGCACUGGUCAGCUAUGUUCUCUUCAAAACCAUAAGAGGAAAUAGUUUGGUGAAAUUUGAAAUACCACCUUCUGCUUGCUUGCUUCAGUCCAUAAAUUGCCUUGCCAAGGUUGCAAACCAUAUGCUCAUUUCCUCCUUUGCAAACUCUUCAAGUUGCCUUAUAAAAUUUUCCUCUUCAAGUUCUCCAGUCAUGGAAGUAGUUUUUAGAUCCAUUUGAUGUAAAAGUAGGUCAUAAUGGCCCACCAAAACCAUAAUGACGUGGAAAAAUCUUUGGUGGAAAUUGGAGAAAAUGUCUCAGUAUAAUCAAUUCCCCCCCUUUGGGUAAAUCUUUUGGCUACCAAUCUAGCCUUAAACCUUUCGAUUCUUUCAUCCUUAUCUUUCUUUUGUUUUGAAUAUCCAGUUCGAGCCUACCAAUUUCUGGCUCUUGUGGGGUUUAACUAAUUCCCAUACUUGAUUAUUCUUCAUGCUCUCAAGUUCUUUCAACAUCGCUUCCCUCCAUUUGUCUGCAUUUUGACUUUCCAUUGCUUUUCUAAAACUUGUUGGAUCAGCCUCAUCUCCAUUGUCAAAUCUGCUUCUUUAAAGUACACAUAAUCUGAAUUUGUUGUGGAUCUUCUUGAUCUGUCAGCUCUCCUCAGUUGUACAGGUUCUUGUGGAUCAUCCAGCUCAGGAUUCUCAACAACUUGUUCUUGUGGUUCAACUGGUUCUUCAAAUUGAGGAUUUUCCAAUACAGUUUUACUUAAAGGAAUCAAGGGUGUAACAUCUUGUUUAGCAUUCUCAAUCACAGCUACAUCACCUUUUUCUUCAAAAUAAAAUCUUUAUUCCCAGUGGCAUUCUCCUCAUGCUCUAUAAACUUUGCACAACCAGUCUCAACAAUUCGGGUACCAUAUUUUGGACAAUAAAAUCUGAAACCCUUUGACCUUGCGAGAUAACCUAUAAAAUGACAUCUUAUCGUUUUAGGAUCAAGCUUCUACUCUCGAGGGUUAUAGAUUCUAGCUUCAGCCUUGCAACCCCAUACAUGAAGAUAUCUUAGGCUAGGUUUUCUGGUAGUCCAAAUUUUAAAAGGUGUCUUAGGUACGCAGUUACUAGGCACUCUAUAGUUUGUUGUUUUUUAUCGCCUCUCUUAAAAUUGUAGGCAAAUCAGUUCUAGAAAUCUUGCUAAGGACCAUGUCCUUCAAGGUUCGAUCCUUUUUCUCAGCCACACCAUUCUGUUGCAAAAUUCAUGGUGUUGUGUACUGAGUAACUAUUCUAUUAUCUUGUAGGUACCUAGCAAAAAGUCCAGCAUGUCGUCCUCCUUCAUCAAAAUGUCUUUAAUCCUUUUCUUAAGCUGCCUUUCUACUUCAGUUUGGAAAAUCUUAAACAUUUCAAAGCUUCAGACUUUUUUAUGCUAUGAGAUACAGAUAACCAAAACGAGAAUGGUCAUCUAUAAAGGUGAUGAAAAAGCGAUUUCCAUGAAUUGUUUGAUGAGGGAAAGGUCCACAAAAAACUAUGUGGAUGAACUCUAAAAGUAUCACUAUCGCGAGUUGCACCUUUCUUCUUAGUCUUAGUGAGUUUUCCUUUGACACACAUAAUACAAAUUUCAUCAUCACCGAAAAAUAGUGAUGGCAAGAUUUGUUCCUUAACUAGAAUUUUCAUUCUUUCUUUUGAAAUGUGCCUUAAAUGCCUAUGCCAUUCAAACUUUACUAUCUUUAUUGUAAUUGAGACAACAUAAUCCAUCUUUAUUAUCUUUGAAUUUUGAGAUACAAACACAUCUUUAUUGAAACCAAAAUAAAACCAAGUCUUAAUAAUCUUGAAACAAAAAUUGAAUUUCUCUUUAUUUAGGGUACUGAAAACUACAUCAUCCAACUCUAAAAGAAAUCCUGAAUUCAACUUAAAAAAUAACUACUCCAAUAAUAUUUAAGGAAAACAACAGGUAGCUAUCUAAUCCUCCUUGUCACAACUUGCUGCCAUGAAAGUGUUGUUCUCUCUAGCAGGGAAUGGGUCAAGUACCACUAUCUCUCUAUUAGUGGCGGCAUCUAAAUUCUCAACAUGUGAUUCAGGUUGGGGUUUAGGUUUCACAGAUUUCACUAGGAGAUUCUUGUAUCGAAGUAGCUUAUUGAUAUUUCUUCCUCUCCUAUAAGCGCAUACACUAAGAUUUAUAGAGGUCCUAAGACUUUUGAGACUGUCCUUUGUAGUCGUGUAUAUCCUUAUGGGCCCUCCAUAUGGUUAACAAUUUCGCUGCGCCUUAACCCUUUUUCGCUCCAGCUCAUCUUCGUGCCACUUCUUAAUUAACUCCACUGUAUUCUUUACUAGAAUGCCAUUCAUGACAAGUUGGCAUGAGUGAUACCUAUUGAAUGCCAGAUUUUUUUUUUUUUUCACCUAAGCUCUAGGAGUUAUACUACAAGACACAUAAGUGAAAAGGCUAACGUGAAUUAAAUAUAGCCAUGAGUGAGAUCAUAAACGAUCUCAUUCAUUCCGACAAUAACUUUAAAACCAAACGUCCAUAAAUUAAAGUUUGAUCUAAUGAAUCUUUCAAUUUGCGUGAAAUUGAUUGAGGGAGUGUUUAAAGCUGUAAGGAUUUGCAAACAAAAGCAUAUUACUUUCCUAGAAAUCGAUUCUCAAUUUGUUAAGAGAAAACAGUUUAACUUUAUUCACAGAACUAACAAAUAAUAUAUGCAAGCGUCCUUAAUUAAGUAUCACACCUUUGUGGCAAGAGAUUACUUAUAGCUUACACAAAUUACAUAUUAUCUUGUGCCAUCACAAAUAAAUUACAUGACAGAUUCUAUUUGUUAAAGAAACUUAUCAAGCAAUUUAGGUAUGAUGUAAUUUUCGAUUAUUUCUUUAGGGUUUGAGUAUUUAGGUUUGGUUUUGUUAUGAAAAGUUUGUUGAUUCCCAUAACAAAGACAAACAUAUAUCUGACUCAGAAAAAUAACCAAACAAAACACAGUUCAACAAGGAAAACCCUAAAAUUGCAGUGAAUAGUGUUUCGGCCGUGAACAGUGUUUUAGAUGUGAACAGUGUUUCGGCAGCGAACAAUGUUUUAGGGGUUCUUAGUGUCCGUUUUUGACACAAAAUACCUUUCUGCAUAGGGAAAGACCUAAUUAACACAACUCACAAAGAAGUUGUGACAUAUGGCCAUUUUUAGGGUUUUAAGGUGAUCUGCUAGGUCAAAAACGUGUUUAAAGUUUUUGAAAAUAUGAAAACCAAAUCAAAACAUGCUUUUCCAUAUUCUUGAUAUUUUCAUAAACAUAUUUAAACCAUCUUCAAAAAUUAAACAUAACCAAAAGAACUGAGCAUGGCAUAAACUGAUAUGAAAUCAUGGUAGACAUGCUUGAACAACGAUUACAGAUAAGUGCGAACAACCUUAAGCUCUGAUACCAACUGUGAGAUUUAUUUAAUACACAAACUGGAUCUUUCACACAAACUGUAACACGUAUAAAGACAUGAAGACAUACCUGGAGCCAUCUUCCUUGAGUACACAGCUUCUGAACUCAUCUAAUCCGUAGCAGCAGCAAUCCUAGCAAGAACAGGAACAACUCAAGACUUCUGCUCUCUCUCAGAAUCUAUUUCAGCUAUCUCUUUAUGAUGACAAUAGGUUUAGAGAAAGUGUCUGAUGAGAGCAGGGCCUUUAGCUUAUAUAGGGCUAGGUCAAGUCGUCUCUACUCAUCACUGAGGGCCGACUUGACUUAUCUUCCAAGCCCACUUAAUCGGGCCACGCAUAAAUGGAAAUAAAAUAGGACCCCUUAAUAGGCCUCAAAACCCUUCCUUAUUUCACUAGGUUUUGGGCCUCAAGGUACAACUUAAUUUAAACUCUUAUCAAAUCUGAUAUAACUUAGUAUCUAGUGCACCGAUCUAAAUAGGAAAACUUAACAGUUAAUACUACAUUGUUUUGUGUCAUUGUGAAAUUGAGAAAUAAAGUUCAUGUUAUUAUUUUGCAGGAAUUCUAAGUGCUAUGAUAUGGCAAAAAAGUAUGUGAACAAACAAAAGAAACAUAGAAAAGGUCUGAUGCUGCUACUUCACAUGGCCAGGUUUUGCUGCUGCUUCGUCUUCCUCAUUUACCUAAAAGAAAGGGUCUAUAUCUCUAGCAUUUGCAUCCAAAUGUCCCUUGCCAUGCCAUGCCCUACCCUGCCCUUCUGUACUAGCUAGCACUACAGCCCCUGUUGUACGUGGUCCCCUGAUUUGGUUCCUUUGAGCCAUGCGAUGCUUUCAGCUUCCUAGAUCCAACUCCAAUGACUAUUUUUUAUUAAGUCAUAAUUUACUGCCUAUAAUUAGGACCUGCGGUUUGAAAUUUUUAAUUUGGAACAAUUCAUGUACUGUUAAAACAUAAAUGGUGCAAAGCCAAUGCCGAGAAUAGAAAAAAUAAGCAAUAUGAUCAUACGGCGGUUAACACCCAUGUAGAUAUGCACUGAUCAUCAAGCUUGAGCAGUAAGGCCUUUCGUCUUGUGCUUGGUAGGUUUGCUUUUCCUCGUCCAUUAGAUGUUUUCCAAUUCUGAGGUGAUAUGAUACUCUUCCUCUUGGCAUUAUUCUCAUGGCUGUGAAAUUUCAGUUUGCAAUGAAUGACUAUAUCAAUCUAAAAGAUUAUUUUUGUGUAGAAAUUGAAUGAAAGUAAAUUGUACUGCAUACCUCUGUGGUGUCUAUGUUCUGGAGUUAAUGUUGUUGAUCAAUGAUCAGCCUCUUUCAUAAUUCUUUCAUUGAUUAAUAUUGUUGUUCUCUCAUUGUUCCGGAGUUAACUUGAUUGAGUUUUGAUGCACUGCUUGAAAUUUUGGACACCAUCUGAGUUAUAAGUUAUGAAUGAAGCACAGACGAAAAACAAUGAACUCUAUUUUUAUAAGAAACUUAGUCUGCUUUGAGUCUUUUCUUGAUACAUAAGUAGGAGAUUUUAAAUUGGGCUUGUUUGUACUUUUGCGCAUCUGCAUAUAUAGCACUAAAAGGAAAGUGAUGGUUCCAAUAGAGCAUAUCAAAGAUCUACCUCAUUAGUACCAAUUUGUCUUUUGUAUUACUCUGUAUAUACAUAUUUAUAUAUGUACAUAUUGUUAUUGCUUUAUUUUGUUUCUGUUGUAGAGGAAGAUGAUGGAUGAAUUUGAGAAGGUGAAGCAACAAUUGGUAGAGUACGAGAUCAUGUCAUGGCCCAUAUCCCACAAGCUUGGUCUCUAGCAAUUUGAAACCCUAACUCUUAAGUCUUGAGAUAAUUGGCUCUCUUUUUUUUCAUAACAGUUGGACCAAGAUUAUUGUUGGCUUCUAGAAGAUUGUUGUCAUUGUGAACCUUCAUCAAUUUGGGGUGGGACAACAUUCCAUUCAGUUGUAAGAAGUGUACUGCAGUUAUAAGGAAAAAAAACAUGUAAUUAAGCAACUAUUUGUGUGUCAGACAGACCAUGUAAUUAUUUAGUCCUCAUGGAAUGAAAUUGAGUUCAAUUUACUUGAGAAAUUUCAGUCUUGAAUAUGUUGUUUUUAUAUAUUUGCAAGUGUAUGCAAUGAAAAAAUACUUUUAUUUAUAUUAUACAUUGAAGAGAGCACAUUAUAUACAUUAUGUGUAUAUAUAGCUCAUUCUUCUUUAUAUUAUGUGUAUAUAUAGCUCAUUCUUCUUGCCUUUGUAUAGGGAUGGCAAUAGGUUGAAUAGGGGGUGGGUAUGCCAUUCCCAUCCCUCUAUCCCCGCAAAGCUUUUUUCCCCCAUCCCUACAUUCAUACCAGCAAUACAGACUUGAAAAAAAAAAAGAUAUACGAGGGCAAUGCAGUAGCAAUACACAAGCAAUAAAGGGCUAUACAAUGGCAAUACACAAACUCCAUACUACCCUUAUAAAUUUAUUCCAACAUAGACUUGAAAAAAAAAUAUAUACGGGGGCAAUAUAGUGGCAAUACACAAGCAAUAAAAGGCUAUACAAUGGCAAUACACAAACUUCAUACUCCCCUUAUAAAUUAUUCCAAGACUUAAAAAAAAAGAUAUACGGAGGCAAUACACAAGCAAUAAAAGGCUAUACAAUGGCAAUACAGUAGCAAUACACAAGCAAUAAAAGGCUAUACAAUGGCAAUACACAAACUUCAUACUCCCCCUAUAAAUUUAUUUCAACAUACUUUAAAAAAAAGAUAUACAGGGGCAAUACACAAGCAAUAAGUAGCUAUACAUGUGCAAUACAUAUCAGUCAUGGCAUUUGCCAAUUAAAUCAUUAAUUUGGUUACAUUUGUAUUUUUUUCUUCUUUGCAAGGGGGACGAUAAAACCAUGGAAACUAUAGAUUGACAAAUUUCCUUCUAACUUGACUUUCAUAAAUUGAUGAACUAACAAUGUUAUCUCAUUACAUCUUAAGAUAUACAUAAGAAAGUGGCAAAAAAUAAAAAAUUUACAUCUCCUGUUGGUCUGGAAUUUUAACACAAUUUAUAUCUAUAAGAAAAAUUCCAAGACAUGUCCUCUUAGACCCGAAUUCAAGCUAAAAGUUAGCAAUUUCCUCCCCAAAAGAACCCCACCACUUGAAACAAGACAAUCUUCCAUAUGUAUAAAAUGGAUCAAAAAUGCAUAUUAGAAGCAAAUCAUUCAAUCACAGUGGAAACAAAAACAUAACAUUCAAUUACAACUGAAACCAAUUUCAAAACAAAAACCAAUACCGAAAUUCAUAUAGAUUGUUGGCUUUUCUAAAUGACCCAAUUCUUCAUAUGGCAAACUUUCACAAGACAGUACCAUUGCAAAAUUAAAGUUCAUAUUCAUGCACACAAUUUCAUACUACUCAAUUGCAAUUCGAAAGUAAUAAACAUGGGUGAAGUGAAUGUGUGUCUUGGCAUGCAAACAAAAAUACAAAUCAGGAAAUCAUCAAUAGUGCAUUUGGCAUUGUUCAAACAGUUAAAGAAGCACAGUAUCAGAGAAGAAGAAGAGCAAGACAAUGGAACUAGAUAAAUGCAAGAGUUAUCAACAAACCUUCAAGUUUUCCAAGAACCCUUUUCACAACACCAACACAACCUUGAGGAUUGUAGACUGCACCAAAACAAUAGAGAAAAUAAAGAUCCAACAUAUGCCAACUUUACAGUAUCAAAAGUAUGUUAAAAUAUUGGCAUUCUCAUAAAACUUACAAACUCUCCAAUCACAUUCAAAAGAAGUAAACAAUGAGAAUCUUGCAUUUGUUGCUGGUCUAUUGGUUUCAAAGGUUAAAACCCACAUUACUGUUAUUUCAGAGAGCCUCUAUGAGUUUUAUAUGUAUUCUUACAGGUUGCUCAGAAAAGCCAGAAUUCCUAAUUUGAUAUAUCACCUAAGUGAUUUCACAGACAAAUCACAAUCACAAAAGAGUGAAUACACCACUUUCAAGGAGGUCUGCAAGUCCAAGCCUUAAUCACAAACAAUGUAUGCAUGAUUUCAGAGACAAAUCAUAAGCACAAAACAGUGUAUCCAAGUCCAAGAGCUUGACAACCACAGGAAAUAGUUGGUAAAUUUCAUUCAAUCACAGAAACAACAAACAAACCACAGCAGAAACCCAUUAAUGUCUCAUUCAAAAUAGUGAAAGUAAUCACCCAAUAAUCUCAAUCAAUAACAGAAACCCAAAAAAAAAACAAAACAAAACCAAUAUUAGAACUCACCACAGUGAAGAUCGAAGAUGAAGGUGUUGUGGGUUUGUGAUGGAAGUCGACGACGAAGGUGGAGAGUCACGAUUAUGGCUUCAUUUUGGAGGCCGACAACAGAGGUGGCGAGUCACGCCUUGGCUAGGGUUCGAUUCUGAAUUUGGGGUUCAACCUUAAGGUUCAAAUUAGCUCCUAGUUUGAAGAUAUAACUAAGUGAAAAUUGAAUUAAGCGAGAUUCUACGGUGGAGAUGGAUUUUCUGUGAGGUUUGAAGAAGAGGAAGAGAAAGAGACUAGGGAGAAGAGGAAGAGGAAGAGGAAGAGCAACGACUGAGAAGAAGAAAAAAAGUGACAGAUGGGCAAUAGACUGUCAAUAGGGAGUUUUUAUAGGGGGUAUUUGUGAUUAGAUUUCAAAAUGGGGAUAUUAUUGAAAAACUUAAUUGCGCCGGGACAAAGCCGCCAAUUUCCCUAAAAUAUUAGCUACGGAUCUCCGUCGGCCACGGGGAUUAUGUGUAAUUGUGUUUCAGCCACAAUUGCACCGUGACUUAUGUAUUUGAGGCCACAUGUGCAUAAAAAUCAAGAAAAAGAAUAAGACAAACACUACCGAAGACUUAAAAUCAAGAAAAAGGAUUCUUAGUUAUUUAUGUUCCACUUUGCUACUUCAUCUAAGUCUAAGUCGUUUUGUCGUGAUUGAUCAACUGACUUUUCUUUUUGUCGAAAAUUUGACCAUUUAUCAACCAAUGAUUAACUUGUAGAUUAGUUCUUUAUGUUGCUAGACUUCUUUUUUGGACAUUAUCCUCAGUCAGAGAGCCAAAACAGGACACAUUGAAGUAGCUAAAACAGGCCCAUGGUAGCUCAGUUUUGCUUUAUAAAAAAUCUGCAUUUGCAAUGCGCACACAAAAGCUUAGAUGGAUUCCACAGAAGUAGCUACUAAGACACAUGCUGUUUGCAUUCCAUUCCCUGCUCAAAGCCAUAUAAAGGCAAUGCUUAAAUUUGCAAAGCUCCUCCACCAUAGAGGUUUUCAUAUAACCUUUGUUAACACAGAGUUCAAUCACAAGCGCUUUCUUAAAACUCUAGGAUCCAAUUCCCUAGACGGCUUGCCUGAUUUUCAAUUUUAAGCCAUCCCGGAUAGCCUUCCAGAUUCAAAUGAAGACACCACACAAGAUGUCACUUUGCUUUGUGAGUCCGUCAGAAAAAAUUUAUUGGCUCCCUUUCAUACCCUCCUUGCAAAACUCAACAAUGAUGCCAUAGAAACAUCUACCAAUCCUCCAGUGACUUGCAUAGUUUCAGAUGGUUUCUUGUCCACGUUCACAAUCACAGCUGCUGAAGAAAUUGGAGCCCCUAUAGUGAUGUUCUACACUGUAGCUGCCUGCAGCUUCAUGGGAUGUAAACAAUUUUGCGCCGUGGUCGAAAAAGGACUUGCUCCACUCAAAGGUGAAAUAUAUAACUAUUAAUUGAAGCUAUUGUUGUUUAACUUAUGGUUAACUCUUAACUGCUUGUUGCAAAUGAAACGUUUCUUCAAUUGAAUUUCAUUUGUACUAUUGCAGAUGAGAGCUGUUUAACAAAUGGCUAUCUGGACACCGUAAUAGAUUGGAUCCCAGGAUGAGAGACAUCCGUUUAAGGGAUCUUCCGACCUUUGUGCGAACCACAAAUCCGGAUGACAUCGUAUUUAACUUCAUCCUGGAAGCAACCGAUAGAGCUCAUGAAGCUUCAGCAAUCGUUAUUCAUACUUUUCAGACAGAUGUUUUGGAUGCUCUCUCAUUUAUGCUUCCCCAUGUUUACUCCAUUGGACCUCUUCAAUUGCAUCUCAAUGAAAUACCAGAACACCAUUUGAAAAUGGUGGGAUACAGUCUAUGGAAAGAAGAAACUGAAUGCGUCGAGUGGCUAAACACGAAGACAACCAAACUCAGUUGUCUAUGUGAAUUUCGGCAGUAUAGCAGUCAUGAGUCAUGACACCAGAACAGCUUGUGGAGUUUGGGUGGGGACUUGCUA
rnacentral:lncRNA from 1 species